AAGAAGAGAAGGAAGAUCCGUCGGAGAUGUAAGGUAUUUUCGGAGUUGAGAAUCUGUCUGAAGUUUCAAUGACUGAAUCGGAUGAAUUAGAGGGAGAAAAUUCCAUGAAUCAAGCAGCUGAUGACCUUGUUCCAGAGGUCAUGAACCUUAUAAGGAAUAACCAGUAGGGUAUCCAAGAGUUUUUGGAUAGGUUGGGUUAGAUGCGCUCAUAGCACUAACAGGAUGUUGGGAACUGCAGGAGGAGAUGUGUAUAUGUUUUAUAGUUUGGGGUUGUAGGAUUGAAUAAAUGAGAACCCAGAGUGUCAAGUUAUGUAAAUUUGUUGUAAACAUGGCUGAGAAAAAGUAUAGUUUGUACGGUUUGUAAAACGUAAGUACUUUUAUGGUAUAUGAGCUUGGAAUAAGUACUUUUAAGGUAUUGUAAUAACUAAAGUUUCUUUGUGGUUUGACAACUCAUGGAGUAUGAUGAAAUGAGUAAUGUAUCUAAGAAGUUGUACAAUGAUUAUAUUCUUCAAGGAUGAGUGAUACAAACUGUUAUGUACAAAUAUUAUGCAACCUAUUGAUAUGGUCAGUAAGGAAGAUGAAUGUUGACAAUUUUCUUUCUCUUGUCUUGUAGAAUGGGAGAACCAUAUGAUCAAUGUUGACAGUUUUCUUUCUUUUGUCUUGUAGAAUGGGAUAACCAUAUGAUCAAAGUGUCAAGGUGUCUCCCAAGCAUAAACAAGACCUCCAACCUCCGCUCAGUCUAGCAGAUGCUAUCGCUAGCAUGCUCGAAUUGCGUGAAUAGAUGAAUUGAUUAAUGCAAAUGAUAGCGCAAACACUACCACUGGACAAUGUGGAUGCCCAGAACCUGAGCAGGGGAUAUCUUAUCCAGCUUUUCUGGAAGUCAAGCCCCCACUUUUUCUUAAAGCAGAACAUCCUCUUAAAGCGGAUGAAGGGCUCCGUACCAUGGAGCAAAAGUUUCGACUUUUGCCCCGUUGUACCGAUGCCCAAAAGAUGGAAUUUUCUUCCCAACAACUCCAAGGACCCGCAAGAACAUGGUGGGCUAAUCACAUGGCCAUGUUUCCUGCUGGAACUCAGCUCUCUUGGGAUGAUUUCAAGGCAGCCUUUCACGGGUACUUUGUACCGGCAGGACUCCUUGAAAUCAAAAAGGAAGAAUUCAUGAAGCUUCAGCAAGGCAAUAAAACGGUGUUGGAAUACACCAAUAUAUCCAAUCACUCGUCACAGUAUGCCCCUACCGAUGUGGAUUCUGAUGAGAAGAAGAGGGAAUGUUACAUGAAGGGGCUUAAUGAUAAAAUGCAAGAUAAGUUGUUGACCACCACCUUCAAGAACUUUAAUGAAAUGGUCAGCUUAUCAGUUAAGGCCGAAGAGAAGAAUCGGAUUCAUAAGGAAUCCAAGAAGAGGAGGAACCCCGCCGCGGGAUCAUCUAACGUGCCACCACAGAGGAUGAGGAUGGUGUAUCGGAUGCCACCUAGGCCCAGAUUGUAACAUCCCUAGUUUGGUUGGUCUCUUAAAAAGCCUAAUUAGAGUGUUUAAGGGUUUGAACUUAGCACUUAGAUUUCAAAUCUUGUCCUUGAUUAAGUGCAAACUCACUCAAGCACAGCAAACAUCACAAUUAGAGGCCAAAUUGAACCAAACCAAGUCAAUACAAAGGUUGAAUAUGAAAAAUACCCAAACCAUGUUUGAAUGGUAGCAAACAUCUCAAAACCCCAAAAGACCAAAUUGAAUUGGAAGUUCAAACACUUAAUUUGGUGAAAAUGCAUUAAAACGGCUUAAUUUGAGGGCAGUUAAUAAAUUCAAAUUUUAUAUGACAACUUCACUUCUUGCCAAUACAAAAGUUGUAGAACUUUUCAAAAUAAACAACUUUGCUUAAUUAAACUUUUUAUAGUUUUGAGUGGAACACCUUCAAAAUUUGAGUCAAAGAUUAGCCAAAUUCAAAUUCCUUCAAAAUUGCUCUUAGUCCUGAAAACAAGCAUUCCUUCAAAUUUAGAUUUGAAGUUUUUCAAGUUUGGUUUCAAAAUUUUGUGAAAACCCCUCCAAAAACCCUAUCCUCGCGCGCCACCACGUUCCCAACCCACUGCCAAUGCGCGGUAACCACCUUACCGUGUCACACCACGCCACGUGCAUCCUCAACGUUCGUGCAGGCCCGCCUGCCUAUGCACACCGUCGACAGGAUAGCACAGUGCGCCCCUUCGCCCAAUGACCCACCAGCGUUAUCUUAUCCCCUGGCUCCGCAUCCUCUUUGCCCUAUCCGCACGCCAAGCACCCGUGCACCCAUGAACGCCACCGCCACCACGUCACCGCCAGUCACCAGCACUCGUAGCUCGGCCUAUCACCACCCCUGAGGCGACAACACGAGCUCAACAGCCAGCCAACCAGCGUGCCCGACCAAAGGAAUCCGCAACUUCCGCAAUGUCGCCCGGCCAAAUGUCGGAGACCACCCGCGCAAGCACCACGCCAUCACCGGCCAGUCCGCGCUCACGAAGCUCUAGGCCCGUCACUUGCCACCUCUCUUCCCUCCCCCAGUCGCCUUGCAUUAUCGAGGCACCCCUCUCGCACCCCCUUACACUCUCCCGGCCUAUAAAAGCCAUUAAACAGCUUGCUGGUGCACGUCCCCUUGCCGCCCCUCUCUGCUAGAGUGCCACCGUGACCCUUACCGUGAAGCACCCCCUCCCGAGCCUCGCCGCCGCCCACCAAGCUCGCCUGAGCACCACACGCACCCACGUGCAGCUCACCGAGCCCCCGCCGAGCCCUCUCCGCCGCUGACCUCGCUGAAGAAGAAGCUCCUCCUUCGCCGACCGAGCCCAGCCACGAACAGCCACCUCCAGCCAACCUCCACCCUCGAUUCCUUCAUCCCGCAGGCCCUAGGUGAGCUCCUCCCCGCGCCCAAGCCAUCCUUUCCACCUCUAGCGCCGCCGCUCGCCGGCGAUUUCGCCGGAAUCGCCGCCGGUGUGCGCAAGGACCACAUUGCGAAUCGUAGUUUCUUUUUAGGAUCCUCUGCGUAAGAUUCCAGGACCUAUAUGUGAAGUUUUAAAACUUUUGAGGGCCCCCGCGUAAAAUGUUUUAUCCUUUUUCUGUUUUAAAUGGUUUAAAUCGGCUGAAACUUUGAAAAUGUGUAGAAAAAUGAUAAAAAUGCAAAACCAACUUUGUUAGACUCCAUGUGUUGUGUAGUUUCAAGAAAAAAUAAUUUUGACCAGGUUACUAUUGUAGAUUUUCUUCUAGAAUUUAUUUUGUGAUUAAGCCUUUAAAUGCCCUAUAAAUCACACAAAAAUGGUAAAAAUAUGAAUCCACCUCUAUUAGUUUACUUGUGUCAUGCUUGUUCUAGAUAUGAUUUUUGUGAGACUAGUUUAGGUGUUGAACACACUGAUUUAAGGCAAACCUUGUUAUGCUAGGCAAGAUCUUGUUAUUAACACUAAAAAUGGAAGGAAAUAGAUAAAAAUGUGAAACCACCUUUGUUGAGUUCCUGAUACCAUUAUUUCCCUAGGAUAUACUGGUUUUUGUUUGAUGCAUGUUUUACCUUGCUCAAACAAAUGCAUGUAGUUAAAUACACUUAACAUAUGAUAAUUUGAGUUGUCUAAAAAAAUUUCAAAAAUAAGAUAACUUUCCAAAUGAACCUUGAGCAACCCUAAGCUGACCCCACCUUUCUUUGUGAAAUAUAAAUUUCUAAAACCUUAUAUGUGUACACAAUCACCAUCUCAGCCACAACAACAGUACCAACAACCACCAAGGCAGUGGGUGGUUAGGCCGGCCACCAAUGUGCCUCGUCUACCAGCACCGAGAAAUGUACGUGGCAUUACCGGCCCUCCAAAUCAGCAGUCUUGCUUUAACUGUGGAAGGACUGGACACUUUGCCCGAGAUUGCCAUUUUCCACGGCAAAACUAGCAGAUCCCAGCACUUCCUGCACCAAAUCAAGCCCAAGGUUCUAGUUCAAGAUUUGUGAAGAAGUUCCUGAACACCAGAACUGCAAAUAUCAACUAUAUGAAUGUGGAGGAACUGACAGAAGAGGAACCCGUACUGGCUGGUAUGUUCACUCUCGAAACUCAUCAAGCCUUUGUUCUGUUUGAUUCUGGUGCUUCACAUAUUUUUAUUAGUAAAGCUUUUGUUCAAAAGUAUCACUUGCCAAUUGGGAUAUCAGAUCAUCGGUAUAUAAUUCAUGCCCCUGUUGCUACCUUAGUUACCAAUCAAGUAGUGCAACAAGCCUCUUUAGAUUUAAAUGGUGUUAAGUUCCCUACAAAUCUUUUGGUUUUGGACAAUCAAGGAAUAGAUGUCAUCUUAGGCAUGAAUUGGAUGAAGUUCUAUAAGGCUCUUAUUGAUGUUCCAUCAAGAACACUUCACUUGAAAACCUUUGAAGAUAAAUCCCUUGAAGAUCAGUUGCCUGAUCAGCAAACAAUCAAGGGAAUGGUAAACAAGAUACAGGCAAUUAAGUUAGAAUCAAUUCCGGUGGUAUGCAAAUUUUCGGAUGCCUUUCCAAAUGAUCUUCCCGGUAUGCCACCAGAUCGGAAUGUUGAGUUUAUUAUUGAACUUGAGCCUUGGACUGCACCAAUAUCAAGAAGACCUCAUCGCAUGCCUCCAAAAGAGUUAGCAUUGUUAAAAGAACAACUCCAAGAGUUGUUGGAUAAAGGAUAUAUCCGAUCAAAUUCUUCACCUUGGGGUUAUCUUGCUUUAUUCGUCAAGAAGAAAGACCAAACUUUGAGGUUAUGUGUGGACUAUCGGCCCUUGAAUGCAGUUACAAUCAAAAAUAAGUAUCUUGUCCCCAGGAUUGAUCUUCUCUUUGAUCAAUUAGCUAGUGCUAAGGUUUUCUCAAAGAUUGAUCUGAGGUCUGGGUAUCAUCAAAUCAAGAUUCGAGCAUCAGAUAUACCCAAGACAGCAUUCUCCACUCGAUAUGGAUUGUUCCAGUAUUUGGUUAUGUCCUUUGGACUAACCAAUGCUCCUGCGCACAACAUGUAUUUAAUGAACUCUGUUUCAUGCUAGAGUUAGACAAGUUCGUGGUUGUUUUUGUCGAUGAUAUUCUGAUCUACUCAAAGAAUGAAAAGGAGCAUGCAGAACAUCUUCGGAUAGUUCUCAAUCGACUUAGGGAACAUCAGUUGUAUGCCAAAUUCAAGAAGUGUGCAUUUUGGAUUAAGGAAGUUCCAUUCCUAGGACAUACUCUAUCAGCUGAAGGUGUUGUUGUAGAUCCAAGCAAAGUAAAAGAUGUAUUAGAUUGGAAACCUCCAAACACGGUGCAUAAAGUUAGAAGUUUCCUAGGGAUGGCCGGAUAUUAUCGACGCUUCAUUCCAAAUUUCUCAAGAAUAGCCAAGCCAAUUACGCAGUUACUGAAGAAGGAAACUAAGUUUGUAUGGACUCCUGAGUACAAUGAAGCUUUUGAGCCUUUAAAGAAACUACCAACUACCACUCCAGUUCUAUUACAACCAGAUGUGGAGAAGCCUUUUGAUAUUUAUUGCGAUGCAUUUGGCAUAGGCUUAGGUUGUGUUUUGAUGCAAGAAGGCUGAGUUGUUGCUUAUGCUUCUCGGCAGUUAAAGCAACAUGAAGAGCAUUAUCCAACCCAUGAUUUGGUGCUCGCUGUCGUGGUUCAUGCACUCAAGAUCUGGUGACACUACUUAUUGGGAAAUUUGUGCCGUAUCUAUAUCGGAUAUGUUUGCAAGCUUGGAUGAGCGCAGCAGGAAUUGGGUACUAGCUCAAAUUCUGACUGUAACACCCGACGGCAAGGUUAAAUUCAAACACCCCUCAACAGAGCUAAUUUACGAGAGGUUGGAACACCUCACCACGGAGCAAAAGAAGGGUCUUUUCAAGCCCGACAGGGAGAAAGAUCAGCUAACCACCGCGAUUGGAACCGUGGAGCACUCUGGGCGUGUUCGAGGGAUGUCAUCAACAUUGCCCAGGGGCAAAGGAUUCCCCAACGACCAAGCAAGCUACAGGAAGUACGACCGUUAUAAGAAAAACCUUGAAGAGAAGAUGAGAGAAAUCACCAAGCUGGAGUUCUUAGAGUUCUUGGCCAAUGAUGGGAUAAGCCAAAUGAUGGCUGACCCGACAGUAUCCGAUGGUCAACGAUAGGCAGAACCAACCAUGCUACUUGCCCAAAUAGGAUUCGUUGCUCCGAGUAGUGCUGCCUCUACUGCAAACGUAAGGUAUCCCGUUGACGACAUACAAGUGGAUACACCAUGCAGGUUGGUUAACCAUAUGGAAGGAAACAAAAUAAGUUUCGAGAGGUCGCAACCAGCAUGGCAGUAACAGGUUGUGUUCGCAAAAGCACCACCGCCAAAAUACAUCUAGGUGCAAAUUGUUACGGUGUUGGAUGAGUCGUGCGAGAUACACAACCCUACUGAUGAGGGGAUUGAGGUUCUUGGUGAUGCGAUGAACCAAUACAUACUAUGGCAUCACUGAGAUAUUGUUCUGAAUGCAUCGCCAGAAACCUCACGGUCGAGCCAAGAACUACCCCUUUCAGAUUCAAAUAUUAGCACGGAGCAGCCGAAGCUGUCACAUGUGCAGGGAGCUAACAAUGAGGAUGAGUAGCCAAUGCUAUCACAUGUCCGAGAAGCUCUCAAUGAGGACGAUGGAACAUCACCACUACAAGGCGAUGAACGCGUAGCUGAUUUAGAAGUUAAUGAUCCAACAUCGCCUUCGCCAACAUCUCCACCUCCCAAGAGGCUAGCAGUACCUCGUAUGGUUAGCAUAUAUGAAAAGGCUCCAUCAGCAGACGCCGACAAGUUUUUAAACGUAUUGAAGAAGAAGGCUUCAUCUUCCAGUGAAAAAUCUGUAACUCGCAGCGCCUCUCGGCAAAAGGAAAAGGAUCCAAACCUCAAUUUCUUUGCGUCAGAUGAUGUCCUAAUGGAUUAUGAGCAUGGCAAACCAUUCUUGUAUUGGUGGAAUCUACUGGAGGGCCCAUGAGAACUGAAUAAGCUGCAUGGAUGGAUCAUGAAUGCAAUGAAGCAAGGCAUUCGAGCUAUCACCGCGCAUGUCCCAACUAUGGUUUUCCUUGGCGUUCUCCCAUACCAGAUUGUGAUCGAUUUCGAGGAGUUGCACAGACUUUACUGUUGACAACACCUCGACGUGAAUCUCAUUUCCGUAUGGUGCUUGUAAGUCCACAUGUACUGCAUACAUGAGUUUUAAAUACAUACGUAUUUUAUUCAAGUACCUGAGCAACCUAUUCCGCAGUAUGCAAUGGAGGGAGGAAGAAUUGACGCAUGGCAAGUUCAAGAUAGCGUACCUUGACCCAGCACAAAUAAGCGAGCCAAAGCACAAGCUCAAAAUGAUGGAACGAUCAAAGCACAAAUAGAAGCAACAGAGACACAAGCGGAGAAAAAUGUUAUAAAAAUAAAAGCCCAUGGAGAUGAAAUGCACAAAGUGUCCAUAUACAUUACAGAAGUAAUGAAUAAAAAGGAUGACAAGGAUUAUAUCAUGGCUCCUUACAGUUUUGAGUAAGCUAAUUUUAACUACUAUAUAUAGUGCUAUUUAAUAUCGUCUAUAAUAUAAAUUAUUUUAAUAUAAUGCAAAGACCACUAGAUUUGCAUCAUUAUUUUACCCAAGCUAGGAGAAGCAGUGAUCCUCGACUCAGCCAGCUAUCACAGAGAUAGGUACAAGGAUUUCAUAGGCAUUAUACAAAAGUAAGACAUUCCUCGGCAAUACUUAAAUGCAUGUUGAUAUUCUAUGCAUCUAAGUUGUAUUGCUAACUCUUAUCUUUAUAUCCUCAAAGUGUGUACAAGCUUUACAUACUAAAAGGCUAAAUCCACAAUGCAAAGAGGACGAAAGCUAUGAAAAUAAUAUAUCAUAGAUUUGGAAUAACAUAAAAACUUGGUUUUUUUCAUAUAAUGUAGACUUGUCAUUAAUAACAACUCAUCAUUUUUCUAUUUGUUUGCAUUGCCACAAGCAACCUCCCGGUUCUAUGCUAUGCGGAUAUUACAUGUGCGAGUUCAUCAAAAACAAUGGGAGGUACCGGACGAACCCUGAAGACGUAAGUCUCUUAUACACUGCCAUGUGCUAACUUCCUAAUGGUAAUACAUCCUAAUAUUCAUUAACUGUACACCUGCAGAUGCCAUCGACAAUAACUAUAGCAAGAUCGAAGAUAAACAAAUCGACAACAUUUGUACAAACAUGGCAAGGUUCAUCCUACGCGAGAUUUGUCACGAGAAUGGAGCAUUCUUUGAUAAAGAUGGCAUGUUGAUGGCGGACGAGUGCACAAAUCUUCGUAGAUGGGCGUAGUAGUUUUAAUAUUAAUGUGGCAAAGAAUAGCUCUAUUCUAAAUGUUGGAUUUUGUUGGCGCUAGAAAUCGGUCAACCGAAUCCCAGCGUCUGACACACGACCCGGGAGAAUCUGCUUAACUCCUGUUCGGGUGAUUGCCCUGGUGCGGUUCGCGCGGCGUGCCAGCCAAUCUGACCUGUUGAUUGGCAAGGAAGAAUACGUGUCAGGUCCAGAAAUUACGAUCGGCUAAGUUUCCGAUCUCGAGAGAGCUUAUCAGCGAAUCGGCCGAUUUGCCGUAAUAAAGAAAUCGGCUAUAAGGCAGCCGAUCACUGUAGCCUUGUAGACAGAAAACUACUAGAGUAAUCGACACAAUGCUAUAGCGACAACACUAGAAAUAGAUCUAAUCGGCAAUAUAUAAAAUAGAUGAAUUUAAUAGCAGAAUGUAAAGAAAGCCGAGACCACCGAUUCCUAGCUGGAUAACUGGUGAUAAAACUAGAAAGACAGGUAAAACCUAUGAUUCUAGUAAAUAUCGAUAACUAGUGAAUAAAUCUAAAUGAAACAACAGCGAUACGCCCGAAGUUAAAGCUUAGAAUGUAUUCGGUAAACGGAACUUACAAGAUUGGCCGGAGAUCAAGUUGAUGCAGCCCUACCAACCCGCACGAACUCGUGAAAAGAGAAAGUAUUUGGCGAAGUCGCCUGCUUGAAAGUAAGUAUGAGGAAAAAGUAGUUGGUUGUAUUGAUUUGUUCAUGAUUACAGAUUUACAAAGGUAGCUAUUUAUAGCCCCAUACAGAUGACUUCUUAACCGACUAGAACUCUAUCUCUAAUUCAAACAGAAAACGAAUAUUUACAAGCACUAUUCGUACUAGGUUGGUUAUUAUACGCUUCGUGGGCUGAUCUCCCCUUCAUCCUUCUAUUCCUUUUCAAGCCCAUACAGGCCCAAUUAUCCCAACCUCCUAAUCGGCCGAUUCCUUAUCGGCAAAAGGCAACCGAUCGGGCACCCGGCGCGUUCGAUCCGAAGCGAGGCAGAAGUCAUCGGCCGAUCUCGCACUGUAGCACCAUUCGGCCGAUUCCCAACUGUACUUUUCCAGUUUCCUCUCUUCUUGGCGCCGAUUUUACUAGUGACAAAAUCUGGCGUCAACACAUGCCCCCCAGUUUCGGAGUAAAACAUAGUCUUUUACUUCGAAAUUCUCUUCAACUUCUCCUCCGAAACAGCCGCAAUGAAAAUAUCCUUCCGUUUCGCGGUCUUCCAGUUGAUGAUUGCAAUCUUUUCGAAACGGGCGCCCACGACAACCACUACUCCCGAAAAACUCGAAACGCCGGCGCGGUAAAAAUUCCAUGUUUACCCCUCUUCUGGCGCCCUUUAAAUAGCGGUUCACUCCGCACUUCAUCUUCAAGCUCACGUCUUUCUUCCCCCGCGCGCGCACCUUCUCCUUCCCUCGGCACUUUUCCCUUGUCACCGAAGCUUCCUAGCACCAUCCUCCCGUUGCUUCUUCCCUUCCUCUCCAAUGGCGGCUCCUUCUGGCAGCUCUCCAGCACGCGAUGCUCCGGAAGUAGCACCUCCGGCGGUAGUGGCGACGACAGUUGCUCCAUCAACAGAAGAAGGAGAUUCAUCGAAGAUCCCAAUGGCGAUCCCCAUCACGGCCUCAUCGUCCGCAUCUGCACCGGCGACCACGCCGACCACACGGAACUUCAUCCCAGAGGUUAUUACCGAAUCCUUCUUCUAUCGGCAAUGCAUUUACUUUAGAUCUGUUUCUUACCUUUUUACACCCCCCCCCUUUCCUUUUUUAGGCGGUUAGGCAUCGCAUUACCAUCCAUCUUACGGGAAAUCCCGGCCUUAUUUGUCUCGGACCCAUGGGGAACCCAGAUCCGAUAGAGCUUAUCAAUUUAGAAACCCACAGAAUCCCCUUCAAACAAUCCGGCAUGGACCUGGAUCACUGGUUGGGCACUUUUAGGUCCUGGCCGAAUGAAACCCCAGGUUGGAGGGAGUGGUACCAACGGGUAGCCGCGUCGAAGAGUGUCUCAUGGGACGAGCUCAAAAUCGGUCAGUGUAUCAACCUGUCCUUAUCCCAGAUGGAGAGAAACGAGCCGUUGGUAAUAGCGGCUUCUUACUUUUGGUAUGAUGCCCUUAAUGCUUUCUUAUUUGGUCACGGACCUAUGACCCCAACACUGGCCGAUGUGGUUCUGUUGACCAGCCUUGACAUUUCUUCCCCGGACACACCUUUCCACCUUUUAGCCGCAACGUCACAUCGGCUGGACACAAGGGGAAUCGGCGGGUGGAAAGGAUUCAUCAGAUGUAAUAAAAGAGCGGGGUCUGUUGAGAAUAGGGAGCACACGGCCUUCUUAAUGAUGUGGUUAGAAAAACACUUCUUUUGUGGAAGAGCCGCCGGCCCAUCAACCAACACCCAGGCUUUAGCCGAAGCACUGUCCAGAGGAAACCGUGUUCCCCUUGGGAAACACUUGCUAGGGGCGGCGUACCACAUGCUCCACCAAAUCGGCGUCAGACUAUCCAAGGGAGAGCCGAUCGGAAAUCCAGGCGGACCCUGGUGGUUCAUCAACCUAUGGCUGAACCUCUAUAUGAGCGAGAUCACUCAGCAGAGGGUGGACCGUAUGAUGUUCCCCAACAUCGAAUCGGCAGAAGAUCCUACCGAACGUCGCCGAUGUAUGUCUUUUGGUGAAGCAGCAUCGGCCUUUCCAGGUUGCACGUAUUCUACUACAAAAGUAGCCGAGUACUUCCGAUGCUUUUAUAACGGCUUUAAUGAAGAUGCAACCAUUUGGUUUCCUUAUCGGCGGGAUGACCCAAUCUUUGAACUCCCAACCUGCUUCGAUUCAAUCACUGGCCGAUUCGACGAAGAACUCAACGAUGAGUUAAUCAAGCCAGGAAUCUUGCCAGCCAACUUCUUUUCGGGGAAAGAUGCCCCCACGUACGAGUUCUACAACCCUUCUGUUGCAGCACGUCAGUUCGGCAUGGGUCAGCUGCCGAUUCAAGUGUAUUUUGCUGGCCGAGUCAAGUUCAGAGAUGAGCUCACAACCGGUCUGGACUACAGUCGGGUACGGGACCGGAUUCCGAACUCCAACACCAUUGACCUGAACAACUGGAUAGUAGCUCCCUUUGCUGUCCAGCCAUUCAAACUCUGGUGGGCCGAUUGGAAACAAUUCCUCUUCUGCAAUUCGGCAUCGGCAUACUGCAACCUCCUGGAUCCAGCCAACAUCGACCCGAAUGCCGAGGUAUCUUCCUUAGCCGAUUUUUACUCCUCUUAACGCGACUGAAUACUUAUGGUUUUACUAUUUCUUCAGGCCGAGAAUCAUACUCCUCCAACACACAGCCGGAGUGGUCGGCUAAUAGAGGGUCAUCAUCCAUACACCUCCUACCCUCUCAUCGGUUAUGAUGCUCCGUCCGUGGACGUGAUUGCUGGCCGAUCGAAACAAGUUCAGAAGAGAAUCGCCAAGAAGACCAGUCGCCGAGUCCGAGCCCGUAUAGAAUCGGCGGAUCCUCCUAUGCUCGUAUCGGCAGAGACUCCGGCCGCGCCACCCCCUCGGGCCAUCAAAGAUGACGAUACCCAAGUCGUCGCACAAGCUGGGGCAGCCGCCGCAUCAUUGUUGUUAGAGGCUGUUCAGGUAAACCUAAGUCUUAUUCCUUCCGAUUGUUGUUCUGAUAUUAAUCCUUCUUAUCUUAGACUGCACAGAGCAUUCCCACGGACACACAACAAUCGGCAGCAACCCAAUUGGCCAUCGACGCGCCCCCGCUUCCAUCUGUUGAGGUAUAGCACUAUUUCACCGAUUUUCCCUGGUAUUUGCAUAAUAUACUUAUUCAACCUUCUGGCACAGGUCAUCGGUACGCCAAGCGCUCCUCAACCAAUGGUCUUCUCUCAGGGAGCUGGUCCAAGCACCACGCCGAUCAUCGUGGAGUCUUCCUCUUCUGAUGAACCCAUGGUACAAGCCCCUGAGCAAGGCACGACGGCUUCCCAAAUGCAACAUAAAGAAAUUCGCUUCAAAGUGGUAAGUUAUCUUCCAGCUUUAUUUAGCCGAUUUGCUUCCACCAUCAGCUGAUUUAUUUUUCCUCUUUAUUAUCUCCAGGAGCAAGACACCCCCAACAACAGCCUCUUCUCUUUCGCGGUUGCCCUCUCCGACGAUGAAGAAGUCGCUUCCCGCCAAGUUGCCUUGAGUUCCAUCCCUGACGACGUCCGAGCCAAACUUACUAGUAUCCGAUCCCUUCUUCAAGGGGACAUCGGCCGAUUAGUAGAAGAUGCCUCGCCGAUUCGGCAGCUUUUCGGUGACGUCAGCGGACGAGUACCAGAAGAGGCGGAGGAAGCCUUGGCGCCGGCGGCAUUCAUCGAGUCCAUGAGGAUCCCGGUCUUCAGAGCCCUUCGUCAUAUGGCCGAUCGCGCUAAGCUGGCCAAGACUCGUGAAGAGGAAGACGCGUUCAAACGUCAGGCUCAAGAGGCGCACCAGCGUAUCCAUUUUCUAGAGGACUCUCGCCCAGGGAUCGUCGGUGAGAUAGACUGCCUCAAACGCCGGAGGGCAGAGCUCGCCAAGGAAAUGGAACAAGUGACCAAGGCAAUCAGUGCCGAAGAGAAAAGGCUCCAAGAACUCCCUUCUGUUAUUGCCGAUUUGAAACAGGAGAGGCAGCACUUGGCCCACGAGGCCCUGAAACUCCACCGCAGCGCAUCAGAAGUCCCUGGAUCGGCGGAUGACGACCAACGGGUCCUGGAUUCUGCCGAUCAGAUCCGGCGUCGGGCGAUCGCGGCUAUCGAUACCCUUCUGGGUAAUCUGUAAAGACACUGACUAUUUGUACGAACCUUUAAUAACUGCUUUGACCGUCCUUCGCGACGCCUCCUUUAUUUAUUGCCUUUCCUAUUUCCGACGGGAUGCACCCUUACCAAAAUUUCCACGCCUCUUUUUCUUAUAAGUACCGGCCUAGACACUUCCUUCUGAGAGCACCAGAUUGGCUUCGGUUUUAUUCAUCCAUUCUCGUCGGCACGACCUUCUGUCAUGUCUUCGUCGACUUCCUCUUCCUCUGUCAACCAAGUGAAACCCUGGCCUUGAUUCCCCUCUCUUUUUUUAGCUCUUGCGUAGAGGAUGACCCUUUUUAAUCUUUCCUUCCUUCAGCCUCGGUGUCUUAGCCCCGAGCUCGAACGCGCCAUUGAGCUCAUACACUCUGAUGACCCGUUGUCGUCAGAGGAUAAGGACCUGAUCAGGGCUCAUCGUGACGAACUUCAAGAACACAUCACUGUGGAGGCCCGUGUGGUCUUGGACUUCCUGGAGAGCAACGGUCGCCGGCGACCUCCAACUGACAGGAGUCAUCCGCUUCCCCCGCGAGUUGCCCUUGAAGACAUGGCGGCAGGGACGUCACGUCCGGCGGUGGACCGGAGCCACCCUCUCCCCCGUCAAGUCGAAGCGGAGGCUUCGAUGAAGGAAAUAGAAGAAGAGUACAUACGUCUCAUGAUAGAGUUAGGCCGAACCGAGAGAGAGCGUAAGAAAAAGAAUAAUUAGUUAUUGUAUUUUUUGUUCUAAGGGCGACUUGUGUUUUGUCGGCCGUGUAAUCUAUCGCCCGUACCGAAUGAAUACAUCGGCCGAUUUGGACGACUAUGUGUUUGAACCGUUUUGUAUCGACUGUGUGUGAUUGUAUUACGGUCAAUCCCUUAUGCUCCAACCCAUAUACUAGGGUAGUAUCUUUUUAAGUACCUUCCGUUCAGAGCCCUAGUAAAUUCUUCUCCCUCAAUUGUUUCCAAAAUGUAAGCAUUCCCUGGAGCACAUCUGCCGAUUUUAUACGGCCCUUCCCAUGUAGGAGACCAUUUUCCGAAUUUAGGAUCUUUCGACCCAAUCGGCAAUACUAACUUCCAUACCAAGUCCACGGGGGAGAAUUGUUUGACUUUGACCUUCUUAUCGUACCACCUGGCUACUUUCUUUUUGUUCUCUUCAAUGCUUAUCAACGCUCUCAACCGCUGGCCAGCCAAGUCAUCGAGUUCCCUCUUCAUGAGCGACGAGUAGUCGUCGGCUGUUAAUUGGUCCUGGAGCGAAAUACGCCUUGAUCCCGCCCUUGCUUCCCAUGGUAGUACUGCAUCGUGACCGUACACCAACUGAUAAGGGGAUAACUUGGUGGCUCCAUGACAAGCCAUCCUGUACGCCCAUAAGGCCUCAGUCAAACAUAGAUGCCACUUCUUUGGCUGCUCUUCGAUUUUCCUUUUGAUUAGCUUAAUUAUCCCUUUGUUAGAGGAUUCGGCCUGACCAUUGGCUUGGGCGUAAUACGGAGAAGAAUUCAACAAUUUGAUCCCCAUAUUGGUUGUAAACUCAUCGAAUUCACCCGACGUGAACAUUGUUCCCUGAUCGGUCGUUAUAGUCUAGGGAAUGCCGAAUCGGUAGACGAUAUGAUCCCUUACGAAGACGGCCAUGAUAGCCGAUGUCACGGCUCUUAACGGGAUCGCCUCUACCCAUUUGGUAAAGUAAUCGGUAGCCACCAGAAUAAACUUAUGCCCUUUGCUUGAUGGUGGGUAAAUUUGGCCGAUAAGGUCUAUUCCCCAUUCCCUGAACGGCCAUGGCUUGAUAAUGGGAUUCAUGGCCGAUGCGGGCGCACGUUGGACAUUUCCGAACUUCUGACAAUCCUGACAACCCUUAUAAUAUUUGAAACAGUCUUCGAGGAUCGUUGGCCAGUAGUACCCAUUAUUCCUGAUCAUCCACUUCAUCUUAUGGGCCGAUUGGUGUGCACCACAUACCCCUUCAUGGAUUUCUCCCAUUAGAGUCUUGGCCUCCUCUGUCCCAAGGCAUUUGAGUAGAACACCAUCGAUCGUUCGGUAGAACAGGUCGUCUUCGAGCAGUACAUAUUUAGUAGCAUGAAAACGUACUCGUCGUUCCACCUUUUUAGACGGAUCUUUCAGCUAGUCGGCAAUUUCUUUUCGCCAGUCAUCGGCUACGAGUUCUAGAGCCAUAGCACCUAGAAUUGGCCGAUAUCCAGAUGCGUGCUAGGCGAGCUUGUUGGCACCCUCGUUGUGGUCCCUUGGGAUGUGCUCGAUUACUGCCGAUCUAAAUUCUUUUAAGAGCUGUAAGCAAUCUUCGUAAUAAAUUCUUAAUACGUCGUCUUUGCAUUCGGACCUUCCGGUCAGUUGAUCCACAAUAAGCAUGGAAUCUCCGAAGACUUCAACCGAUUCGGCCUUGACUUCUCUUAAUAGUUGUAGGCCCUUCAAUACAGCUCGGUACUCCGCUUGAUUGUUAGUAGCGGUGGCUUCUAUCGGCAGAGAAAAAUCAUAGCUUGCCCCCCGAGGCGAUAUGAGAACGAUGCCGAUUCUUGAUCCGACCCCACAUGACGACCCAUCAAAAUAUAAUGUCCAAGGUGCCGGCUCUAUGAGGGCAAUCUCCGGUCCGCAGUGUUGAGCGACGAAAUCGGCCAUGACCUGACCCUUGACGGCUUUUGCCGAUUCAUACCGCAGGUCGAACUCUGACAACGCUAAGAUCCAUUUGCCGAUUCGUCCUUUCAAGAUCGGUAGUGAUAGCAUGUAUUUUACUACGUCGUCUUUGCACACGACCACGCAUUCUGCCGACAGUAGAUAGUGCCUGAGUUUGGUGCAUGAGAAGUAAAGACAUAAGCACAAACGCUCCACCGGAGGAUAUCUUGUUUCAGCGUCCAGAAGUCUUCUACUGACAUAAUAAAUUACUCGUUCCUUGCCUUCGAACUCCUGGACUAGAGCCGACCCAAUAGCUUUUUCAUCGGCUGAUAAGUAUAGCUUAAACGGCUUACCAGUUUGAGGAGGAACCAAUACCGGUGGUGAGAUCAAGUAUUGCUUGAUAUCUUCCAAUGCUUUGCGCUGCUCCUCCCCCCAUAUAAAUUUCUGGUCAGGCUUUAACUUCAACAAUGGUGUGAACGCCUGAAUCCGCCCAGAUAGAUUAGAUAUGAAUCUUCUGAUGAAAUUCACCUUGCCGAUUAAAGACUGCAAUUCGGUUUUGUUCUGCGGGGCCACGACUUUGUUGAUGGCUGCUAUGGUCUUCCGAUUGAUUUCUAUCCCUUGUUCAUGCACCAUGAACCCUAAGAAUUGUCCGGCGGAUACGCCGAAAGCACAUUUAUUGGGGUUCAUCUUAAGCCCGUGUUUCUUGGUGCACUCUAGUACUCUUCGCAAAUCGGCCAGAUGCUCUUCAUGUCCUUUGGACUUGACUACGACGUCGUCGAUGUAGAUUUCUACCAGAAUGCCGAUAAGUUUGUGAAAUAUGUAGUUCAUGGCUCUCUGAUACGUGGCACCGGCGUUCUUCAAGCCAAAAGUCAUCACCACCCACUCGAAUAGACCAAGGUGGCCCGGGCAUCUGAAGGCCGUUUUGGAUAUAUCCUCUUCAGCCAUAAGUAUCUGAUUGUAUCCAGCGUUUCCGUCCAUGAAACUGAUAAUCUUGUGCCCCGCGGCAGCGUCGAUCAGCACAUCGGCCGUUGGCAUGGGGUAACCAUCCAUCGGUGUGGCCUGAUUAAGAUUCCUGAAAUCAACGCAAACACGUAGCUUUCCGUUCUUUUUGUAUACUAGUACAAUGUUGGAGAUCCACUCGGCAUAACGGCAUUGCCGAAUAAAUUUCGCUUCGAUUAGCCGAGUUAUUUCGGCUUUUAUGUCUGGUAGAAUCUUGGGAUUGCAGCGCCGUGCAUGCUGUUGGUAUGGCCGAUACCCUGGUUUUAUAGGUAGCCGAUGUUCAACAAUAGAUCGAUCUAAACCGGGCAUCUCAUGAUACUCCCAAGCAAAACAAUCCUUAAAUUCUCUUAACAAAUUUGUCAAUUUACAUUUGUAUUCUGGGUCUAAAUUUGCACUAAUAUAAGUCGGCCUUGGUUUGGUACCAUCGCCCAAGUCUAUCAUUUCUAGUGAAUCGGCCGACGUGAACCCGUGCCCUAACUUCCCAUCUUCUCGGGCGGAUUGAUCCAUCUAUUCUGAGCCUUCGGAGCCGACUGCUCGGAUCGGCUGCAGGCCAAAAUCGGUGACCUUCAGGAAAUCGAUCUCCCAUACUCUGCCGCAUAUGCACCUGACGGUUUCGCAGCUCCACUGCUGCGUGUCGGCUGCCGCGAUGCUGUAUGCGGAAUCGGCGUUGACUACCUCGAUGUUAUCGCCGACCCAUUGUACAAGACAUUGAUGCAUUGUUGAUGGGAUGCAGCAAUUUGCGUGUAUCAAUUCCCGGCCGAGUAGCAUAUUGUAGGACCCCUUGCCAUUAAUAACAAAGAAAGUGGUGGGAAGGGUCUUACUGCCGAUGGUGAGGUCAACGCAGAGAGCACCGCGAGCGUUUGACACGUCGCCUUCGAAGUCCUUGAGCAUCAUGUCCGUCUUGGUCAAGUCGUCGUCGCUUUUUCCAAGCUUCCGGAGCACGGCGUAUGGCAUGAUGUUGACCGCAGCUCCUCCGUCUACCAUCAAUCUAGUGAGGGGGCGGCCGUCAACAUGCCCUUUAAGGAACAGUGCUUUCAGGUGUUGUCGUUUGUCAUCUUCGGGCUUCUCGAACGUGGCCAUCAUUGGUUCCAACGCCAACUGUGCCGUCUGUUCUUCUAUCGCCGAUAUAUCCUGUUGAUCGGCGGGAGUCAUGAAUUCCAUCGGCAGUAUGAAAACCAUGCCAAUAUCGGCUGCCGAUUCAUCACCCGCCGAUUCGUCGUCCCCUUUGUCGUUUCUUUUGGGGCGCCACACCCGAGGCCUUCCUUCCUUCUUGUCCGUCGUGCUCUGUUGUUCCUCUUCCUACUGUUCCCAUUGGCGGAGACGUUGGAUUCUUCGUUUUUGAGACUUGGUCAAUCCAUCAAGACACCACCUGGGGUUUAUUAGUUUGCCCCCUGACUCAGCGCGUUCCCACUCCGGUUCGCGUCCUAACGGGUUUUCGUCUGUCACCCGAGCAUCGGACAUCUCUUCGAGCCGACUGUGAACGUUGGCCUUGUUUUCUGACCGGUCAUGUCGAUCAGUCCUGCCCCCCUGCCUGUCAUGGCGUCUAUCUUCCGACCGAUCAUAUCGGCCACUUCUGCCCCCCAGCCGAUCACGCACGGGAGGGCGCUGGUCAUCUUGGUUGCGCCAAUUCCUGCUGAUCGGUUCUGGAGUUCCGUCUCUGGAGCGAGACCUGUUGAACGGCCGAUUGCCACGAUAUGGGCCAUUGCAUUCUGGGCAAUUAUCGGUCGAAGGUAGCCUGAGGUUGUUUUCCCAACAGUGGAUGAAGAACGGGCACCUCCAGUGAUCUUCGUGCCGUCGCAUCGCUUCUUCCCAGGAUCUUGAGCGUUCAUGCUGACGUUGGUAUUUCUGGAGCAGGAACUGGGAAGUAAUGCGUGGCUCUUUCGAUUCGCCAUCGUCGUCCUCCAUACGCCGCUUCCCCUUGACAUCUUCAGGCGUAGCUUGAUUUCUGGGGUCAACGGCACCAUUCUUUUUAGCCGAUUCGGACGUCAGCACCUUUGUUUGGAGUGAAUUCUUCCCCGUAUCAACCAUGUUGGUGGGAAAGGGGUGCUGGUCGAUCUUCAUUGGUUUGGCCGAUUUUGUCGGCACGUCAAAUUUAAGCCUGCCUUGCUCAAUGGCUGACUGUAUCUGCUGCCUGAAGAUUUUGCACUCAUUAGUAUCAUGGGAUGUGGCGUUGUGCCACUUGCAAUAUUUCAUCUUUUUCAGUUGUUCGGCAGAAGGUAUUGUAUGAUAGGGCGAGAGUUUGAUCUGCCCUUCCUGGAGGAGAAGGUCGAAGAUUUUAUCGGCCUUUGUUGUGUCAAAACCGAAUGCUUCUGGCUCCUUUUUACCGAACGGGCAUGAUAUUGGCUUCUUUCCCUUGACCCAUUCCGCAAGCCCGACCUCAACGUCUUCCUCAUCCUCCAUCUCUUCCAGGAAUGCCACUUUCUUCUGGAAAUUCCUUCGUGGGUCGAAAGGACGUACCUCCUGUCCAGACAAUCGGUGGACGAUUUGACUUAAACUCUCGAACUCCUGUGAGGCGUAUUUUUCUUUGAUGUGGGGCAGAAGGCCUUGAAAAGCUAUAUCGGCCAACUGCGCGUCGUUUAGAGCCAGGGAAUAGCACUUGUUCCUGAUUUCUCGAAACCUCUGUACAUAUGAGGAUAUCGGCUCGUCACUUCUCUGCCGGAGGCUGGUCAAAUCGGACAGCUUCAUCUCAUGCACCCCGGCGUAGAAGUAUUUGUGGAACUGUCUUUCUAAAUCGGCCCAUGUGAUAAUCGAGUUUGGCGGCAAUGUCGUGAACCACUGAAAGGCCGAACCAGACAAAGAUGAUGAGAACAACCGUACCCAUAGAGCAUCCUGCGUAGCUGCCUCUCCGCAUUGGAUGAUGAAUCUGUUCACGUGCUCUACGGUUGAAGUGUCAUCCAUCCCCAAAAACUUGGUGAAGUCAGGAACUUUAUACCGAUGGGGAAACGGCAAUAGGUCAUAUGUCGACGGGUAUGGUGUCCUAUAGGUGUAAGUUUGUACCUUCGGCUUUAAGCUGAAUUGUUCUUGAAUCACUUCUGCAUACGUGCCGACCAAUCUGGCUGUUGCUGGUGAACUGUUGGCUGAGGUAUUGGCACGUGUUGGUAUCCGGAGGUGGAGUAGCUUGAUGCUGAGUGAAAGCAGGUGGCAUCUGAGUAAAAGCCGGUUGUGUAUUGAAAAUCGGCUGUUUGAAUGAGCCACUUGUUUCAUCAUACAACAUGAGCUCUGUUGUUUUAUUCAUCUCUGGUGCAACAGGCUGGUAUGGCGGCACGGUCGGCCGAAUGGCCGCUUGGAAAGAUGCCUGGAAUGGAGGGUUUCCUUGACUGGCCGAUUGAUUCUAACCGGCCGUGGCUGAUGGUGCCCCCCAAGGUGAUGGGCUAACUGGAGGGAAUGGUGCAGAAGACAGUUGGAUGGAGUUAUACCCCAUAGGAGCUGAUGAUGAGGAAGCACCUGAACCCCCGACAGAAAAUUGGAUCGGCUGUGAAACCGAAUUCGAAUAAUUCUAGUUUGGUGGAAUCGGCUGAAAAUAUGCCGGUCCCCUGUAUCCUUGAGGUAUCCCACCAGCGAAGGAGUUGACAACGGCGUUGUACACCAUAUUUGAAAGUACCGGGGACUGAUCAACGAAGGCGUGAUAAACGGACUGUUGAACCAUAUCGGCCAUUUUGGCCGAGUCCUCAGAAAUCGUGAUCUGGCGGGGAGCGGGAAACGGAGUCUUCUUGAUAGUCUCCCUGCUUCUGGAGCGACUGAAAGACUGUAAGCAAGCUUUUCGGAACUGUGCCGUAUGCUUAUCCAGUUCUUCCUUCUGGUCGUCCUUUAGAUCUGCUUCCGUCACCUCGAUGACGUUAUCUUCGGAGACUUCAGCAGCUUUCGACAUGAUGGCGGUUGUACUGGUCCCACUGGGCGUGCCAAAAGUGUGUUGGCGCUAGAAAUCGGUCAACCGAAUCCCAGCGUCUGACACACGACCCGGGAGAAUCUGCUUAACUCCUGUUCGGGUGAUUGCCCUGGUGCGGUUCGCGCGGCGUGCCAGCCAAUCUGACCUGUUGAUUGGCAAGGAAGAAUACGUGUCAGGUCCAGAAAUUACGAUCGGCUAAGUUUCCGAUCUCGAGAGAGCUUAUCAGCGAAUCGGCCGAUUUGCCGUAAUAAAGAAAUCGGCUAUAAGGCAGCCGAUCACUGUAGCCUUGUAGACAGAAAACUACUAGAGUAAUCGACACAAUGCUAUAGCGACAACACUAGAAAUAGAUCUAAUCGGCAAUAUAUAAAAUAGAUGAAUUUAAUAGCAGAAUGUAAAGAAAGCCGAGACCACCGAUUCCUAGCUGGAUAACUGGUGAUAAAACUAGAAAGACAGGUAAAACCUAUGAUUCUAGUAAAUAUCGAUAACUAGUGAAUAAAUCUAAACGAAACAACAGCGAUACGCCCGAAGUUAAAGCUUAGAAUGUAUUCGGUAAACGGAACUUACAAGAUUGGCCGGAGAUCAAGUUGAUGCAGCCCUACCAACCCGCACGAACUCGUGAAAAGAGAAAGUAUUUGGCGAAGUCGCCUCCUUGAAAGUAAGUAUGAGGAAAAAGUAGUUGGUUGUAUUGAUUUGUUCAUGAUUACAGAUUUACAAAGGUAGCUAUUUAUAGCCCCAUACAGAUGACUUCUUAACCGACUAGAACUCUAUCUCUAAUUCAAACAGAAAACGAAUAUUUACAAGCACUAUUCGUACUAGGUUGGUUAUUAUACGCUUCGUGGGCUGAUCUCCCCUUCAUCCUUCUAUUCCUUUUCAAGCCCAUACAGGCCCAAUUAUCCCAACCUCCUAAUCGGCUGAUUCCUUAUCGGCAAAAGGCAACCGAUCGGGCACCCGGCGCGUUUGAUCCGAAGCGAGGCAGAAGUCAUCGGCUGAUCUCGCACUGUAGCACCAUUCGGCCGAUUCCCAACUGUACUUUUCCAGUUUCCUCUCUUCUUGGCGCCGAUUUUACUAGUGACAAAAUCUGGCGUCAACAGAUUUUUAAUAAUAUGAAUUAUAUAUUAUGUACGAUGCAGUUUUUAAUAAUGUGCAUUAUUUAUUAUUCAAGUUUGUUGUUACGUGGUUGGAAAUACAUAUUUCAAUUUGAUGAUGGCGGGAAAUAAAUUUAUAAAUAACUCACGGGAAAUAAUAUAUUGAAUACAUAUUCCUGGCGGGCGGUAUAAGCAACUGCCAACACAAAAACCAUCCGUGCUGGCAGGUGGGUAACGUCACCCGCCAGCAGAGAGCAUUCUGUGCUAGCGGGCGAGCACCCACCAGCACAGAUGGCAUUUGUGCUGGCUUAAGGUUGCUGCUGGGUGCGAUACCCGCCAGCACAAACAUAUUCUAGCCGCCAGCCCAAAUGCUUUUUGGCGUAGUGUUCCAAAUCCGUUGAUGUCAUGCGAUCUCCAAAAGUAUUACUCUACUUAUAAAAAAAUAUAUAAUCGCUGAACUUGUCAUAAAUAUGAUAUAUUUAGAAAUAGAAAGAGUAUCUUAAAUGGAAACUGAAUGAUACAGCCCUAAGAAUACAUGGUAUCAUGGUGUCGCUUAGGAAUAACAAAAUUAGCAUAUCGUUCCCUUAAACAUGUGUAUAACAUGUGCAUGGUUUUCAAAAGUUUGUUUUUAUGCUCCAGCUAUACCUUCAUGGAGAUACUACUACUUCUACCUCUCUCCUAUUUAAUUACUUGACGCGCCGGUAAAAUAUCAUAGGGUGACACUUUUUGAUCUAUGAUUUACAAGGUGUAUUUCGUUUUAGUAAAACGAAACUUUUUCUAACAAUUAAAAUAUGCAUGAAUAAUGAGGUACAAAAUUAUAAUAAACCUUUUCAAACAAACAUAAUAACAUGAAUCUUAAUUUGUGUCACAAAAGUUAUACAUUAAUACAACAAUUAUUGGUCAAAGUAUUAUCCGAUAAAAAUGAAAAUGCACCUUAUAAGGAUAAGCGGAACAAGUAAUAGAAAAAAUAAUACUCUCUGCGCUAUCCAUUCAAGGCGUAUUUGUUUUCAUUAUGUCUAAGAGCAGCCCCAAUGUUGUUUUUCAUUGAUGCCUCAACAGAUAUUCACAGCAUAUUCCCUUGCAGGCGACGCUUGAUUCAAAAAUAUGGCAUCGAGACUUCUAAAUCCAUCGGUGCCGAGUGAAUCAAAUAUUGCGAGUCCACGAUAGAAGAGCCAGCAUAGGUGGUUGCCGAAUGAACAUCACUUUUUAUACCAAGUAAAUAUUUGGUAGGACGCAUCCAAAAAGAGGGAGGUGAUGCUUGUACACCACAAAAUAAAGAAAAAGCAGGAACCGAUGCUGGCUUGAUGUUUCAAGCUUCGGUACCCUGACUUGCAUGAUGUGGAUGCUCUAAGCCAAAAGAGAUGAAGUAGGUAGCCUAAUAAGGCAAAAGUGUCUUUGAUGUUACUGUCGUAUAUAUUGUCAUAUGUACGUGUUUUUAGAAAAACAUCACAAAGUUCGUGUGUGCCACUAAUCCAGAUUUUGUUGGAAUGGUAUAGAGCUAAUAAGCUAUUUGCAAAAAAAGUAUUAACUUGACCCUCUAACUAUAUAUUUCAAACGGAUUUUAAAUUGGCCAACUCGAUCAGUUUGAAACAUAACCGUAUGUUCGAAUCUUGAAAUUGCACACAACUCACUUGUAGCAGUGAUGCUAGGUUUUGUCUGCGGGUUUACAUCUAGUGAUCUAGGAGACUUAUGCAGGGAACUUCUUUCUAGGAAAUCCCACAUAAUUAUGUAGGGGACCCAUUAUGCAUAUGCCAAAGAGAUCAAUAAAGUUGAGAGAAACUCUCGUUUGCAUAUGAUCUUUCAUAAAAAAAAUAUAUUAUUCAAUUUUCUUUAAAUGGGCAUACGACCCUUAUAAGAACAUUUCUACAUUUGCUUUCGAAAACAGAAAAAAAAAAGGAACACCUUGUUGGUAAAAAAAUGAGAAAUUGAAUAAAAAGAAUGAUUUGCACAAGCAUCACAUUUGUUUACAAAAAAAGGAAUCAAAUCCGAGUUUUUCAGUAGCCUUUGUUAACCCUCCGGCAGUUCUUCCUGAUCUCCCCAUCCUUCCCUGUCAGCGGGCUAAUGUUUCCCAUUUUAAUCAUGGACGCCGCGAAGUUCCUGAAGAAAUCCUUUUGGUUGCUUGCGAACCGAUGGACAAUGGGAGCAGUGGUCGCCGCCGCGGCAGGGUCCGACAGCAUAACCUGGUCUGACGGGAGCUGAGCGCGGCCCUCCAACAGGUUGCCGUAAUACUUGUUGUCGAACCGGUUGGGUGUGACCUGGUCCAGGUUCUCCAGUGCACCUCUGGAUUGGCCGGCCGUGCAGUUCUCCCUCGUGAACUGACACUGCACCUUACCGAAUGUGUGCGCACCUGAUCGCGAAGUACAAAUUUAGUAAGGCCCAUCGUACGCUACCAGAAAUUUCUAGCAAGAUUUGCACUGUGUCUGCUGAAAUGGUGUUGCUUGUGUGAGCACGUUAAUUACCUUGGAGAGCGACGAGGUCAGCGUCGUCCAGGUUGACGUUUCUGAACUUCUCCUGGAGGACGUUCAGGGGGUCGAAGAAGUUGGGUAGGUUUCUGGCGCUCUGGAUGUUGGUCGCCGUGCCGUCUCGCCGGCCGAGGAGCACCCUCCAUCGUGGCCCUCCAGCCUGCAAGCAGUUCCAUGGUUUCGUCAGUCAAGGAAAACUAACUAAGCCUUGAACAGCGUCGGGAAGCUAGUUAUGAUCGUUCUUCAAUGGAAGAACUCAAGAUAUCUGGUGUCUGGUGCUUACGAGUUCGACGGAGAUCUCAGCCGCGAGAGCAAGGAUGUCGGCGCAGGAAACGAUGCCUGGGCACGCUUCCUCCAGAGCGCUCUUGAUGUCGUCGACCACCUCAAAGCCGCGCGCCGAUUUGUUGUUGGCCGGCACAGUCUUCUCGGUCUUGAUGGCCGGGAGGUCGUCGUCAAGGAGGAGCGAGCCGUCGCAGCCCUGAACGAAGCAGUCGUGGAAGUGGAGGCGGAUGAGGCUGGCCGGGAUGCGCGGGUCGGAGACCCUGGCGUCCUGGAUCACGCGGCGGACGACGUCGUGGGCGCUGGGGCACGACGCGUCGUAGAACGUCGAGCUCAGCACCGAGCCGGCGCUACUAGGAGGGUGGCCGUGAGCGGCUCCGGCCAGGGCGAGCAUGAGCAAGACGGCGCAGUGCGCCGCUAGCACCACCGCGGCAGAUGAGGAGGAGGAGGAGGAAGCGGCCAUGCGCGUGUACGUGUAUAUGGCUCCUGAGUUGCUGGCUAUAUAUCUGAUCGCUCAAGUGAGUUAGGAACCGGCAACUGACGCUGCUUGCUGCCUCUGGUGGUUCUUGCUGCUGACGGAUGUAAGCUUGCAGAGGUGAAGGUGAGAGCUGGGUGCGAGUGGACGGCCGGAUGCGGCAGGGUUUUAUAGUCUCAACGAGCCAUCGGCGCGCGGACUUUUUCGCUGGGGCGUGAACGGGAUUGGAGUUGCGCGUUUGACAUGUUCCUCGUACCGGUGCAAUGUCAACCUGAAUUAGCUAUCAGUUUCCGUACAAGAAAGGUGACGACGGACGACGACGGCUGCGGCGCGCGCACCUUCUCCUUCGCACGCGGUUGCUGCGGGCACACUCUUCGCUAGAUGGAGAGCGGUGGUACGUGGACGAUGGCAGCCGCCCGCGGGGGAGACGAGGUCGUGGCGAGUGAUUUGGUUUGCUGUGGGCAGGUGCGGGUGUUCGUUGCGCCUGCGCGCGGUGGGAAAGCGAGAGGUGCUCUCGAUCAAAUCCUUCGCCGCUUGUUCCAAGCAAGUAAAGUAGGUAUACGUAACCGAAAGAAAAGUGCAGUGAGUGUACGGUGGUGCCAGUGGGGUCCGAGGUGUUGUGCACUUUGUGCUGAUGAUGCCGGUGGCGGUCGGCGACCAACCAGGCCUCUUCGGUUGCGAGGAAACGGCCAAUGGAGUGGCCGGGUCAGGGAGAGGCGUGGAGGUCAAUUCUGUUCCUGAUCAGCACUUCAGCAGCCAUGCCCAUGCUUGCCGGUUCCGGAGCAGGACGUCGGAGCUUUCGUAGGGUUGGUGGUUGGCAACGCGAAAAUGGCCCAACGGAUGGGCCAUCUACGGCCGAUACUCUUCUUCUAGCCACGCUUACGCUUGUAUUAUAAUCUAAACGAAAAUUUUUUAGCUUCUCGCUUUUCACUUCUAGUAGUUCAACUCUCUGAAGCGAUUUAAUACAUAAGCAAAAACCAGUAAAAAUAAAUAAAAUAUUUGAUGGGAUUCUCAUUUAUUUCCACCGAUAAGCCGCUUAUAAGCGGAAACAAACGGGGUCUACAUGGGCUAGCUGGCCUGAACUAAUCCAUUUGAUUUUCCGGGACAUGUACAAAUUUACUAAAAUCAUGCGAAGCAUUGGGCCAUAGAAGCAGCCAGGCCCGUCGGCCCAGCACACCAAUAUUCAAUUUUCCACAGGCUUGGCAAGCAAUCAGCCAGCCUCUGUACAGACAGACUACAGAAGAAUAAGAGAACUAAAAAAAUCAUGGCGGCAGAAAUGAACGAAGGUGCUCGUGGGGAGGCCAGCGCACGCCUUCCCUGGGGCACGGCGCGAGCGGCGCCGGCUGCGCGAGGAACGUCGGGUACCGGUGCCCGGGCAUCAGCACCGUCAGGUCCGGCGCGGCCGCCACGGGGUCCUCGUCCACCUGCAACGCAACAAAAACCGGCGAGCAAUUCAGGUUCCGCACGCCACGACACCUCGCUGUCCGCACUCGGACAGUGUACGUGUGUUACAGUACAGGUACAUGGAUACAUCACUGUUACUGCAGCCACGAGCUUGAAUGAAAGACAGGGCGUGUCGCUUUCCUCUGGUACGGUGCACGUGAACCGGACGCACGAGCAGUGGAGCACGAGAGAAGCAGAGGGGGAGCAGUGGCAAUGCGGGUACUGUACCUUGGGCGAGUGGCCGACCUUGUCCGGCGACGCGUCGUGCUGGUGGUGCAGGCGAGCGGGGGGCAGACCCAUGCGGCGGCGGCCGCCGCGGCCCUCGCCGCUGUCGUCGUCGGAGCGUGGGGAGGAGGACGAAGACGAGGAGGAAGAGGAGGCCAGGCCGGGUUUGAUGAGGUGCUCGAAGAUGGCCAUGAGGAGGAACAUGGAGACGAGGACGGCCGUGGCCGCGAAGCCGAAGGAGAUGGCGCUGGCGUUGGUGGACGCGUCGGCGCCGCCCCUCAUGGACGAGGCCGCCGCGGCGUCGUCCCUGGCGGCGACGCUGUCACCGGCGUGCUCCGAGGGGGUGCCGACGCCAGCCAUCCCCACCCACGGCCUCGACCUCUGCCCCGCGAAGCUGCUCAUGGCUGUCUAGCUGCUGCUGCUGCCGCCGCCGCGCCCGGUCCUUGGGCUCCUCCCGGUUCCUGCGAUGCGCCGCGGAGGAGCUCGUGAUCAGCGCGGCCCCCGUGGCUGGGCACUGGCAGAGGAAAUGCAGGCAUCAGAGGCGGUUGAUGGCUCGAUGCCGUCUUAUCUCCUGGCCGUUAGCAUGUGAGGCUCGUGAAAGACAUAUCACGUUCUACAUGUGAAAGACUGAAGAGGUAAAAUAAAACAAAAGUGAAAGCAAAUGCAGCAUGGUUUGUUGCUCCCGUUCCUGCUUGUUGCUUGUGGGCGGGAGUGGUUGGGAUUGCCAUUGUGGCGUGGCAAUCCGAACCGGAACGGGGAACAGCGAUGUCACAACACCACGCACGCACGCACGCAUUCUGUGUUGGAACGAUUUGCUAUUCCAAUGCUGCUCAGCCAGGGAAGUUUCAGAAAGACAACCAAUACUCACACCGAAAACCCCACAAUGCACCCUCGAUCAGUUUACUUUUACUACCAUUUUUCUCAUCUUGUGCUAUUCGGGACCCUAACUGUCAUCAAGUGUAAAGCUGAAAAAGCACGGCAAAAAGGAAAACGGCAGAGAACAGUAGCCGCAGAUAAACUGAGAAAGUCUGAAAUCUGAACAAGUACAACACCACUCAUUCUUGAAACUGAUCCGUGGAGUACGUAAACUGCAGGCAAAGGAAGCUCACCUUUAGCGAUACAACUUCCCUGCAGCAGCAAACCGAACCGCCUGAGCCUGCAGAGGACGAGCAAAAUGGCCUGGUUCAGGUUCUCUUCUUAAAUGGAAGGAGAUCUGCCUGGGGCCAUGGUGAAGGUGUGGAGUUCAGGCAUUGUGCAGGGGUCAAGAGGAAGAGGACGGGGAGCUGCAAAAGCGAAAGGUGGAAGAACAAAAAGAGCGCAGGGAUGAGCUGCGACCUCGCACAGAAAACAUGUGAGGCCUCAACAGUCGACGGGAUGGCACUGGCAAAGUGGCAAGGAUGCAAAAAAAAAAAGACGCUAAAUCCUUCCUGAUGAAAUCUCUUCAGCCCAUGCACGCAGUUGUGCCGGGAGCCGCGGAGGAGGGAAUGAUUCCAAAGGGUGGAAGGGAGAAAAGGCAAAGAAAGAUGCAAACAAAGGAAAAGGGAGAAAAGCUAGCGCAUGAAAAGGCGUGAAGUCUGGCCCCUUGUGUAGGAUCCGAUCAGAUUUUGAGAGUCAGUGUCUGAAAUUACAUGCCAGCCAGGUCAUUCAGGUCCUGCUGCUGCUGUAAAUUGGCCCUCACUCACCUGACGCCUCACCUCCCCUCUCCUGCGGGAAAUCAUGGCCACAUCUUGUCAUCUUCACAUCGGGAAUGGUGCGGUGCCAGUCUGCAAGUGAUUGCGAGCUCAGCUCAGACAGAAUGGGCAAUCUUAUGUUUUCUGUGACAGCAACAAAGGAAAAGAAAAGGAGAGCGACAAGAGAUGCUUCAGAUAAUUGCGAGUGACUGACGGAGCGAGCGUGAAUGAGCAAGAGCGGAGGACAACGACAACGAGGCAUGGCGUUUUGAGGCUCCGAGGCAAGCCGGGGCCCUAUAGGGCCGGACAGCCCGGUGGAUCAUUCAGGAGCUGGGAGACCACACGGAAAUAAAAGGACAGCGAUCUAGGAGUAUGAUCCAGCGGUAUUGGCUCAUCUGUUCUAACCAUGAUGCCCGAGCAUGCCCGAACAGACUGAGGCUGUCCCAGCUGGUGCUCACGGAAGGAUUAUGACUCAACAAGGCUCGUAAUGAACUGCCGCAGGAGAGGGGAGCCGUCGGUCGUGGGAGGCAUCAGUCCGCUCCAACAUGCCACUAGCCGUGUCUGGGGAAGUUAGUGCAUGUGUCCGCCCCCCCCCCCCCCCCCCCCCCCCCCCCCAGGUCCCCAACUCCUAACCAACAUUCAACUGGGAAUUUUAAUGUAUAAAAGCGAGCUCUUCAGCUUGAUGCCCCGAUAUGAUUUCCUCAGGUACAGACAGGUCAUGCUCUUGGGUCGUUCCAGAGACGAAGUGAACAGUGACCGGAGAAUGAAGCAAUAAUGAGAUACCAGGAUGGGAGUAGCCUGUUCUGCAGGGAGAGAGAGGAUCCCAUGCAUGUGAAAACCUCACUUUGGAUCCUCUCGGAAAACAGAACAGCAGAUCCGCCGAAAAAGGUGCGUCUGACUGGCUAGCCGGAAGCAGUACCGCAGUACUUCCUCAGCCCCUUUUUACCUCAGUCCCUAUUUACGUGUCGUUUGGAAGCGUGCUUGCGAGGGCUCCCAAGUGACAGCAGUAUGUAACAACUGAUGGCGCUCAUCAUGGUAACCGUCUUAUCUGCUUUGUUGAAUGUAAGCAUUGGACCUUGUAAUUUUUCAAUUACUAGGGUGAAUGAUUGAUGACAACUGAUGACUAGCCAGCCAUGAAGUUUCCUAGCAGUUUAUUACCUCAUCCUAGUGCUAGUGGUACGAGCUCCCCGCUCUGUAUUGUCAACACUGCCUCAGCAAGAACAGCUACCAUUUCGAAUGGAACAAGGAAGUCUAGCAACCUAUCAGAUCUUGGUGAUCUUGCCUCCAAAGAAGCGACUGGCGAGAAUAUAUACGGAAGUGCAGCUUCCACUAUCUCAGGACUCGGGCACGCCAUGGCCUGAUGGCCAUGCUUUAGCCGGUAGCAGCAUGAAUCAGCGCCGCUGCCGCGUAGCUCCUUGCACAAUUAGUUUACGAACAGCAAGAACGUGCGCGCCGGUGCAUUCCUGCAAUCCCCUGGCCUGACCAUUCUCUCUUUCUUUGGGAGUGGACAUUCCAUUAUAUGCGAGUACCGAAGGCGCCAUCGUACGGAACAGACGGGCUAAACUUGUUAGGGAAAUCUCGGCUUGGAGGUGGUUCUGUGGCUUUACGCAAUGCAAGCAUGCUCCGAUCCUUACCCCGACACAAAAAGAGUAAUCCUCUUGAUGACGCGGUCACUUUGUUUCGAGCCCAUCCCAUCGCUAAGUAUUCAUGUAAAAACUUUAUCCUAGAGGGUAGCAGCGGCAGCAACUAUAGUUGCUUCCUCGGUGGAGGUGUUGUUUCGGAGAUUUUGAUUGGUGGUGUACUUCGUGCGAGUAUUGUGGUUGUCCAACUUGGACUCUUCAACAGCUACUGGUAUCUUACUUAUCCCCACUGCCUAUGUUAGUAGAAGUGUAGAUGGUUUUGCUGCGGUCUUCAGUUUGUGGUCAGAGCGUCAAUCAGCAGAUGGAGUUGCUUCUCUUCCCCGUUGUUGGAUUGGUUCAUGUUUUGGUUUCAAUUCACCAGUUGAGGAGAAGUCGGUUCAUUUCAAGGUGACUUUGCGAAAUAAGACGUAUUUGGAGAAUUUGAGUUUUUAUUUUUCUUUGGUACAUUAGAUCUUCUGAUGUUUUAGCUACAUAUUCGUUUGGAACAUGUGCCAUUUGUAAUGUUUGUGGCGCAUUCUUAUUCUAUUGUUAAAAAAAUUUAGUAGUCCAAAAAACGGCGCGAACAAAGCAAGGAAAGAAAAGCCAGCAGAAUGAAAGGGAAAUAAGACAGCAUCACUUAUCAGAGGGGAAUGCCUAGACCAGAUGAGGAGCCAGAGGAACUGAACAGCGGAAGAGAUUGUCGAGUGGAAGCAAUCGUCUCGUCGAGCAGCAAACCUAGGAACUAAUGUCAAUAAUUUUAACAAUGAACAAUUGGAUCGUUCAAAACCCUUGUCAAUGUCACUGCCAUACUCCACCAGAACCGAAGACGAUAGAUGAUACGCACAUGCACCGGUACAGGAGAAAAACUAUAGGGCGUUGAAACUUUGAAAGGGGGCCAGGAGGGGUCGUUGUUGCGUGCUAUCUUUUCCUCGGAACUGCAGCCGGGGUCGACGACCGCACAUGGAGGUCGGGCCUCGCGUGUCCCAGGGCCCCCGGCCCCGGCGUCGCCGUCCUCACGAACCCACCCCACCACGGUGAAAUGAGGGAUGGGACAAAAAGAACGAAAUUGGGUGACUCCUGACGUGCGUGCGUGUGUAUGGAACAGUUUUCCUGCGUAAGCCAGUUCCUCAUAAACUUUUUUUUUAUGAACCGGUAGGAGCGCUGCCGUAUCUAUAAGAAGGAUGAAGAAGUCCAACAUUACAUAAGUUGCGGUUACAUAAAUAAAGAUACACUCGCUCGAACAACACCCCUGAGCUACAUUAUUCAUAGACUUUGAUCUCUACGGACUCAGGAUAACUGAUUGCUGAACUUGAAGAACUUACCUUGUUUAUUUAUAUAAUAAACGCCUUAUACCACCUGACAAGUAAGGUCGAUAUGUCCGAGUGGUUAAGGAGACAGACUCGAAAUCUGUUGGGCUUUGCCUGCGCAGGUUCGAAUCCUGCUGUCGACGUUUUUUUAGCGUCCUCGCUAUUUUUUGGUUCUCCGCAAAAACAAAGACGCGUGGAUACUCAUUUUGGGCUAAGGCGUGUUAAUUGGCUUGUAACAGAAGGCGGGUGGAUAUACUCGUUUUGGGCUAAUGUUGGAACAAUGGCACAAUGCUACUUUCACUUAUUAAUUAACUGCUCGCUUCAGCUUUUUUGCGGCUGGCAGCACAGCCGCUCGGCUGCCGGCUCAAGCAGCCCAGCGAGCACAAAAGCACUGUGAAAUAUUUGAAAAAAGACUGGCUGCUGUUGCUGCUAGUCGGCUAGCUGCAGAUCCUCCUGUAGAGGCUGCUGCAGCGGCAGCGGCAGCACAGCCGCAGCCAUGUUGCCGAGCAGGCCUAUAUUAGGCAUUAUUGCUUUUCUUUCACUACCAAUCAAACUUCUCAUUCAAGCUGAAAUGCCACAAACGAAGAAGCGAAGAUCACAGCAAUGAUAAUCUCUUUUUAAGAAUCAUCGACUCAAAUCAAAUGCAUCUUUAAAGCUGCUUAACUAACCAAUGGCGGUAGUGUCAAGGAGCAAUCCAUGAACAUAUUCGCCACAAAAAAGUGUAAAUUUAAAAAACAUCCACUUGACACAUGUUGGCAAAAACUUGCGCAUGUUGCAGAAACAUGCGAUUAUUUUUUAAAAAAAAAUAAACAUGCAACUAUUUUGACAGUUACAUAAAACUACAGCAUUCAACCAUACGUAAGGCUGAAGUUGUAGCUUUUACAGCAUGUCAAAAAAUUGUUUCUUUUUGAAAUUUAUAAACAACAAAAUGCAAGCAAAACUAGGCCACCAUCACAUGUGCCCCGCACAAUUCUGCAUCAAAAAGAAACAGACACCGUCGAACAAGCCCAAAAUAUACAAUGGGAGUAGGCACAAAUCAACACAGAAAGACAACAAACAAACAAGCAAGAAUACCAGCCCUUGAUGAUUUGUAUUGAAAGCAGAUGACACAGCGCUUAAAGCAAGAGAUAUCUGGAUCGUUCACAUCAAUCUUUGGCUCGCACUUAAAAUUGUUCUAAACUCAGGUCUAAAAUGUAGAUGCUGAAACACACUGCAUCUAGUGCGACUUGACGUACUCCUGCACUAUGUUGAGGCCCUCAGAUUCUUCGCCAUAGUCCUGGUAAUUUCAAACAAAGCAGCCAAAAAAUCACCCUUUUUUCUGUAUAAACCAAAAUAGUUGCUACAAGUAGUACAGUAGGAAAUCUGUAGUUACCUUGACGACAACACAGGAGCAGCCUACAACCUUCCUUGCCUUGCCCUCAGAGUCAAUCUUGCAAAGCUGCAAAGGACCACAUAUGAAGGUUACUACAAUUCACAACAAAUACUGAGUAGUGCAAAGCAAGGUGGAGAAUGGCAUGCAAAAGAUUUAUUUUUUAACUCGCAGUUCAACUAAAACGGAAUGUAUAGGCCCAUGAACAUUCCAAAACCCUAACAUAUUCUCUACAUCAACAUUUGGCAGAGCAAUGUAAAUCAUUAUCUGAAUAAUAUGCUUGCACCACUAAAGAUCAACAUUAAGGAAGCAUUCUUUAACCCACCCCUGCCCACUCGCCAAGAGUUUUAGCACUAGGCACAGUAACCAGGUGAACAUUGUGCUCAGCACAGAGUGCCUUCACCAGCUUGACAUAAUCAGGCUGGUCACAGUCCUCGGCAAGCACGCACAGCUGGGCAACAUGCUUCUCGAUGGCCUUGGCUGCCUCACGAAGACCCUUUACGAGGCCAUCAUGGGCACCUGAUUUCUUCAUGACGAGCUGCAGAGCAGUCAUCAAGUCCAUCGGCUCCCCAAGAACUGGGGUAGGUGCCUCAACUGCAACUGGAGUCUCCUGAUCCCUGCCAAAGCACAAAAUCAUGGUGAAUUCACAAGCAGGGCAUGAGAAAACUUAGUAGAACCUCCAACCAAAACGCAAAAAUGGUAACAAAUGCCCAUUACACAUAGCUCGAGAGGCAGGAUAAUUAGAGGCAAUCUGCACUUGGACUAAACUAGUCAUCAACGAGCAAAAUUGCAUAAGGUUGAAGAACCAUAUCACAAAGUUACGUAAAUUCUCCAUAUGAGACCGAGUUAUCAACUACAAACUGAAAUAAGCUCCCAGUAUUGGUUAAAUAAACUAAACAAGGCAACCCAUAGAAAACAAAACCUAACUUUUGAUGCCAGAAUUGCACAAUGGAAAUCUAGAAUCAUUUCCGUUUUCUGAUAUUAGCAGCUAUUAUCCCAUAGUGAAUCACUAAAACAGUCACCAAAUAAUCGGAUUCACGAUACAAAUCCACCGAACAAUACAAGAAAACAUCGAUCCCGUCUGACGGAAUCGUUUCUCUCUAGAUCAACACCACCAGGCGAGCCUCACACGAGUACACCAUAAUAGCACAUGCAUCCAAUCGUUAGAAAAGGAGACCAAACAAACAGCCACUCGAUAAUCCUUUCAUCCGAAGCCGCAUAGAGCACAGAGUAAAACUGAUCUACCAAGUACAAGUACCAAGCCAUGACUCCGUAAAUCUUGAAGCGAGCAGGCUAAUAUCACAAGAUCCAGCAAUGGUUCAUGGCGAGCAUGAAGCAACUAGAAAGAUUAGCGCAGCAAACAAAGAUUUCGGUGGGAGAAACUUACGCCAUCUCCCGCGCUCCGAGGACCUGGCCGACUGCGAAGGAAAUACCUGGAGCAAGCAAGCGUAAUGAGCGUCAUUGGCGAUUAAAGAGGGAGAUCAGGGGAGGAGGCGGAGGAGGUGAAGGAACGCGCCGCCACCUGAGGGGUUGGAGAGCGGAGGCGGCGCCGAGCUGCUAGGGUUUUCGCGAUGGGAUGGGAGGUGACGGCUGGGACGUGGUAGACUUAUAUUUCAGUCGGGCCUUCUGGGCCAACGUGGGUGUAAUCUUUUCCCGGUUCGGGCUGUUGCAGCGGCGGACCGCGCUGAGUAGCUCACACCGGCCUGCUUCUGCUACAGAAGAAACAUUGAGCCCACGUCUAAUGUCGCCCCAGUCCGUGUGCCAGUGUGUCGGCCUAACAGUUAUCCUCGGGGGGCGCCAUAUCAGUCCUACUUCCUACACGGCCGUCGGCCCAAUAUUUGAACCUUGCCGUCAUUUCAUCAGCUUCUCGGCGCUUCCUGUCGGUUCUAAGGAGUUCAGGAGAAUGUAAAACCACGGCCAAAUCACCUGUCUACCUAGCGUACUUCCCACCAACCUAUAAUUAUCUCACCAUUAAUUUAAAAAUAGAUAGCUGGGAUAGCUCAUACGAUUAUAUGCACAUGUGAAAUAUCCAUGUUCACUGAAUCCAUAAAGCUUUGGGUAUGGGAUACGUCACCACCGUACAUGUAGUUAGGGUCUGUUCGCCUCAGCUUAUUUAGUCGGCUUAUCAGCCACCAAACAGCUCCCAACAAAUUAGUCGUUUCAACUUUUUAGCCGACUUAUAAGCUGAAGCGCUACUAGUUGCCUGACUGGUCGAGCACUCAAUCCUCGAGCUUACGGGCAUCCUACUUUCAUGUGUUCAUCAAUCUUGUUUGUAAAAUUUCCUGUGUCAGCCAGUGUGUGCUGCGAGUUCCCUCCGGCUCAGGCUAGUCCAUUGUUCAUCAGGGGUAGCUGGUGGCACGUUUCCAUCCAAACACACGCGACCGCCGUCCUUGCUGUUUCGGUUCAAUUAAUCCAGAGCAUGUACGUACAUUCUCGUACGGCUUCCCUCCGCCGGAUUGUAGUAGCUCGGAAGGGCCCGGUCGUGACACGACAACGCGUGGUGAUAUAGUGGCAUCGUGAAAGAACACGAUUCUAGCGUUUGAAAUUUAUCCGCAAAAUGAAAACAACUCUGGAAUACAACAGCUGCGCGUGGAUCCACCAUUCAGUAAAAAAAUUCACAUGCGGAAUACUCGAGAAAAUACCAUCGACAAAAAAACCACCGACGCCUAGCCUCCCUUUUUCCCUCGCCGCACAACACAAGAAACAUCCAGAGCACCGCUACCCUCAUUCGGUUUUCCCCAUCCCAGGUACAGAUUGCAAUCAUUGCAUGUAGGGGUAUAUGUGUCUUUUUAGCUGUUUAUUGAUCUGUGUGUGUAAUUCUAAAAUGGUCCUGUUUAGUUUCCCCAAAAUACCAACUUUGGCACUAUGCAAAAAGAAGAUUCUCCAUCACAUUAAACUUGUGGUACAUGCAUGUAAACGAAAUCAAAAACUAAUUGCAUAGUUUUGUUGUACUUUGCGAGACGAAUUUUUUAAGCCUAAUUAGUCAAUAUUUGGACAAUAAUUCACAAAUACAAACAAAAUGCUACAGUUGCGUAUUCAUUUCAAAUUGGGAACUAAACAAGGAUGCAUAUUUUUAUGGAUGGAGGGAGUACGUGAAGCAGAGCAAACGUCGUCCCGGUGGCGCGAGUUUGAACAUAAAUGAGAUUUUUUUUUUUUUGAGGGGGAACAUAGAUGGGAUGGGAUCGAUUCCUACCUCCGGCAGAAUAUUCUGCACUUCUGCAGUGCUCUUCUCUUUCUGUUGGGCUGAGCCCUAAAACGUACGCUAAGCCGCCGUCGUAUGAAGAAAGGUUGGUUAGUUAGGCCUAAUCUAGUUAGGCCCAGAUAAAAUGAUUGUCGCAGAUCCCUCCUCAUUUUUCACACGCGCGAGCAACCUGGGCGUGCGUGCAUGCCGAAGGCCGGUCAAAGCUGAGGUGGCAUGUUCAAUUAAACUAGAGCAUGAACCGAACCAGCGAGGACGUACAUGCUGGUGACCUCCGUGGCCGGUGGUCCGGCAGCAGCACGGGCGCACGGCACAGGUCUGAAGCCCGUGCGAUCCAUCCAGCAGCAAGCUGGGCUGCUGCUGGACCGUGCCGAGCACAUGGAUCAGCCCGCCCGUACAGAACCUCACGGCUUUCGACCCCGGUCGCCGCGCCGCGCGCACAUGGUGGGUGACACGUGGUUGGCCAGGCCCUGCGCACCAGACGGGAUCCGCCCAGUCCGUCCGCACCGGCGCCGGCUGAUCGGCGAGAUUUCCCGGUCGAGGCCUCGAGGGAUCGAACACCACCACCGGAAGCGGGUCCAUUUUGGCGGAAUUUACUUCGACUUCGGUUUCACCUAAUUUGGUACCAUGGAACUGUUAUGCAAGCUCAUUCUAAAAUGAACUAGUAAUGUGAAGCUACUAUUUUUAGCUUCACUAACUUUGACUUCACUAGUGAAAUUGUGUUUUGGGAGAACUCCUCCCAAACACCUCCCAAACAGACAGUCUACUUGAUUCCUCCGGAAGAGAUAUCAAUCCGUCUGCACGCUCUCAUCACGGUCCUUUAGUGCGCUCCAUCGGAUGCCACCGCUGUGGCGCCACCACUUCACUCUCACCUCACCGGAUUGACUCGUCGGAAUGAUGCGAGCUAACAGAACGUGGAAAGGGGACAGUCACGGCUGGCCCAUCAGUGUAAGAGCGCUUGCUAGGCAGAGCCUUCCGGUGACGGCCUUUAGUCGAUCUUUGUCGAUGCAGAAACAAGGCAAAAUUAGCUCCCGGACACCGUUCGAUUAUGACUUUUGCUAUAAACCACUAUAAAAAAAUAUAGCUUUGCCAAUAGAUACUCUUCAUAGGACAUUAUAGCCAAUAUUAUAUUCUAACUUUAAUAUAAAGCCACCGGAAUAGACUAUCCUAAACUUACAUGCACUUGAAUCUCAUUCUCCCCCAUUCGACUCUUGCUCCAGAAAAACGUGAGGCAAAGAGAAGGAGAAACGGAUCAGUGCCGGCUCCUCCCAACACGCGCAGUCGAGGGCUCGAGGCGCCCAUGGUGGCCUCUACCUGCGGCGCGCUCCGCCUGCUCGAAGGGGCCGCGGCGCCCGUUCCCGUUGGCGCGCGGCUCGCGCUCAAGGCGCCCAUUCCCGUUGGCUCUGCACUUCCUGUCAGUUCGUUGACAUCAAGCUAGCAGCAGCUCAAAUCCAACAUCAAAUCCCUGACCUCGAACUAGCUGCCGCCCAAAUUAAGCUUCCCACAUCGGCUGCAUUUGAGCUCUUAGCUUAGCUUUGCGCCGGCCAAAUCAAAGAUCUCUCCGCUGGUGGAAAGCUCCAACGUCAGGCCCCUUUUCCUUGCUUACUUUGCCUAAGCUAAAUAAGUCCAUCGGCUUGUUGCUCGGCUACAGCUACUGGUGGCGCGGCUGCUCGGCGGUGCCGUUGGGAGAGGAGGCGGUGCGGCCGGAACUUCGCUCUGGAGCCGGUGUCAAUUCCUUGAGCGUUUUUUUUCCCUGUUACACGAGUCGAGUCGGGAACAAGCUAAGGGUAGAGUAGUCAAUUUAGUGGCCUUCUAUUAAAGUUUGAAUAUAAUAUUGAAUGCAGUGUCCUGCAGCAAAUUACCCAUCAUCGAAGAGUGUAAAUUUUGCCCGAAAACUAUCAGGGGCAGAAUCAAGAGACAUGAACACAGGGCCGCAGCUGCGCGCGCGGUGUCGCGAUGGUGAUCCAAUUGGACGCGGAUGACCGAGAACUGCACACAAUCAUUACAAAACAUCGAUCGAUCGCCAGGUCGUCCCCGUCCCCGGGCGCGAAAUGAAUGCGGUGGCCAGAUUUAACAAAAAACGGAUGACAUCUCACCAGAUGAUUCAGAACCCGCAAUUAUCUGUAAGUACGACAAUAUUCUGCGAGCGGAUCAUCUAAAAUAAAGACGAGGAGUCCUACAGUGACACGAUGAGAUCAAAUCCAACCAUCCAAGAGGGGAAUCAAAUUAUGACAGGCAUGUUAGCUACGGCGUCGCUGUACAGACCGCGAGGGCACAGGGUGUUCGGUGUCCACGGCUCGAGCCGCGGUCUACGUCAUCGCCUAGACGCCUACCUACCCCAGAGCAAGGGACAGGCGACAAGACCAGGUACUAUCGCUGCCCUCGCACUUGGGCCGGCUACCGGCCCGGCAUAUAGACCGACGCAUGGUAAUCUGUUCAGGACGAGAUGCUCCUUCAGAGUUCAGACCUACUCCAGUUAAUCUAGGGUGAGUGACUGUCGUCACUGAGCCAGUUCUUGCUCGAAAACCCCUCGUCGGUGAAAAUGAAAGAACUGUUUGCAGUCUUCGUUUUUUUUUUAACGAAAGUUGUCGCCGUCGUUGGGGACGACGACCGGCGGAGACGUACACGUACACCCAACCCAACCAACCUUGCCACGUUUACGACUAAUCAAUCCAACCGUACGUCUCUCUGGGAAUUCAAUUGCCUAUAUGGGUUAGCCGUUGAUUCUGAUGUCUCUAAACCCAAUUUUAAAGGGUCAUUAGAUGGAUGCAUACGAGUAAGAUCAGAGCAGGAUGUGUACGGUGCACCAGCAAACAGCCUGAUCGAACGAAGUCACCAGCAGCUAAAUAAGAAAUGGAAUCACUUCUAGGGCCUAGAUCCACCUUAUUUUACGCACUGUCACAACAAGCAGAGAGAGACAAUCAGCAGGCUUUGUACUAUCCCGUAGAUCAGCUAGCUGCUACGAGGUUAGAGUAACACAGUGAUAGAUACGGUACCACGCAUCACGGAGUAGACGCUAACAGCGGUGUCGCAUGUAAUGUCCUAAGAACUGUAGCUUUAUGGGACCGAGACUGGACGCUUGUUUUCUCUGUUCUUGGGAUCGUAAACAGUAAUGACUAUGAGAGCAUCGCGCAAGAAGUCAUAGCCUAUGAAAAUUCUAUUCGAUCGGAUGCGUACUUCCGAGCUACACGUAGUAUUGUAGUGACAAAGAAUCCGGCCAUAUAGGGCUAAAAUAAACCAGGACGGGUGGAUGGAUCGGAGAUUCGGAGUCGGAGCCAUCCUCAAACUGGUUCCGUACACCGUACGUACGUUUUAAACUCAGGGAUGAGACCUGACGCAGCACGCAUGCCGGAGCGCAGAACACGGUAGUGAGUUAGGCACACGCACUCUGAUUUCUCUGUCGCCGUUCGUCAACCAGUGCUUACGUGACACCCCACAUCAUAGUUUCUUCGAUUUCCCUCUCGCUCGGCGCUCCGUUUGACGGCCAAACUUUUCUUUAAGUAAUUGUUAAGUUUGACAGCCAAACUUUGUCUCUGGCAUUUGAAUUUGCGUUGCGUGGUAAGCGUGCGUGCGUACUGGACCAUCCAAUGCAGGAGUUUCCGUGCGUUCAUCGAUUGAUCAUGUUUUUUGAACUGAAAUUUGGCAGGGAGGCGACGGUAAGCAAAGUUGUUGGCUCCGGGAACGUGCUAUGCGCACUACACACGCAGCUUAUCAAUAUCGGUCGAUCAAUUUUGGGUACGUUCUCCUGCGAUCCCUGUAUCCCGUGUGUGCUAUGUUGCAGCUGCAGGCACGGUGAUCUUAGCUUGCCGCUGACGUGCACAGGCAACUUUCAGGACCCCGGCCGGAUUUGCCCCGCCGAGUCAGCAUUUCUUUCUGAGCCAACACAUUCCGUAAAGCGAUGUACGUGGGGUUCGGCAGUUAGGCGAUGGCAUUGACGACGUAGUACGUGCUACCCCGGAGCCCGGAUCAACUACAUUGAGCGAGAAAAGACGUACGAGCACGACGGUUGACGUCGACACAAUUAAAACGCAUACGAAGUUUCAUUCACCAACGAGAUUUCGAUCGAUCAACUGGUCAAUGGCCAAUCCGGCCUGCCGGGUACGCAAGACGAGCGCGCGCGGCCGGGGCGAAUACGACUGGAUCACGACCCCGGCCGGCCGGCCGGCCGUUUCCCCAGCAGAUCGAGAGCGACUAGCCGGCCACGACGGGCAGCCAGCAGGUCGCGGCGCGCGGUGGCAUCGGCACCGCCCGACCAGGCGGAGGAGCCCAAACUUUCCGCUACUGUAGCUGUCCAAACUCCCACGCAUAUGCAGGCGGCGCUCCCACGAGUUUGGUACAGUACGGCCGCAUCGGAGUCUGAGCGUGCGCGAACUAACCGUGAACCGACGGCCAGCGGCGCGUGCCCCAGGCUCUCGACCAUACCUGCCGGGUGCCGGGUGCCGGCUGCCCUGCCCUGCCCACCAACCCGCCAGGCCACCGCCGCGCUCUCCGCCUGCUCGCCCGACUCGAUCGAGAGCCAGCCACCACGCACCGCGCGCGGCCACCUACAGCCACGACGAAAAUGCUUAAAAUCUUAGCUGCUCUUGGUUUCCAAACACAAAUUGUACUGCCGAUGUAAACGUGCUCCCGGCCGGGUGGUGCCUUGCGUGCCUGCUUGCCACACCAUUUCUGCUUGAUGACACACCACCACCACCCACUAAUUGAGCGUAUGUAUAAAAACUACCCGACACCAAACUAUAGAUACAUAUCCCAAAUUCAAUAAUGUGGAGGCUCAAGCCUUUGUUGACGAGCGAUGAACGAGAGCAAAAGCCCAACCGAUACGGCCGUCGCAUGGGCUACUGAGCCGCCGCUGUACAAACUGUCGGUGCGCGUGCUGGCUACACACCACACUAGACACUGCCACCAGCUAGUCCACGUCUGAUCGCCGUGUGGGCUGCUGCUGCCUGCGUGGAUCAUCCACGCCAAUGAUGGAUGAUGUGCCCCCCAAAAAAGCUAGCCGAACCGCUCCACUACUUUGAAGUAAAGAAGGAGAGGAGUUUUGGAGAAGGGUCACGCACGUCACGCUGGAAAGGAGCAAGAGAUUGCAAAGGCAUGCAUGGUUCGAUGAUCCAUGUAUGCAUGGCCCAUCGUCCAUCGAGCGAGCUAGCUAGCUAGGGGUGGCUUUUAUUUAUUCAGGGUUUGGUGGCUGUUAGAUUGUGUCAUGAUACGCUCGUACUACGACGUGCAGUAGUAGUAGCACUACCAUGGAAUCAUGGGAGCCAGCCAAUCCUCCAUUGAUCGUCGAAUACCCUUUUUCCUUUUCCCUUUCUCUCUGUUUAUAAUGUCCAUCUUUUAUCCCUUCAUUUGAUACUGUAUCAGUUCAUGAUAGUUGUAUGAGGAAUUAAUACAAUGACCGGGUCAUGGAGAGCACCUUCAGUGUAUGAGUACGUUGUGUCCUGUGUGCUCCUUGUAAUCGAUGAGAAUAUUAGGUCCUGAUUCAUCUUGAUUUUGUAUUUUUUUUAUCAAAAUGUUCUACUGUUACCGUUAUUCAAACUUUAUUUAGUUGGGGAAACAUUAGGUCAGAGCUUGUAAUAGUAGUAUCAGCAAGAAAAUUUGUUACUUGGACAUGACCUUUGAAGCUUUAAUUAAUUUCCUUGGCACCGACGAGUCUAAAAUGGUGCUACACAAUCAACCUUUUUAUCUUCGAAGGACCUAUGUGUAGCAAACCUUUUAGAGGCAUCAAAUAAGAAUUUUGUUGUUCGGACCUACACAUUUAUGAUCCUUUGACCACUGAACCGCACUGACACGAGCUUAAAAAUGUUGUAAAAAGCGUGACGUUAUGGAAGUACUAUAACUUUCAUUAAAGAAAGCUGUUUAUGCCAACUUCUGCAUGCUCGAAUUGCAUUUUUAGACGCUUCUUUUAAUGGAGGAAUAUAUAAAAGCGGUCCUUCUUACAUUCCUUUCAUAUUAAAUUUUGCCACUGUUGACAACUAAACAUGAGCGAUGCACAUUAAGUGUGUAUAUUAUAGUUGUUGGUGCAAACCAAGUCAAGGUAUUUAGUAGUGUCUAUUAGUAUUAACAUACUCCCUCCGUCACAGAGUAAGUGUUCUUUAGAAAAUUUUAGACGCAUUAGUAAUUGUGAUAAACCAUGCAUCAACAUUGAACCGCUCAACAUUGAACAGAUUAGUACUUUUUCUACCUUAUCUUAAUAUUAAACCCCUCAUUAACCUAAUUUUAUAAAUAAACCAUGCAUCAACAUUGAUGGUGUGGAAAAUGAACAUUUCGACACCAUGAUUGAGGAGCUUGACAUGAAUUAGAUAAAUUAGACAAUCGGCUAGCAAUAUGUUUAGAAAAUACAUGCAUAAUAGAACUUUGUGAAAGGUCUAUGAUUUAGGAGUUAGGGAUGGCUAGUGUUUGAUAUAUUUCUCUACUUAAUCCUAGUCUUGUGCAAAGUUAUUUUGCUUGUUUCUUCCUUGCACUCAUGAUAUUUAUAUAUGCAUCGUGAUGCAUGACGUAACAUUUCCUUUCUUUCUAUUUGAGAGAGCUAAAUUUAGAAGUAGGUGGUUGGAUUCUUUGGGUUACUUUUUCCCUAACGUACAAAGUGUGUAGUUUAGAAGCAAGUAUUUGAGUAUGUUGGCUUUAUCCUUUUCAAAAUGCUAAAGGUUGGUAGUUUAAAAAUAUGUUGGACAUAAUGUUAUCUUACUAUUACUAAUUAGAUACUACUCCCAUCAUUCCAAAUUGUAAGUCGCUUUGUAUUUUUAGUAUACAUCUAGAUAUACAUUAUGUCUAGAUACAUAGUAAAAAGUUAUGUAUCUAAAAAAGGCAAAACGACUUGCAAUUUGAAACAGAUGAAGUAAUUCAAAGCUUCUAUGUUAAUCCUCACAGGACACGUUAGAAAAUAUAAAUCAAAGAAAUUCUUACUAAAACAAAAAUAUCUAGCCAUAAGUUCGACAUACUCUAAUUAUCAUUGAUAAAUAAUAGACAUUAGAUAUAUUUUAUUUUAUAAACUUACCUCCUUCUAACGCUCAUGCUUACAAUUACUAGUCCGUGUAGAAGCACGGUUGAUAUAUUAGUUCUUGUUAGGCAUAUGAUCUAUUUUCCUUCAACAAAUGCAUCGCAUGGUUUUGGUGGAGAAAAUUAGCCCUCUAUCAAGCAUCAAUACAUAUCCAACCAGAGAACGACUUGUGGGCCUGGGUCAACUUAAUUUGUGAAUUGUGAGGCAAUGGUGGUAUGAUACCGAGCAAUGUUGCUCAUUUCCAUAGCAAAUUAUAAAAGCACUCAAUCAAAUUCACAAAGAAACAAACACGUCGUACGGUAUAGUAUGCAAUAAGCAAGAUGUCGACAAAAUAGCAGCACUGACACUUGUGUUCUUUCCAAAACAAGAUCAUCACAUUCACAGCCCUGAAUGCGAGCAGUGACUCAGCUGGGCUCUGCUUGCCUAUUUUGCACCAACCGCUAGCCAACCCUGCGAAGCGCAGCACUGACGAGGCACUGUCGCACGGCUCUCAAUUUUUUGUCUCUCCUUCCAGCCCAAGCCACCCACGCAUGGUCCCUGCACUGUUCCCACAACGCCCCUGUGCCUUGCCCAUCGGCAUCAUCACCAAAUCUUUGGUUGCCCGGGCAUCGGAUGGAAUCUGUUGCUAGUGUGUGUGAGUGAGGGCAUGGUCACGCGCCACCACUGGUUGUCAAGUUGCCAGUGACAAGCUGUUCUCUUUUGCUGUUCGGAAUCACCGGACUCGAUCCGUUCGUGUUGGGGCAGACUGUUUGGCCUGCUACCUGCAGCUAAAAUCUCCACUGGAUUGUAACAAACGCCUUGUUUAGUUGCUCUGAAUUUGGGUGUCCAAAAUUACUGUUGUAGCACUGUAGCACACUGUAGCAUUUCAUUUGUAUUUGUGAAUUAUUGUCCAAAUAUUGACUAAUUAGGCUCAAAAGAUUCGUCUCGCAAAGUACAACAAAACUGUGCAAUUAGUUUUUGAUUUCGUCUACAUUUAGUACUCCAUGCAUGUACCGCAAGUUUGAUGUGACGGAGAAUCUUCUUUUUGCAUAGUGUCAAAAUUGGGAGUUUGGGUGGAACUAAACAAGGCCAAAAAUAUCGAGUAGUGGCGUUUCAAAUCAACAUGUAUGCUACUAAGCUAGGUUGCUUGUCGUAGUCGACAAUGAGAUUCAGGACGUUGUUGGUUUGUUUCUGAAAGUUGCCAAUGAGGAUUCGGUUAAAGUCUUGCACGAGAACGAACCAGCCAGCUGCUGCCCGCAGCAUCAGCAUCAAUGUGACUUUACUGAUUCCACACAAAAAAUAAUGUGACUGUACUGAGGUCAAGGUCAAGGUCCCGUGCAAGAACAAUGUAAGCCUAUGGCAUUGCAGAGAAGCGCCAACCAUGAAGAUCCAAGGCUACUUGUAAGCUUCUGGUUUGUGUGCGUGUGGGGUCAGGAAGUGAAUUGCUGGAGGACAAAACAAAGUACGAAUCAGUAAUAACCACACAGUAGUUGGUGCCCAGUCGUCGUGGGCACGGGCGGCCGGCACGCACAUAUAUCUAGAAGAAAUCAUCAGUGGCCAAGCAGCAGGUUGUGGCUGCCAAAGACGCCUGGCCAGCCAUACUGAGAUCAGAGUGCCAUGGAUGCCUGCACAUGACAAAAAAAAAUAUACUAUUGCCAUCACCAAACCAUAGAUGGAGCUGGAGCCAUCCUUUAUCGUUGAAAAACUCCAUGUUCAUGCGAUUUUUAUGUUAUCUUCAGGACUGCAACUGAAACCUUUGGGCUUGGCUUUGGAGUUAGUAGCUUGACAUGUAAUCUUUCCAUGCUAUAUAUCCUUUUGCAUUGGAGUUGUGUGCUCGUGCUGCUUUUGAAAAUGGGGAGAAGCACUUCUUCUCAUCGUGCCUCCAUGGCUCCUUUCCCACACCCUUUUUCCUCAUCCUCCAACCACCUCCAAUACACGCAGUAGUGCAUAAUAAUUCGUAGGAUGUUGAUCUUGAUCACUUUUGGCCAGUGAUGGAUGGAACAUGGAAGUCGUGCUGCUGGCCAUUCUGAGAGAGAGAAAAGCUCUAAAUUCUUGUGUGUGCGUGAUGUAUCCUACUUGUGUUGAUGUGCAGCGCUAGCCGGUAGCCACGCUGUGCGGGCAGCCCAUCAGUUGGUGCCCCAUUUGCUUCUGGACGAAUAGGAAUUCAACCCCAGGGAUAUUAUUAGUCACAUCAUACCAGCAUGUAUUAGUAAUGUUGAGCAAGACUUAAUGUGAGAAAGCGAAUGGUCAUGCACUCUAUGUAGGCAGUCGGUGUGACAAUGACAUCCCGGUACGUAUAGUUUCUUUUCCGUAGACAAGUCCCUUUUAGGGCUAUAUUUUGAGUGGUUGUAUAAAUGUGGUCCGAAAAUAAAGGAGAAAUGUAUUAUUAUUAAAAAAAUGAUUAUAGGGGUCUAGCCCCGGCCAUAUUUGAUGGCCAAAUGAAGAUUCGAAUUAUGGUUUCUAGCUCCACUCUAAAAUGAGCUAGCCAACAUGGUAAUUUAGAAAGGUUCUUAAUAAUAAAUUAGCAGGAAAUGUUAAUCUUAAUAAUCUGAUAGCAAUUUGAAUUUUAGUGUAGCAUUUUGGUUGCGAAAUUUGAAUUAAAUGAGCACAGAGUAUGCAAGAAAAUAGAAGGGCCACACAAGGGGUUUCCUUAUAUAGGGGAGGAGAAAAGUAUUCAGCCCCAAUUCCCAAGCGAAGUCCCUAUCAGAUUUAACAUUUCCGAACAGGAAACGGGCUUGGGUAGUUAGCAACAUUCAUGGCGUGAGUGGAACUAUCCACCUUCCAAUUCCAGGGUGACGUGCGCAAUCUUCAGAGAAUGUAUGGGGAAAGAUAGCAAGAUAUACUGCUCCUUUAUGCACAUAUACCCUACUACUAUAUAUAUUGAAGUUGCAUCACAGGGGAGUUGCUCUUGUGUCCCAGUCAUAUGCAUCUGCCUUUGGCGAUCCAGUUUUCUCGACUUGACACCUACUUAGUAUUAUUCUGAAAAAAGAUUGGAUAAAAAUUCUUAAAUAAUGGGUUACAACCGCCGGCUAUUAUUCGAUGUCAUAGGAAAAAAUCAUAUGAAGUCUGAAGAUGUGGCUCACAUCCGGCUUUUCGUGUGAAAGGCAGUUUGAAGCCUGAGCCCUGAGACUCUGAGAGGAUGAUGCUACACACAUAGGAAAUGACACAAAGCUGGAUAAAAAUCCAGCAUAUGUCCUGAACGGGUGAUACGCCGUCUCAUCGCCACAUUUUUCUCAGGAGCACAACACACGAUUGAUUGCUGUAUUCCAUCAGAGGACGUGUGUGAUGCGUAUGCCUGACAUGAUCGGACAAAUUACCAAUUUACUGUUGCCAUAGUAGUACCAAUGAGUCGGUGGCGCAAUGAGGGCGCACAAGUACACGAUCAUGUCCAGAGUACCUCAGAGUUCAGACUUCAGAGUUGGAUUCAUCAAGCCUGUGUGAGCUGGCUGCCCUUGCGUGCGUGCAUGUGGUAAGUUUCUUUAUUACCAUCGCCGUAAGCCUGGUACACUGGGCCGCCUGCUAUUUUUUCUGGCGCAAAGAACCAACGUCUUUCGGGCAUCAAAUCGGUGAAUUCGUAUCUCUGCACGCCAGUAAAAAUAGCACUGCCCAAGACAUCUCGACCCCGUUUGAUCGCAAUGUUCCGUGGAGAGAAUCACUGCCUUUCCUAGUGGAUUGUAGAAAAGCUUCUAAAAAAGGUUAAAAAAUGAUGAUGCAUAUAAUUGCGCCCUUUUUGGAGGACAUCCCAGCGGCCAUAAGUUGUUCAGCAUCAAAUUUUGGUUGAAUAGGAAAAACCGUAUGAAAAUAAACAAUGACUGGAUAUAUUUACAAGACGUGCGCUUGUUACCGAAAUUAUUCGACAUGCCACCGAAAGCGAGACCAAGGAUCCACCUGAAGCAGCGACCUUUCGGAGCUCUGACACCCAGCACCGGAGAGAAGAGAAACCGAGCCAAAACCAGCAGGAUUCACCCUUCACCUGCGGCAAGCGGAGCACGCACGAGAGGGAAAGCGAGCCGCCGAGCCCCACGGCCCCGCUCUCACUUCACCUCUGGUGGCCGAUCCGCCGCCCCCGCCUCCUGGUUUCACGAUUCCGGAAGGGAUCGGAGCGCGCACGAUGGGCGAGCGAUCCCCAUCUCCGAGAGGGCCAGAGCCCCAUGCGGUGCCAGUGUGCCACCAUGCCCGCAGUGAUUUCGCAAUUAUGGGGGUGCGCUGCCGCCUGCCGCUGCGUCGUCGGUCGGAGCUUUUGGCAAACUCGGGAAGCGUGGUUCGCGCAGGAAUCUCGAAAGGGGAGGGCGGGUUGCCACCAUGACUCCAUGAGUCGGCGUCCAUGUUAUGCAAGUUUCUUCGCUGCGACUGCGCUGUAAUUCAAACCGAACGAGACCUUCCAUCCAAGCUUUCCACAAUUUCGACGUGACUUAUUUUGGUUCGUUGAUGCAUCCGUCCGUGAAACAUACUCGACGCGUCCGUCAAGUUCCGGCUAAUUUUUUUUUAAAAAAAAUCAAUUUUUAUGGCACGGUCAGUUUUUCUUGAAACAUACUACUUUUAUAGAGUUGAAGUUCUGUUGUAUUUUACAAUGGUCAAUCGCAAAUGUUAGAAACCGUGUCAUGUUCAAAAUGUCGUGCCCUUUGUUUACCAAAUGGAGCAUUUUCAAAACUUUUUAGGUUAUAUCUCAUUACCCUACUUACUGAUGAAAUCCGCGUUCUCACUUCCCGAGAAUUCAAAUGUAAUCAACUUUGACCAAAUAUAUAUAUAAAAUAUUAAUAUUUAUGAUACAUAAUUAGUAUUAGAUCGUUGAAUCUAUUUUCAUAAUAAAUUUAUUUAAAAAUAUGAAUGUUGCUAAUAUUUUCUACAAAUGUAGUCAAAUUUAAAUAAGUUUAACCAACACGCUUCCCACGACGACAGAUAUUAAGGGACAGAGGAAGUACUUAAUUUCACAAAAGGAAAGAAAUUGACCCUAGUUACAUAGAGAGGACGGAGAAAUUAUGACUAAUUCAACCAAUUUGACUCCACAAACUAUAGGCCACAGUGAAUGCUGACUGAUUUUUACUGUGUUUGGUGGUGGUUUAUGUUGAAUCUCAACCUCAUGUGAUUUUUGUUUCCACUGUCAAGGUUUCUUUGCAAACCUCAAGAUUUAUUAAGAAACAAUUGCUACAAACUACCAAGGAAUUGAACUAGUUCGUUUUUUACUUAUACAAUCCUAAAGGAAAGAAUCUGAUGGCCACCAAUCCAAAGACAUCAUGAAUGUUUCAAUGAACGGAAUACUCCACUCACCUACUUUUUGUUUUUGAUUUUUUUCCAAAUCGUAUUAAUCAACAGUCAUUGCUUCAAAUACCAUCAAACACAGUGCAUAUCCAGUAGAAAUGUGAGCACGUGUAUGUACAUCAUCCCUCCACUGCCAUGAGUGCAUUGCCUUACUUACUACAAUUUUCAUGUUUUCAUUGUGCACUAAAAAAAUAUUUGCAGACAUUCCCAAGAAUUGAAUUCACUCCACUCAAGGAAAAGGAAAUUGUUCUAUUUCAAAGUAUAUGUAGAGCUCUCAUGCUCUUUCGCCUGUGGUAUUUAAAUUUAAGGGGAUUCUGCCAGUGGCAGAUCCAGAUUGUGAAAGGAGGGGUGCUCAUCUUCCCCUUCCUCUAUCUCCCUCAUCUGUUUCUCUUCUUCUUCUUCUUCUUCCUCCUCCUCCUCCUCAUCUAUGGCUGAAGGUUUUGGUGGUGGUGGGGGGGGUGCGUUUCGGGGGCUCCAUGAACUUCAUGGGUAGGGGCUCCAGCCCCCACGCUGGAUCCACCCAUUCUGCAUUCAUGGUACAACUUUGAUGGUAAAUCAGACUAAGUAUUUUUUGAGUUAGAUUGCAUUUUGGUAUUGAAUUUCUAUUGGAUUUUCAAUUUUUUAUGAUGCUUUGUUUAGGCUCUAGAGACCCAGCAUGCUCCUCCACCCUUCCUUUACCAUCCUAGUCGACUCCCAUCUUCCUAGCGGCCCCCGAGCAACCACCCUAACUUCUAGUGUUGUUCGAGGUUGCCUUGCUACACUCUACCCUGCCUAUAUCUCUACAUAGUCAAAGCAGCUACGCCUUUGCAUUUUACUGCCACAACAGAACGCUCACCAUCUCCCAUUGCUUCUCCAAUUCUCCAUACCUUAUAGGGCACCAAGGAACCAAUGAAACGGCCCUUAACUUCGUGCCUGUUGUUGUUAGUAAUAAAAAGGUGGUAACUAGCCCUUUGAAUACACUCGUCACUUGUAGUGAAGCAUUUUGCUGUUUCUUUAAACUUGUGCUGAAAAGGUAGUAGUAGUCUCAUACUGCACUUUUUAUCCGAUUUUGUUGACAUACAUUUUUGAAUAUGAAAAAUAUUUUUCUUACUACAUUGUGAAUCGUAUCCUCCAAAAGGUAUAAUUUGGUUCCACAGACGUCUUUUAAUCACAUAUGUAAGUUCAAUAGAACAAUAACUUAGUUAGAUAGCGAAGGUGGUACCCUCUAUCCACAAGAGAUCUAACCUAAGUACCAAGUAUGGAUAAUGAUGGACGACGUGUCUUAUGGUAGCUUCAUCAAUCUUAAAACCUAAUAAGUCCAACCUCAUAUUUGCGUGGGGCUAGUGUGCGCGUGCCUAUCAGCUUAUAUUAGUGUGAGUGUCGGCAUCUUUGUUUUGCAUAAACAAAUUAAUCAUCCUUUGUCCUAAGUCAAAAUUUUAUUUUUGAUUAAAAAUAUUUAGAAUUUUGUAUAGGAGAUCGGUAUUACUAGAAUCAAUUAUGAAUCAAUUAGCUUAAUAGUAGGUUGUUGAUAUUUUCAUCAAUUGCAUUUAUUAAUGUUUUGCUUAAGACAAAUAAGUGUUCCGCUCAAGAAAAAAAGAUUCGCUAAAGAAAAAAAUGCCCCAUGUCAAAUGAAAAUGUUCUAGAGGUUAAUCUCAACAAUUCAAUGUAGAUCCAAUUGUCCAAAAGGAGAGGCUUAACGAUAAGCAAUAUCUAAAUCACCUUAUAAGGAUAUAGACCCUUAAGAUAAUAUAUAUAUUUUUGAAUAGAUAUUGCUAUUUAAAGUUUAUAUUGAAAUCCAUGUUGACUUCCUAAUAAAUUAAUGUUUCUAAAAUUAAAUGAGGAAGUACGUAUUACUAUUACUACUUCAAAACAUCAUUAAAUAUAUUGAAAAAACAUAUAUGCAUUUGCAGAUUGUUUCUGGCCUGCAUGAGUGCAUCGUUCAAUCUACAACCAUUAAGAUAGAGUGUGGAUGAUCAGUACAUAAUGGUUGUACAUAUCUCCCUUCCAAAAAAGAUAUCUCAAGAUAGAACGACUUCGCUCGUUGAACUAGAGCAGAAAUUUGGAUGCCUUUUCCAUAGAAAACAUUAAUUCUUGCAAGGCAAAUUUCCCACCAAAAUCUAUUGGCAUGCGUUAUUAUUCUCUCGUCUCCCGGAUAGCGCAUGACCCCCCUUCUAGUCAUAGAGAUUAGGCCUUGACCCGUAGAGUACAGGCCAGGGGCGCGCGCCUAAUAAUUGGCAGAGGCCCGAGAAAAUCCAUCGCCAUUGCCGCCCCUCGCGCGGCUGCUACUGCUACCGCCCGCAGUCGCAUCCUCCGUUCCGUCUCCCCCGCGCUGGAUUGCGCAAUUCAUCCUCCUACACAUAUAUAAAGCUUCUCCCCCCUCCUGAGCACACACCACACCGAGUUCUUCCAGAGAGAGAAAGCGCGCGAGCGCCAGCGAAGCAGCCACGCCUUCCUCCCUCUCGCGGAUUGAGCCGGGUAACACCACCGCGCUCUUCCCUUCCCCGGCUGUUCUCUCCGUGUGUUGUUCUCGGCCCUUGUGGUUUCGAUUUGGUUUCGAGGUGUUCUUCAGCUCCUGUGAAUUCAGAGCCCUGCUGCCUGAUGAGUUCUUGGUUCUGGAAUGGCGCCAGCAUUCGCUUCACGACUUGAUCCUCGUUCCCGCUCUCUUUUCCGCUCUCUUUUUUUUUUCGCGGUUUGUUUAUUUGUUUUCUCGGGGUUUCCGAUGCUCGGCUGGCCUGUGUCAGAGCCAUGUCUGCGUUGGGUCUCCAACUCCCGGUUCCUUCGCCUUUUCUUUUUCUUCCUCUGCUCCCUGUUGUACGGUGGCACAGUUCUUCCUUGCUCUCCUCCCUGCCCUGUUCCGUGUUCUGCGUUCGUGACGCGCCACGUUAAUGCUUUUUCGCUUCUUUGCUUCUGUUUUUCUCUCUCUCUCUCGAGGAAUUAAUGCUGGCAUCCAUUCUCUAUCAUUUUCACUUUAUAUAUUUCUGUUGUUGUUUGCUACUAGGGCGCUUGUCCUGGUUCCGGUGGCCUGCAUGUUUCACAUGACAUUGCCGCUCUGCUUCGUGUUGCAAUUUCUCCAGGUGUGAAGCGGCGCAACGGCGGCGGCAGCGGCCGAGGCCGAGGCGGCGAUACGGCGGGUGAUUACCUUCCCUUCCCUUCCUUCUCAGGAGAGGGAAGCGUGAGCGGCGGCGCGACGAGCACCGAUGGGACCAUUGGAGCCGCGCUACCGCCCCUCCGGCGCCCCGUAAGAUCUCUCGCCCCCUCCCUCCCUCGAUCCCAACCAAAGCUGUUUCCUUUUUCUUUCGUUCUUUCUUCUUCCACGCCGCACCGGCGGGCUCUGCAUGCCGCAUUAGAUAGCUCCGUCCGACCUGACCCGACCCGACCAGCCGGAGGAAGACGACGACGACGACAGCGGUGACGCGUCGCUCCGCCUCUCCGUCUUCUUAACUGCUGGCGCCGUAGUGGUUGGUGGUUAUGCCUCCUCGCUUCGGUCUCGCAUUAACGGCAAGAAAUCUCCCCUGUGCUCCCAUCAAUCCAAUCCUCCAGUGGUUACUGAUCAGCACUCAAUAUCACAUCUCUAGCUUGCCGAUUAUGUCCGUCCAACACCAUUAUGUGAUCAUUAACAGCCUGCUUAUCUCGCUUGGUGAUCUCCUAUUCUCCUCCAGUCCUCUCCGCACUAUCGACUGUCCCUAGUUGACCCCAUGGGCUGCUCGUCUUCCUCGCCAAUCCAUCGAAUUCCCGGACGCGUCCGUCUCCACAGGGUGGCGUUCUCGUUUUCGCCGCUCGUUUUACCUGGUCGGCUGUCGGCGACCGCUGUCCUCUGCUGCGAUGCUGACUUGUGGCACUGGGCUUCCGAUUUUGGCAGACGCCUGACGUGUAAAAGACGUGGCCUUGGCGUGUGCUGCCGACGGAUGAUUUCAGCACGCUUGGAUCAUCCGAUUAUCUGCACGGUAGUGCUAGCAGUUAGUCUGACGGUAGUGCUAUCUGUUAGUCUGAAUUUUUAGCGACUGUUGGUGGAUGCCCGAUCCUAAACGUCCCCCGGCCCGCGAAUCGCAACAGUGUCAAAUAGCUAAUCAUGCUUCGGAUUUGGAGAAUCGGUCAAGGCCAUGUGAUGAGUUAGGUACAAAGCUGCCUUUGCGAUUCAGUACAGUAAUAUGUGCUGAUGCUUAUUGUUCCUUAAAAUUGUGGCUGGUGAAUGGAGCAGGAAGGUUGUGAAAUACAAGUCCGAUCCUAGCGAUUUUCUUCUCUGAAUUUUUCUCGGUGCUCCGUGCUUUCAGUUCCUUUACACUUCCUAUUUUGAUUGGCAAACAUCUUUUGGUGUGGCUCACUCUCACAUCCAACUAUCCCGUAUACUGCAUUUUUCUCUUUUUAAAAGGGUGUGCUUUGAGUGCUUUCAUUUGUCAUUACUAUGCAUUUUCUGCCCAUAAAGUGGCUGUGCCUGUCAGCAUUCCACAAACCUAAAGGAUGAUAUCAUAGCACUGCCUGUAGACGAAAACGUUAUCUAGCCUAUCUUCUGACCUAAUCAUAGGGGAAAGUAGGACUUAAAUGCGUUGCUUGUUUACCAGUUGUAGCUGCUGUGUUCAGUAUUCUUGCAGUUGUUCGUAGCAAGUGCUUCAUGAAACGUUUUGGUUACUUAAGUUUCCAUUUGUGCUGAUGACCUCUUUACUAAAAGCAUUAGUGCUUCCCUAAAAGAGAUGGCCAUUUGUCUAAUUGUCUCAUACAAAGAUGGUCAUCUAACCGUUUUACCUUGCCUAUACAUAUUGGUUUUCGCUUUCAAGCGAUCAUGUUUUUACCUCUCCGUGAUUAUGACGCAAAUCAAAGUGAAAAGGAAGAAAAUGACAUAUACCUUUGUGUUCAAGAAGGAACUUCAGAAUCUGUCUUCUUGUAGAAUCAGCAUUUGGUAUUUUAUUUUAUUUGGCAAAGCGAGCUAAGAAAGAUGUCUCCAUUGAAUUCCAUUCUGAAUUCCACGUGUCAGGCAUAGUACUUUGAUGGCUGAUCUUGUCUGAUAAAGGAGCUAUUGUUUUUCACGACUAAGUUUGCUUUCUACCUUCUGCAGUGAGGACGCAACUAAGAGAAGGACCUCCAAAAGCAAAAGCUUCAAAGAUGUCGAAAGUUUUGAAGUUCUGGUCCUUGAAAAGAACUGUGGUUGCAAGUUCAAAUCUUUGAAAAUCUUGAUAAUAGCUAUCAUUUCUGCAACAGUUCUUACCCUCAUAACCCCAACCUUAUAUGAGCACCAAUUGCAGUCAGCCUCCCGGUUAGUACAAUACAAUUAGUUUUGCUAAAAUAUUUCUGUUGUGGCAAAAUUUGCAAUGCCUAUAAACCUAUGACUAUGGUCUCAUCUAGUUCAUAUAUAUGCUUUGCAGGUACGUGGAUGUAGGCUGGAUGUGGGACAAAACAAAUUCUGACCCACGAUAUGCGUCAUCUGUUGAUGUUCAGUGGGAGGAUGUAUAUAGAGCAUUGAGAAAUCUAAAAAGUGGGAAUCAAGAUCUCAGAGUUGGACUCUUGAAUUUUAAUAGCACCGAGUAUGGGUCUUGGACACAGUUGUUCCCGGACAGCCAUGUUUCCACUAUAAGACUUGAGCAUGCCAAGGACAGCAUUACUUGGCGGACACUGUAUCCUGAAUGGAUCGAUGAGGAGGAAGAAACUGAGAUACCCUCUUGUCCAUCUCUUCCUGAGCCUAAUGUUCGAAGAGGCGUACGCUUUGAUGUCAUUGCCGUGAAGCUUCCUUGUACCCGUGUUGCUGGUUGGUCAAGAGAUGUUGCACGACUCCAUUUGCAGCUCUCAGCAGCAAAAUUGGCUGUGGCCUCUUCGAAGCGCAACCACAAGGUUCAUGUGCUUUUUGUAAGCGACUGCUUCCCAAUUCCGAAUCUCUUCCCUUGCAAGAACCUUGUGAGACAUGAAGGCAAUGCUUGGUUAUAUAGUCCUGACUCGAAAGCAUUAAGGGAAAAGCUCAGGCUUCCAGUUGGAUCCUGUGAGCUUGCUGUUCCGCUCAAAGCAAAAUGUAAGUCGCUUAUUUACUAAGCGCAGCACACUCGAUACAGCUUUUUUCCACACAAAUAUAUUUUCUUUUAUGUUUAAUAUUUUUUUUGCACCCUGUGUGAAGUGUCCAUGCUGUUUCUACUUAUUGUUCUGAUCAUAAGUACAAACUUCCAGUAGGUAACAUCUGUUCUUAUUGCUGCAGCGAGACUUUUCUCAGUAGAUCGGCGAAGAGAAGCAUAUGCAACAAUACUGCAUUCAGCAAGUGAAUAUGUCUGUGGCGCUAUCUCAGCAGCUCAAAGCAUUCGCCAAGCAGGAUCAACUAGGGAUCUAGUUAUCCUUGUUGAUGAGACCAUAAGUGAUCACCACCGGAGAGGCUUGGAAGCUGCAGGGUGGAAGGUCAGAAUAAUCCAAAGAAUCCGGAACCCAAAAGCUACGCGUGAUGCUUACAACGAGUGGAACUACAGCAAGUUCAGGCUGUGGCAGCUGACUGACUACGACAAGAUCAUCUUCAUCGAUGCUGACCUUCUCAUUCUUAGGAAUGUUGACUUCCUGUUCGCAAUGCCAGAGAUCACUGCAACUGGCAACAACGCAACGCUCUUCAACUCCGGUGUCAUGGUCAUAGAGCCUUCCAACUGCACGUUCCAGCUGCUGAUGGACCACAUCAACGAGAUCACGUCGUACAACGGUGGAGAUCAAGGUUACCUGAAUGAGAUUUUCACAUGGUGGCACCGCAUCCCCAAGCACAUGAACUUCCUGAAGCACUUCUGGGAGGGCGACGAUGAGGAAAUGAAGGCGAAGAAGACCCAGCUGUUUGGCGCAGACCCCCCGAUGCUCUAUGUCCUCCACUACCUAGGCCUGAAGCCGUGGCUGUGCUUCAGGGACUAUGACUGCAACUGGAACAACGCCGCAAUGCGUGAAUUCGCUAGCGAUGUCGCGCACGCACGGUGGUGGAAGGUGCAUGACAAGAUGCCACGGAAGCUCCAGUCCUACUGCCUCCUGAGGACACGGCAGAAGGCCGGCCUGGAGUGGGACCGGAGGCAGGCUGAGAAGGCCAACUCUGAAGACGGCCAUUGGCGCCGCAACAUCACCGACCCCAGGCUGAAGACCUGCUUUGAGAAGUUCUGCUUCUGGGAGAGCAUGCUCUGGCAUUGGGGCGAGAGCAAUAACAGGACGAAGAGCAGCCCUGCGACGGUGACGACGCCGAGCUUGGCAAGCUCAUGAUCUGUAGAUAUACAAACAACUUCCGAUGUGGCAACCAUACAUGCAUAGCAAUAGCUUGUAUAGUUGGCUAUGCUUAGGUCUUUGCUAUACAAAAUACACCCCUCCCUGCUGCUGUCAUGGCUUGGCUCUAUAUCAGCUGCCGGCCUGCCUCGAUAGGUAACGAUUCUUUUGGGUUGGCUGAGAUAAUAAGUUACUGGUGCAUGUAAAUUUCCCUGCUGAAAUUCUGUGAGCGUGUGUGAGAAAAUGCAUUUGUAUAGGGCGGCAAUAAUAAGGAUUACUGCAUGAAAAAAUAUGGCUAGUUGUACAGUGUACACCGCCUGACUUGUAUAGUUCGACACCUUACCGGCAGUGCAGAAACAGAACAAUGCACUGUAAUACUAGACAUGCAGAUUUUUGCCAAUUCAACUGACAACGUAUCAAGUGAUGUUUGUACAUACAUGCUGAAACACAAAUAUUAUUUUUGACAACAUAUCACUUGGAACAAGAGAUUGACACAAUUAUUUAGAUUGAGGGUAACCGAAUAUAUAACUUGUAUAUAAACUCUCUAUUACUAAACCUUGAAGACUAGAAUGCCUGAACAAGCUAAAAAAAAUGUAAACGAGCCGAACUAGUAGCAAUCGGAAGGGUCCGCAGAGGAGCAUUGUCUCCAAGAAUACUUGGUUCAAAAUUCACAUUCUUCAACCAAACGAAAGAUCCUCGAGACCUUUACAACAAUACGAUUUUUCUUAGAAUUUACAAGUCCUACAAGAAUUGAGAUAUCACUGCACAAAGAAAUUCCACAAUCUGAAAUUUUAGGGCAACCAAAAAAAUGAUCAAGCCAACAACCUCCAUUGGAACGUUGCCUCUAAUCGACACUCAGCACAAGCUACUACGACUUACUCACUUACAUCACUACAGUGGAGGCCUCACCUAGUUUUUUUCCCCUUGAAUAUCAGAGGGACAGUGGGAACACAAUGAUCUAGCACCUUCCUUGGGCUACAAAGCACAAUAACAUCGACAUACAAAGCACAAUUCUUGGCCUGCAUUGAAGCGCUAAUGAUUUGCCUGCCGAAAUGUAAAUUAUUCGCAUAGCUCAUCACCCAAAAUCGCAUAUGGACCUCAGAUUGCCUGGCCAAACGCAGCUGGCCACGUAAUGCUACAUGCACUCUCUGCAGGCAAACCAUGAAAUCAGGAUACCACCUACUGGCAAAAUGCGGAUUCACGAGAAGAAUUUGGAAUCUGAUGGCUCAGUGGAUGGCACAGCCGAACCCACGCUUCGUGGCGUGGCGAGCCUCAAGUAAUGCACUUGGAUUGGUGGACCAGUAUAACAACGAUACCGGAGUCACCCCACCUAACACUCCUGAUAAUUUGAGAAAUAUGGAAGGAACGGGAUGCGAGAGUUUUCCAACAGCAAGAACCCUCAUCGAUGACGGUCAUGGCAAGAAUAAAGGAAGAGACGGCUGCAUGGUUUUUGGCAGGGGCAAAAGACCUAGCGACUCUUCUGGCACAAGAAUAACUUUUUUUUGCCUUUUUUAACAGUUCAGCCGUAAUUUCUUGUCUAUCAAUAAAAUAGGUAUAAUCUUGUGCCCGUUCGUAAAAAAAAAAUGAUCUAGCACCUUUCUUGAUCCUCUACUUCUCCAGGUUCCGUUUGUUGAUUUAUUUGCUGCCUUUUCCCCCCCUAAAACUAGCAAGGAUCGGGCUGAGUACUUUAGCGACAUGUACUGUGUGGCACUUUCCCCUUGCUAUAAUUCUAGAAAAAAGAACUUCAUGAUCCAAAUCCCAAACAUGUCAUAUCAGUAUUCCAACUGAAUGCCUUCAACAAGCUCUAUGUAUACCGUAUACGCACUAUGCAAUCAUCCAUCCGAGCUAUGGAUCAAAAAGUCAGCUUUAGUCUCUCUCGAAAGAGCCCAAUCAAUGGUAAUUAUACGAAUUUCUCGGGUGGGAGAAUGCACCGGUUGUAUUAUGCUAAGCAAGCAAAUUUUGCAACUUAACUGAAGUGGACACUUGUUUCAUAAAUUUGAUUUUUGACAAUAUAAAAUGAACUGUUAGUACAGACGGUAACAGAAUGAAUGUCUAUGCUCUGAAGCUAUCUAAUCCUUAGCAACGAAAAGAAGUGAUACAAAAUCUACAGCUCUCGAUGCCAUGCUUCACACUGUAUACAGGUCAAAGAAUAAAAUUCGUUUAAAAAAUGUCAAAGAGGUCAAAGAAGAAAAGAAUGUAGAAGUCCAGUGACCACCUAGAAGAUGCCAGAUGCAGCUGCCCCGUCCAGGACGUAUGUUAAUCCUCAACUAUACGUGAUAAUGUCAAAUAUCAAAAUACACAAGUGGGAGUAAUUGAGUAUGCUGCCACAACAUUCACCCUGCCAUGUUUCGCCAACCUGUGCAAUUUGGACGUGAAAAAAAAAACAAGGUCAACUCACCAUCCAACUAAAAUGAAGACAAGCUCAAGUUAAGGAAUGAAAAACUCUUCUGUAACACUUGAAGCAACUCAAGCCACAUCACAUACUAACACAGGUAAAAAGAUACUAUCCUAGCAAACUCACAUAUUGGACAACAAAUGAUAAAUAUGUACAAUGGACAAUAUUUGGAAGAUUGCAACUUGAGACUUUCCAAAGUUGCAUCAGUAAAGAGCGCUUGAUCACUCCAGAUGGAUUGCUUGACUGAAGGUUAUCAAGGGUCAACUAUCAUAGACUAAGCCAUCUUCUCUCGGAGCAACCUCUUAUUCCCCCCUUCAAGUAACUGUGAAUCUGACUAUUUGUGAUUGGAAAAUUUCAUGUAAUGUAUGACAUUCCAUGGGUAUUAUGGUUCAGUAGAUCUAGCAAGUGCUUAUGCAUUGUGUCUGCAAGUCUUUAAACUUCAUCAUACUAUAGUGCAGUGAAUAACACUAUUUGUUGCAGCUGAAAGCAAUUUGUGAUAUGGUCUGUCUUUUUGAAACACAUCAUUUUUUCUCACAGUAUUCAUAGAAAAGAAGAAACAUCUUAGCAUAGCUAAGAACUCACCAUUUGUCAAAAUGUAAGAAAAUAUGAGUUCAUUCCAAGCAUCCGGGACUCCUGGGAGACACCAGUGGCUGCAAUCAAGUACAGUCGGAGGAUAACUCCAAGUGCCAACAUGAGCAUCACUUCUGAAUGCUCCCAUUAAAGUUACAUUUAGAACUGUUAUAGGAACUUUCAUGUUGGCGACAACAUCAGCAAGUAUAGCCCCAAAUUCACUCUUAUCAUUUCCUUUGGCCUCCGAUGAAGGCUGCUCUGUUACCUCACAUACCUUUUGGCUCGUGUCCCUGUAAAUGGGAAGAGCCUCUUGUCAGUUCAUGUAGGAUAGCUACAGCACAGCAAAUGAAGAAAAGAAUUGAUAGUGCAAAAAUUCUUGCAAUAAUGCUAUCUUUUGUGGUAAUCAUGGUCGUGCUAGACCAUAUCAUAAUUUUAGGAAUGGAAAAAACGAAGUUUUUUCCUCAAUGAAGCAUAACUUCCAGCCUCUGCACCAACUAGAGAGAUGCAUACUGCCAUACAGAAAAAAUGAAAUACAAUUGUGUAGCAUAACAGUGAAAUAUCACAUGAACAGGUUUGUGAGAUAAGGUAUCUGUAUUAACUAAAUGCAGUGCAACCACAAUUUGAUCCUGCAAAGCAUAAGACGGUUUAGCAGUUUAUUUACGUGAAGCAGUUUACAACUCUUGAAUCAUAAUGUAGGUCAAAUCAAGCAUAUACAUCAUUACAUAUGUCUUGGUGGAGCUAUAAGACACAUUGCACAGCAGAGUAGACUGAUUAUAGAUUACAUGUAGUCAAAAUAGAUUGGGAUCUCAACCUAAUUUUGCAAAAAAAAAUAAAGACACCACUAUAAUUAAAUCUCUGCAAUUAUCUAUGGCGCAUCUAUCAAUUUACAUAAGUAAAGGCAUAGCAGUAUAUUAUCUAAUAGGACUGAAAAAUACAUGGCUAUAUUGGUUAUCAUUUAUCAAGAUACAUGGAUGAAGAUAAAUUUCUAUUUUUUCCAUGAGAUUCAAAUGCCCGACAACCAUGAUAAUGAGUUUGUUAUAAAACAUACCCCCAAUGAGAUGGCUCAUAUGUGCGAAAGAAGACAUGUGUUCGGUUUAAAUCAACUCUUUUUUCUACCCACGAGGCCCAGGUCUCCAAUGCCAUCCUGAAACCUGCUUCGAUGGAUGUACCUAGUUUAAGAGAACGUCCGGCCUGGAAAUAGCAACCCCUGUUGGGAAAACAAAGUCAGAAAACUGCUAAACUGUCUACCUUAUGUUUCAGUUACAUCAGUAAAUAAAUUAUGAACACAUAAAAUCUGAAGACGAAAAGGCAAUGUCAAAUGCCACUUGGUGAUGCUAGAACAAGCAAAAGAAACUUGACUAAUGAUGUGAACACAGUGUUCUGUGGAAACAAAUGGAAAAUAUGUUGAAUGGGAGGAGCUUAUCAUACAGCAAAUAAAAUAAACAGGUUGGCAAUUUUAAUGAUGCCAUUUCAAGAUCAUGUACGACUGUGCUUACAGUAGGUCAGAUGAAGCUCUUUUGAUAAGUAGAUUCCUAUGAAAAAGGUGGGUAUUGCACGGUAUAUGCAAGGCACUCACAUUUUCCCCUUCAUUCGUAGGAAUUGUAUCCCCCCACCCUGACACCCAAGGGUCUCUCGUAUAAUUGGUAUCCAUGCUAAAUAGACACAUACAUCGCUUCUCGAAAUGCAAAAUGGUACCAGACUCUACCUCUAACUAGAACAUGAGCAAGGAUUCCAUCUCUACAUCUCUAAAACAAGGUCCAGUAUAAAAAAAUACUCAGCAGCAAUACUCAGCGGCAACCAGAGUAUCGAAGUGAACAGACCCAUUCCUCCAUUGUCUUUUCCGAAAAAAAGGGUAUCUCUAAAAUAGGGUGCAGUAUUAAAAAAAAUCUGCAGCAACCAGAGUAUCUAAGUGAACAGACAUAUUCCUCCAUCGUCUAUGCUCCAUAUUCACAGUUGAUAGGUACACAAAUGUGCAAUUAUCUAUAUAGGUACACAAGUGUGCAAUUAUCUAUGGUGCCUCUAUCAGUUUACAUAAGUGAACGGACCUAUUCAAUCAUUAAUGUACACAAGUGUGCAAUCCUAAGAAAAUGUGAGUGGCAAAGCAGACAUACUGACAAAAAGUACUGAAACUACUACGACGUUUUUCAAGUUUAGAACUAAAAGGCAUGGUAAAUCAAUGCAAGGGACCUUACGUAUCAAACAAUUUGGUCGGUGUCCACCAAUGCCCGGUGUUGAAAACCAGUAUGUCUGAAUUCAGCCAUUUCCGGCUGAGAUUAUCCAUCCUGUCCACCCUCAAUGUGGAUUUGACCCUCUUGGGGGCAUGCCGCGGCGCAGGGUGCUGCUGCACGAGGAACACCGAGCGGAAGAACUCCACUGUGAGGCCAUGCGACGCGAACCUGACCGCCAGGUGCCGUAUCGUCUUGGUGAUCUCGUUCCCGUUCACCUCGAAGACGGUCCUGGGGUCGUCCACCGCGGUCAUGAGCAUGCAGAUGAAGGACUCCCACUGCGUGCGGCUCAUGGAGUCCCCCACGAACACCAUCCGCUUCCCGCGCAGCCGCUCCAGCGCCGCGCGGGCCGCGAACCGCGGCACCUCGCACCGGCGCGGCUUCCACCGCCACCUCAGGUAGCCCGUGUCGUUCCGGCCGUUGGCGAGGCAGUCGAACCCGCGCUCCGCGAACGGGCACUCGGAGCUGUUGUAGAGCGGGUGGCGUCCCGUGUUGUCGGGCACCCAUGCACCGUCGAACACGUCGCACCGCUCGGCGCCGGCGCCGAGGCCGAGGCCGAGGCCCAGGCCGGCGUCCCCGACGAAGCCCGCGGCGUCGACCGCGCGCCCUCCCCGGCCGAGGUAGCGGAAGACGUAGAGGUAGAGCGCGCAGGAGAGCACCAGCGCCGCGGAGGCUAGGAGGAACGCGUGCGCCGCGCGCUCCAGUGGCGACGCGCCAGAGGGCGCCCACCGCCACCUGCGGCGCAGCUCCGCGAAGGCGAUCGCGGCAGGAGAGGCGCGCGGGCUCCCGGGCCCGGGCCCGGCGCCGCCGCCCCGCGCCGCGACGCGCGCGGGGGCGCCCCGGCUCGAGCCCGCGCUAGCGGUCACCAUCUCGCUCCCGCCGCCGCUGGCACCAGAUCUCUCAUCCCUCGGUUCCCCCCGCCCACCAAAUCAGCAGUAUGCGGCGGUCGCCGCCUGCCCCGAGUGGCCCCGCGGAGGCUGCCCGGCGUGGGGAAUCCCUGGAGGGGCUCCAAGCUCGCCGCGUGGCGUGGGCGCGGUUCCUCCGACUCCGAGCUGGCCCCUGAGCUCGCUCUGGCGGCGUGACGGCGGGAGCUGGUGGAGGCGGUUGGGGGGGGGGGGGGGGGGGGGGGUGGGUGGAUCGUCUGGCUCCACUUCGCUGGACGAAGCGUGAGUGGUCACUGGCAUGUGGGGUCCGAAGCCGCCAGGGCCCACAUGUUGGAUCAGGCAAAACCAAAGGCCUUCCGGAAUUUGCCUGAUUGGUGAUUCAGCCGUGCAGACUUUGCGCUAGGGGAAGAAUAGCCAGGUUACCUACCUGAUCAGCAUUGCAGCAGACCUUUUCCCCCUUUGCUUUUCUGUUUGCUGAAGAUUUUGCUGGUGAUCAAGUACAAGUACGGCCAACCACCUAGAGAUGAAAGGUAUAAAAUACUGUAAUGGGUGGUACAUGAAACUGAAAGUCAGAGAUCGUUAGUGAUUGGGGCCUAAUAGUUUACUCAACAGUGACACUGGAGGAUUUGUCUAUUGGGGACAAGAAGCACUUGGUUGCGUCAUCAGUGACCUAAUGGUCGAGCAAUUCCAUUGGACGCACAUAAUCAGGCUGAUGGUUUCUGAACAAACCGUUUGUAAGUGGAGAGGCAGGCGUGAAAUUUGCUAAGGAAACCCAGAUGGGUACUCAAAUGAUACAUAAUCUCAUCCCAACAGACAUGGUGUAUAUGUGUUGCUAGUUGCUACAUUCCAAUUUCCAAGCCAACAUCCAAAUAUGUAAUUUAGCGAACAAAACAGCUCUUAUCAGUGGAGCAUUCAACUUCAGGCCACCACUGCUGUUAGUUCCAAAAUCGGAGUGGACCAUGACCCACGAUCUAAGACAAGGGCCGAGCCACUUCGGAUGUGCAAGCUCACUUCUUGGAGGGGAGCUUUCUCCUCUUGGCAGGCCGUUCACGCUUCUGCUCCUUCUUCCUCUUCUUCAGCUGCACCUGGUGCGACCUCCCCACCAACGAUGGCUGCUCCUUCAGCCCGAAGCUCCUCGCUACGUGCCCUAGGUGGAGCUUCUUGACCAUGAAAAUCUUCUUCAGUUCGCCUCUGUGGGCAGUGUAGGCACGAACCCAGGAACAGAAAGCAUCCCUGGCAAGCUUCUUUGUAGCAUCCUGGAAAAGAAUCAAGAAUGCCACAAUAUAUUAUUCAUUGAUAUCUGUUGCUUAAAGCUUAGUUUACGAUAUUCAUAACAAGUAAUCAGCAAAAGCAUUCCACAUGUACACGUCUGCUCAUCAUUGAAGGGUGAAACAUAAUAUUCUCCAAACAGAAAAUAGAGGUAGAUGGAAAAGUAAAUAUGCAUUACCUCAGCAGUGACAAAACCCUCCAGCGAUCUCUGCAGAGACAUUAUCCAAGGGUGCAUGUCUAAAGAUAUCAUCUUCCUUUUGUGAGGUUUCUGUCCAUUUACAGGAAAACUAUCCAAAACCUUUUGAAAGGGAUAUUCUGUCAGUGAUACACCGUGUGACUCCAGAUCUUUCAAGUAGUCAAGUUCAAUAGGUUGCAGAAACAGGAGAGCCUCCCCCUUUUCACCAAUCCUUGCAGUUCUUCCAACCCUAUAAUGAAGUGGAUAGUGUUUAUUAAAACAUAACUAGCAAUGGCAAAGUAGAGUGCAAACUAUGUUUGUUGCUUAUACAUUGGGUGUUUAGCAUCUUCAAAAGAAACUACUCCCUCCAGUCGGUAAAACAAGCCAUUUCUGACAAGUGGAAACAACUAGUGCCAGGCCAAAAUUAUUGUCCAAAGCGGCUUGUUUUAUUAACUGGAGGUAGUAUAAAACAGAAUAGCAAGUAAGAAAACACUGCCAACUGCCUUAGUAUAAGCAACCUGCUAGAUAAAAAGAUGUACUGUAUCAGAAAUGCAGUGAACACCAGAAACAUAAUACAAAACUAUGUAAUAGGCAAGCAAAAUGCAAGCACAUAUUUUGUUCAGAUCCAAUACACAAAAUUACAAACGAGAUAAUAGACCAAAAACCUACAAGGGCAUCAGACAAGGAGAUGCUUCAGGUACCUGUGAACGUAUUCAGAAGCUUCUCCAGGAGAAUCAUACUGUAUGAUGUACUUGACUUUUGGAAAGUCCAAGCCUCUAGCAGCAACAUCAGUAGAUACAAGAAUUGCAGAUUUCUCAGAACCAAAACCCAGAAAUGACUUUUUGCGAUCAUCCUGCUCCAUAUUACCAUGCAAACGGAACACUUUACAGCUAAGAAACUUUUGCUUCUUAUCCAUAUCAAGUUGGGGGCCAGAGCUCCAUUCAAGCUGGCUGAGUACUGUAUGGUGGAAAUCAACAGAGUCACAGGUUGACAAGAAAAUAACAACCUGCAAAAAUAAUAAUAAUGUAAGCUAACCCGUAAUAGUUAGUAGUCUCAGGAAUUCCUGGACCUAUUUGUGCCAAGUGAAACUUUUGGUUAAAAAUUACAGUUCAGUGAAAUUUAAACCGCUUCAGGGCAUAAUAUGCAACUAACCUUUUGAGAGAUUUGUCUUUCAAAUAGAGAUUUGAGAAUCGUAAGAAGAACUGCAAGCCUCGAGCCACAUGAAACUAAAUAAAAACAACACUUUGUUAUAUCACCUAAGUAACAAAUGACAGGCAUGAACUUUAAAAAGUUUAAAGAAAGCAACUUGUUGCUACCUUUAACGUAUCUUUGGACCAGUUGUGCAGGAAGCUUGAAAUCAUCAACUGCAUCUGCAUGUUCCAAUAUAUCAUUUCGCUUUUCCAGUAUCCUGUCCUCAUCAUCAUCAGAUAAUAGAGAAGUAUGACUGUUCCCCAGCCUGUUGGUUUUCCCUGAGGGCUUCUUUUGAUCAUCAAGGCCAAUCAUCACUGGGUUCUUCAAACUAAUUUUAGCUAACCGAUUCACCUUCUCAUUAAGAGUUGCAGAUAAGAGAAGGUUUUGCCUUCGGAUAUGCUCUCCUUUGUUUUUAUUUUGAUCAGGAGCACCAUUCCUUGAACCCAAGUUUUCUAGAAUAUCCUCAACUGCUUUCCCAAAACCAAGUUCAAGAAUGCUGCAUUAAUACAAACACAGGCGUGGUUAAAAUUGUUCCCAUAAAACAAGAAAUCUUCUUUGAAAACCAAAUGAUGAGACCAUUGCUAUCAGACCUGUCAGCUUCAUCAAAAACUAUCCAGCGCAAAUUUGAAUAAACAAAUGAUGCAGUAUGCUGCAAAUGGUCAAGAAGGCGUCCAGGGGUAGCAAUGAGAAUUGAUAUUCCUAGAAACAAAUGUCCAGAGUCAAAGCAUGACAUCACAUAGCGGUACAUUUGAUUCCAUAAAUGACUUUAUCGAACGAACAAGAUAUACCUUUCCGCAGUCUUGCUUUCUCUUUUGCUCUGUUUUCACCACCCAUGACAUACCCAGGGACAAUCCAAUGAAAACGAUGAACCAGCUGCUGUGCAAUCCCAUAAACCUGUAAGCAUAACUCUCGCGUUGGCACGAGCACCAACGCUACCAUCAAAGAAUUAGUGGUGUCGAUCAGUAUUAGGGGUUGUUGAGGGAAGAAUUGGUCGGUAGAGAAUUUUAUUCUUCAUUGUACAGCAUGAUGCAGAUUUACUAGAUAGGUCAUAAUCACUUAGUAAUUGGUCGUAUGUGGCAGAUGAUUUCCUCUGGAUAUGUUUUAACAUAUAUUCCACUUGUCAGCAUCAUUAGGAUAGCUGGCACAGCUAAGGGCCUGUUUGUUUGAGCUUCCUGGCAGUUUCUCAGCGUAAAAAGCCAGAAGCUCAAACAAACAGCGAACUUCUCGUGCAGCUUCCGGAAAGCUGGAAGCCUAGAAAAGCUGAGUUUAUAUGGAAAGCUGGAAAGCUCAGUUUUGUGAGCUUUUCGUAGCUUUUUGAGUUCAGAAAGCUAAAUACAUCUUCUAAAAGCUAGUGUUGGCUUUUCAGAACCAAAAAGCUAGCAGCAACUUUUUAGAAAAGCUCAAAAGCUGCAGCUCAAACAACCAGGCCCUAAAAUUGCAAUGGAAAUAACCAUAAAUCCAAAGAACAUGAAAAGAUACUACUUCAAUCAAAGUAAAAUCCAUGACACAUUAACAAUUUAAACUUGUCGUACUUUUCAAAGGUGACAACAAAUGUAGCAGUGAGUUCAUUUUCUUCAACAAACAAAGAUGUAGAAUACAAGAACAACUUCUGGAGAAGAUCAUAUAAUGAUAGACAACAGCACUAGGUAUAAGGUUAUACAGAGAGGAAACAAUGAGACUGGCUUUACUGAACUAAAUUUGAUAGAUAGAGAUAUUAAGAUAAAAUGCAGCACGCCAGCACAUGAUCAUAAAAAAAGGCUCAGGUGCCCAACAAGCAAUUACCAAAAGUUCCAUGAGUUCUAUCGACACGAGGCUCCCUCAUCUGGAGAAGGUGAACAAUGGGUGCAAGGUACGCAAGAGUUUUCCCAGUGCCAGUUGCAGCCUUCACUAGCCUGAAAUUAGCAAUGCAAACAUUAUUCCUUUUUUUUAAGAAAGAAGUUGUCCGCUUAAUGACUUGUGAUAAAUUAGAGCAUACAUGUGCUGUCCAGACAUGGCGACAGGAAUUGCCUGAGCUUGAAUUCGCGUCGGUGUUUGAAAACCCAUCUUAUCUAAAUUAAAGAAAAGAAAACCAAUGCUCAUUUAGCAAGCAGGAAAAUGCACCUCCUUUUUGCAGGGUUUUGUUCAUUUCUCUGCUAGUUAUGGACCAGAUAACCAGGGAGCAGUCAUGUUUUAUGCAGAAUGCACUCGACAACAUAUACAAACACUCCAUUAGGGCACCAAUUUCAUCGAGCUGCGCUAAUUCGAUUAACAUCCACGAAGGUAGUUUGUUGAGAUUUGUGUACCAUACUCGAUUGGGCAUUCCCCAAAUAUAAGAAAUCGUAACGAAGCUAAUGUCAACAAACAGAACUUGAUAGUGCUGGGAGCAAGAUUCACAAUCGAACUCCCAAAUCACAACUGAACAACACGGGCGAAAAAAAAGGAGAGUGAAGGAAAGAUAGAGCGCGACCUUGAAGGUGGGCGCAGAGGGUAGGGUGGAGCCCGAGGUCGGCGAAGGAGCAUGAAGCAAACAGCUCCUCUCUCCCCUCCUCCUGCACCGCCGCCGCCGCCGCUGGCGGCGGCUUACCGAGCUUCUUGGACAUAACGGGGAGCAGCGGCGAUGCAGAGGAGAGGAUGCUGGUGGUGGCGACCUGGGAGAGCUGGGCUAGACCGGGAGGGUAUGGUCAGGGCGCCGCGACCGACGCAGGGAGAGCGGCGGCGUGGACGGCUGGGGUUACUGGAAAAGGCGGCGCAUGGAGACUUGGAGAGGGGUGCGACGCGAGUUCCGGCGGCUAGCCAGUUAGGUUUGCAGUGGCGGAGGUUGCAGACUGAAGCACGAAUUUGAAUUGGGUUUAUUUUUCCAAAAAAUGUGUAUAAAUUCUUGUGACUCAGGCUCCGUUCGGAGACAGCACUGAAGUUCAGUAACAAUUUUUAUACUUAGAAGCAUUAAAUAUAGAUUAAUUAUAAAACUAAUUGUAUAAAUGAAGAUUAUUAUAAAACUAAUUGUAUAAAUGAAGGGUAAUUUGCGACACGAACCUAUUAAGCCUAAUUAAUCCAUCAUUUGACUCUGUGAUGCUACAGUAAAUAUGUGUUAAUUAUGGACUAAUUAGGUUUAAUAGAUUCAUUUCACGAAUUAGCCAUGGCUUAUGCAAUUAGUUUUAUAAUUAGUCACGUUUAGUUCUUCUAAGUGGUAUCCAAACAUCCAAUAUGACCCGAGCUAAAAAUUAGUCAUGGAUCGAAACACCCUUCAGUUUGGUUCAAGCAACAAGGUGAAUAGGCAUAUCUGUUGACCCAGAUGGAAUCCACAUAAAUUUCUACAAAGUCUUAAAAAAAUAAAGUGUUGAGAGCUACUUAAAUUUUAGUAGCAGCUAAAGAUUAUAAACACGAUAUGAAAUUCAAAUCAAUAUUUAGCAAAAUUUGGUAUGCAUAUGUUUAAUGUUAAUAGAAACCAAAUACUACUAAAUGUAGUGUGUUGACUCGUAAGAAAUUUUAGAGGUUGUGCGAGUGACAUAAAAGAUUCUAUAUAAUGACAUGUAUAAAAAGCAUAAACUUAGAAAAUUAUAUUAAUAUUGGAUAACGAAGUCUGCUCUGAACACCUAAUGCAGGGCACAACUUAUCUAGGCCUUGUUUAGUUGUCCAACUUUGGAGAUGCAAAAUCACUGUUGUAGCACUAUAGCACACUGCAGCGUUUCGUUUGUAUUUGUGAAUUAUUAUCCAAAUAUUGACUAAUUAGGCUCAAAAGAUUCAUCUCACAAAGUACAACAAAACUAUACAAUUAGUUUUUGAUUUCGUCUACAUUUAGUACUCCAUGCAUAUACCGUAAAUUUAAUGUGAUGGGGAAUCUUCUUUUUGCAUAGUGUCAAAGUUGGAAGUUUGGAGGAACUAAACAGGCCCCUAACCUUCCACAAGUUUGAACAAUCCCUUCUUUAAUAGAGACUGAGGAUAGCAGAGUACAGUUGAAAUAGUAGUUGCUAGUCGUUACUUUUACUAAUUAACGGAAUACUACCCUCCUCUAUGGAGGGGUAUUUGAAUAUUAGGUUGCUAAAGCAGUAUCACAUCAGAUGUUCAGAUGCUAAUUAGAAGGACUAAAUAUGAGCUAAUUAUAAAACAUGAGCUAAUUCGCGAGAUGAAUCUAUUAAGCCUAAUUAAUCCAUCAUUAGCAAAUGGUUACUGUAGCACCAUAUUGUCAAAUCAUGGACUAAUUAGGCUUAAUAGAUUCGUCUCGUGAAUUAGACUCCAUCUGUGCAAUUAGUUUUGUAAGUAGUCUAUAUUUAAUACUCCUAAUUAACAUCUAAACAUCCGAUGUGACAGGUGUUAAACUUUAGCGGGACUAUCAAACACCCCCUGUCCUGGCUAAAUAUGUUGGUGUUCCUUUGACUAGCUUCAUUUUUAGAUUUUUUUUAAAUGUGUGUUUUUUUCGUUUCUCAUACCGAUCCCACACGUGCACACUCUACAUGUAUACACAUCUCGAUCCCCGGAUGAAGAUCACGUCCUUUUAAGAUAUUACUGGAAACAUCCAUGACUUUAUAUGCAAAACAGGUAAGUCACAUUCCCCCCACUUCAUACAAGAGAGAAUGCAAAAAUUAUUGUGAGGAAAAAUUCUAAUAAGGAAUUGCAGGGAUUGAACUCAUGAUCAGUGCUCCAGCAGAGCUACGACUCAUUCGCAAAUUCUAAAAAAAAAAUCUGGGUGCCAAGUUGUGUUUACUCUACCUAGCUCUAUUUUCUUAACAUAGCAUAUUUUUUAUGGCUAUGCAGUGUCCUUUUAUAUUAAGAAAUUUUCACUAGAUAUAAAUAGAAUUGUUAGUAAAAAGAAGUAACGGUUUACUAUAUUGGUUUAAUAUGGAAAAGAAUAAGGCCUACUCCUUCAAAACAUGGUGCAUUUAGUAAACAAGAAAAUUGAAUAAUUUUAGGACUUAAUAUACCAUACUGUAAAUCAUGUAAAGAAAUGAAAUAACAAUAUUUGAUAAUUAUCGAUAUUUUCUGAAACUCUAAUCAUUGAUGUAUGAUUCACAGAAAUCACAGUCAAACUGCUGGUCAAGGAUCAUUACAUAUUCAACCUCCGAUUUCCAUAUUUCUUAAACCCCUCCCGGCGCAGGUUGGAAACGUAAAACCCCAGGACACGGGCACACGGCGGCCGGGUCCGGGGUGGAAAUUUGGCAACCAUGGUCGCGUACUCGCGUGCUGGGGAAGUUUCCGAGAAGUCGCACAACGCGGCGGGGGUUGGAAGCAUAGGAAUAAGAAAAACCCUCUGGGCCCACUCGCCAGCGUCCCGGCCCAACUCCACACUCCCGCGCCUUUAUAACAGCCCUUCCACAGCUACGCGAUCCCCCCACCCCCACACAAACCGCACCUCACCUCCAUUGACCAGACGGCGGCGCUCACCUCCUCCUCCUCCUCCUCCUCGGUCCUCCCCAUCGGCCUGCUGGCUUCCCUUCGUCUUCCCCGUAAGCCCCUCCGAUCUCCCUUCCUCGUCGUCUAUUGCGCCGAUCUGUGCGAUUUUGGGACGUUCUGGGCCUAUUAGGUCGGGAUCGGUAUCGAUCUGUGGUUUGAUUUGGGCGCAGGUGGGGAAUUGAGAGGGUUGGGCGAUUAGUACGCCUCAUGGCUGGUGAUAGCGGAUUGUGAAUCGGAUUGGUUCUGCCUUCGAUCGAUCGGGGGUUAGCGGUUGGGAUUGCGAAUUAGGGUUGCGUUUGAUCGAUACGGUCGCUGAUUUGGGGGUGCAUGAGAUUGAUCGGCUUGGUAUGUCUUGAUGCAGUUUAGGAUUUCGUUGAUUGGGGCGUUGGUUUGUGGAGCGUUGACUGGUAUCUUGGUUGGUCACAGAUUGGGGAUGAAUUAUGGGUUCGAGUUUGAUCGUUGACUUAGUUGGUUUCCUCCCAAAUGAUUAUGAUUAAUAGGCCUGUAAAAAUUUGAUUGGUGGGGGAUUAGACAGAUCUAUCUGUUGAUGUGACAAUUGGAUUCUCUACUUAUGUGACACUUGUCUGGGUAGUAUGAGCUUUAGAAUCAGCUGUCUCCUAGAAUGUUUUAUUUGUUCGAAUAUGCUCUACUGUACCGUCUAGGUUUGAUGUUAGGUGUCUGAUCAUAUCACUGAUCACUGCAUCUAAUCAUGACACAAUAUGCUUUUUUUUUUCAAGAGUCGUCAGCAAAAAUUGUAUAUUCCUGUAUGAUUCUUCUAUGUAUUUAUCUAUCAUGAUGUUUUUGUGCAGGAUACUGAUCCUCGUCACCCAUGUCUGCUGAAGUCGCCGGAGGACACCCUUAUUUCCUCUCGUGCUACUUCUGGUUCAUAUACUGCAUAAAAUUCCGAGAUUUCACUUGAUACAAGUGGAACACCAGGAGUUUUGUGCUAAUACUUCCUACCAUGUGAAUCAGUUGUAGCUGGUGAAUUUGGCAAGACUCAAGUCCUCUCAUCUAAGUCCAGAAACAUCGUUCGGCCGAGUCCUUGGUCUCCUGCUUCCCUUGAGUCUUGCCAACUGUAGUUUCUCUCAGCAAUUGUGUUCUCUGGUCCCUUUCCGUGACUUGACCAACAUCUCUCUGGUCUUGUCAAUCUUGUGACUCUCCUUCUGAAAGCUUGUCUAGAGGUUGGAUUGUCCUGCUCUCUGCUCAAACAGUCCUGAAGUUCCCUUGCUGCAUUCUGCACUCACAUUCGAAAGCGGCUCUAUUCCGCUUUGCUGAUUUGUGCACUUGGAUUCACUUGUCCGUGCACUCAAGCUUUUCUCUUUCUGGUGAACUAGUGAUCUCCUAGAAGCAUUUCUGCUUUUGUCUUGAGAUCUCUCUAUAUUCCUGUUGGUGCUAAAGGCAAAGCAGGCAUUAGGGUGAUGGCGCAAACUAGCCUGCCUCCUGGUUUUCGUUUCCACCCAACAGAUGUUGAGCUCACUUCCUACUACUUAAAGAGGAAGAUUAUGGGAAAGAAACUUAUUGUAGACGCUAUAUCAGAGGUUGAUCUGUACAAGUUUCCUCCCUGGGAUCUCCCUGGUAAUUCAUUUGCACUUAUCUCUUAACUUUCAAUAUUGGUAACUGGUGCUGAAAAAAUAGAAUAUUCAAUUAUGCUAGCAGAUGCCUUUUCUUAAUUCGAUGUAAAAUUUUGCUCAUGUCUGUGCACUGAUCUUCCUUUGUGCGCAGACAAGUCCUCUCUUCGAAGCAAAGAUCUUGAGUGGUUCUUCUUUUGUCCUCGUGACAAGAAAUAUCCUAAUGGGUCUAGAACAAACCGCGCCACUCCAAAUGGUUACUGGAAGACUAGUGGAAAAGAUAGAACAAUCAUGCUUAACUCUCGCAUUGUUGGGAUGAAGAAAACAUUGAUAUUUCAUGAAGGCAAGGCCCCUAAAGGUGACAGAACUGACUGGGUGAUGUAUGAAUACAAAAUGGAAGAUGAGGAGUUGGUUUCUGCUGGUUUCUCUAAGGUAAUGCUACUUGUCUCAUGAUGGUUUCUAUGUACUCCCUCCGUCCCAAAUUGGCUUUUCUAGGUGCAUAGUUUUUUUGUUAUGCAUCUGGAUAUAGACGCAUAAUAAUAUCUACGAAUCUAGAAAAGUCAAAACGACCUACAAUUUGAAACGGAGGGAGUAGUUCUUAAUACAGCCAAUUACCAUGAUGGUUUCUAUGUAGUUCUUAAUACAACCAAUUAUUUAUGUAAAAAGUUAAGAAGUUAAAUGAUUCUUAUGUUCUCUGUAUGGUAAACAAACACAUUUGUUAAAUGUUCUUGUUGAUAUAUUGAGUCACUACGUAAUUGCUCCUGUAGUAUGAAUGUUAUGUUUUGUGGAAAGUUAAGGGAAUUUUUUUUUUAUGUUCAAUUUGUGUGGUGAAACAGUGAGAAAAGAACCAUUGAUACAAAUACAAUUCUGAGCUUAUUUUCUGUUUAACUGAUGGGGUAGAUUAUACAAUACCUUACACAAUACUGAUUGUCCUUGUUUCUUAUUACACAUGCAGGAUGCUUUUGUUCUCUGCAAAAUUUUCAAGAAAAGUGGCCUUGGUCCAAGGAUUGGGGAGCAAUAUGGGGCACCAUUUAAUGAAGCAGAAUGGGAUAAUGCAGAAGCGGAAGCUUCUAUGUUUCCGUUGAUGACCUCUUCAGAAGUAGUGAACCCAACGGAGGACUCACAUGCCCAACAUGAAGUCCCUGCAGGUGCUGUUCGUGAACCACCUCUACAGAAUGCAUCUGCUGCUUGUGCUGGAGAGGAAUCAUCAUUUGCUCAUGCCACAGCAACUACUUGUGUUGAGGACUUAACAUUUGGCUAUACUGUUGCUGGUUCUGCUAUCCAAGAUAUACCUGCUCAGCAGUCUGGAGAGGGUGUGGUUUCUGCGAACAACAUAUCCAAUGGGGUCGAUGAUAUGUACAGUCCUCAUGAUUGUGAUGGAUUUCUAUUGGAGGAGCUGUCUAGAUUCCUGAAUGAUUCUCCUCUUCAUGACGCUACUCUUGGAGAGGUAUAAAUCUCUCUUGUUCAUCAUUACUAGUUUCCUUUAUCUUUUUUAUGCUUCUGCUUUAGGAAUUUCUCCAAGAUGUUUAUUUUUUUGACUAAUUAGCUUUCACUUCCUUGGCAGAGCUCUGCCCUUCCUCCGAUGUCUGAAGCUGAGGCUCACGCUUUUGAAGUUAAUACUGUUGGUCUCUACAAUGAAUUGUCAGGGCUUGCUGGGUUAGGAGUGCCUAACAACUUCAGCACCAGCAAUGUGGGCACCACAGAUUACACAAUCCUACCACCUGACAGAGAACUUUCUACUGAUGAUUAUAUAGAACUGAAUGAUCUCCUUGCGUCUGAUCCAAGCUUCCCCAGUGAAUAUCCUGCGCAGAACAAUCAAUUUAUGCAGCAUCCUCAAGCUCAGUCCAUGUACAAUGGACAUCAUGAUGUAGCUACCCUGUCAGGUCCUGUAGAACCAACAAUGCCUAGCAUUUUCGAUGUUUUUCCUCCCAAUAACGGCGGCUUCACUGAUGAGGCAACCAACUACUCGUACCCAAACAUGCAGUAUCCAUUCCCAUGAUUGGUCUGCAAAUGUCAGGUAAAAUAGUUGUCAUGCCUUUUGCUUGUUAUAUUGCCUCCUUGGAUCAUCUUGUCUAAACUAGUUUGGGUGUUGCAACAUGCAGUUCUCUGAUGCUGGUAUAUCUCUUAAUCCACCAUGGACUUCAGAAAGUCUGCUGCACUUCUGAACCAAGCCAUUCUUGGCGGGUAUCUCUCGCAAGCUCAAUGCUGGAUUAAACUGCAUUGGCUACUGCAUGCUCCCAACUGGUUGAGCUUAUUGCCAAGCUCGGCUUGCUGCUGAGGAUCAAUAAGUACUUGGCGUGUAAAUUUUCGCUUGUGUUAUCUGUGUGUAUUUGCUUCCUGCUUGGCCUUUAAAGCCAUUUCUGUCAAAACUAGUGUGCUCAUGUUGACAAUAUGCGAACCAUUGUUAAUUAUUGCAAUAUAUACUUAUUUUCAUAUCUUGGUUGCUCUCUGCUUUCUUAUGCUCUGUAGUGCAUUUUUAAGUUUUACCAAUCGUCUAGGUUUUCUGAUGUUCAGGUGCAGGCUUCCUAACGGAUUAUAUUUGAUGACAUGUUGCAACGCUAGAUUGCGGUGAAGUGCCUAGCAUUUUAUUGUUCUCGGUUGAACGACUACGCCAUUUGAUAACAAACUAUUUCGAAACUCAAUGUCUGAUAACUCUGAUGCUCUAACGAUCUUCUCGUUUGCUUCAACAUUUGCAACAUCGUAAAGAGAACGAAAGUGAAUGCAAAUUCUAACUCUUCCUACGAUACCCUGGGUAAUUGUAGCCUCCAUGUGGCAGGAUCUGCAGCUGCUGUUGCGGCCGCUGCUCUAGCAUUGCCAAGGCCCCCUGCCCUUGCAUGCCAUUUUUGCCGUACUGUUGCCACACUACCUGCUCCUGCGUCAGAAACUGCUGCUUCGUCUGCAUAUCGGACAUCUGAACGUACGUCGGAGGCGGCACCAGCGCCGACGCGGCGAAAGGGUCGGCCCCUGCAGCGGCACCGCUGGCUCCCGGAGGCGCCGGCAACGCCAGCAUCGGCGCCCCGGGCGGCCGCAGCGCCACGCUGCUAGCACUGCCGGAGAACGCUUGUGCGUCGGCCACCGCCGCGUUGGCUUUCGCGUGGCUGUACAUCCCGUCCAGCACCAUCAUGUUGAGGCCGCCCCCGAGCUCGGCGCGCUGGCUCGCCAGCGCGCUCGCCGACUGCACCAGCGCGGUCUCCCAGUCCGCCGCCGAGUGGUCGAACGCAUCGGCUCUCGGCGCCGACCCGGCCGGGUUGCCGUCGAACAGGGCCAGCGCCAGCUGCUGCCCGUGCUCAUCGGCGAGCAUGGCAUCCGCCUUCAGGUUCAGGAAGUCGGCCUCCUCGUCGGCCAGGUCGGCCACGACAAGCGGUUUCUCCGGCUCGGCCUGCACCGUGUCCUCCUCUGGCACCGCGGCCGCCGGCUCCUCGGGCGCCGGAAGGGCCUUGGUGGCGUUCAUAUCCUCCUCGACGAGGACCAGCGACGGCGACGGAGGCGGGAAGUCCUGCUGCGACGCCGCGGCGUGCCUGUCGCGGAUGAACUCGUCCAUGAGCUCCAGCUUCUUCUGCGUGACGACCUCCACCUCCGGGACGUCGGACUGGCGGCACACGCAGGCGUCCUUGCACCAUGAGUAGAAGGCCCCGAGCUCCUCCAUCUGCUUGGCGAGGCCGCAGAAGAGGGCGUGCACGCGCUCGCAGUCGGCGGUCUCCAUCUCCGCGAACUGCUCGAUGAGCGCGGCCAUCGCCUCCGUGAGCUCGCAGUAGAGCUGCACGCUCUCCUUCACCAGCGGGUACAGCGACACCGCCACCACCCGGUUCGCCUUCGCCGCACCUGCGACGGCACGAGUCCCUCGAUGGUCAGCAUGAUUUAUGUGGGCCAAUGCACGGACGGCAUUGUCGACAUGAUCCAAGUUUGAAUUGAAAAAGACAAAAUAUGUGCACGGUCACGGACUCACCUACGGGGCGGCAAGCGAUGAACCGGUCGAGGAGGUGAUGCAGCUGGUUGGCCUUGAUGAGCAGCUGAUCCACCGUCAUCUCGCUCGUCGGCGGGUCCCUGGCCACGAGCGCCAGCGCCCUGUCCGCCUCGGCGUCCGCCACGGCGUCGUCCUGCUGCCUCCCGUUGAAGGUGAGGUCGCAGGUGUAGCGGUUCCCGGGGGACGCGUAGUACAUCUCCUCGCGGAGCGGCCUGCCCCCGCGCGGCGGGGCGGCGCCGCCGCCGUGCCUUCCCUGCAUCCGGUGCUCGAGGCGGUCGUCGAGGUAGGCGGCGUAGGUGCGGACGAGCGCGGAGAAGUCCCAGGCGUCGGCGCGGGAGCGGUCGCAGAAAUCGAACAUGUUGAGCAUCCGCGUCCCGCGCCGCGUGGCGUAGAACAGCUCCCGCUCGAACGCCGGGUCCCCGUCGGCGAGGACGCGGUGCACGAUCACCAGCGUCUUGAGAGCCACCGCCCAGCUCCGGGUGCGGCCGAGGCGGCGCGACAGCGAGGACACGCAGGCGCCGACGUACCCGCGGGAGAGGCAGGUGAGCGCCAGGAUCUCCCGGAUGUGGCGCUCGUCGGCCGGGAACGACUCGCUGUGGCAGGUGGCCUUGACGAUGGCCACGUCCAGAUCCGCCGCCACGGAGCCGCCGCUGCCGACCUUGGCGAGCCCGAUGCUCGUCUGAUCCUUGACCGCGCCCAGCGCCUGGCGCAGCUUGCUCGGCGCCAUGGUUUGCCUCGCGAUUGAUCGCUCGGGAUGGAUUCUUGCGCCGGGGCGGGUCGUCCGGGCAAAUGGAGGGGAGGGGACGUGCGGUGCUGGCGUUUGAGGCGGAGCGCGCCGCGGGGGAUGGCAAUGCGCGCGCGAGGAAAGCGGGUGGCGGGGAAGACGCCCGAGCCGUGGAUGGUGUAGAGAGGGGUUGACCUUUUUGACACUACAUAGCGGGCCGGGACGAAUGGUUGACUUUUCGACUUUCCUUUUUUAAUAUUCUUUGUACUUCUAAAUUGGUCAAUGGAAGUCCAAGAUAAAGAAAUUCCUUCUAAAUUGAAAAUUGGGCUUCUUUUGUGGGCUUUUUAUCUGGGCUCAAUUCUACCUUUUCCGAGAUUUGGUGCUAUAGUUGUUGUUUGACAGCCUCCAAUGGGCCUGAGCCUGAACUAAGGCGCGGCCGGUGGUUGCUGCAAGCCUGCAGCAAUUUUCGUCUCGGCAGCGUACGGCCGUACGCACAUUCGGUCGCCAUGCUUUUGCAAAUUGUAACCUGUCCCUUCUCUCUGUCAAAUAAGAACAGCGACUGGCAGCAUCUAGCCAUAUCUGUCGAUCGCUGUCGUGAGACCGAAACGCCGCGGCAAUUUGCAGCGCAUACCACGCGCGAUCGACUUGUUGGCCGCUCCGAUCGGUAGCGUCUUACCGACCACGUGCAUCCUGGGUUGGCAAGUUUCUCUCAAGUGACGCGGCAAAAAGGAAGGAGCAACAGAUAACGCGCAUGUUCUUCGUGGCCAGAGUUAGCGCCCUUGAUUGCACGGCAGUGUAGAAUUCCAGCAAAGUUCAGAACAUCCGAGUCAUCUAGCUAGUAGCCCUUCGAAUCAGGGCGCAUUUAUGUGUCCUGCUUGCUGAGUAGUUGAUUAAGCAUGCGUCUGUUCAUCGCCAUGAUAGGCAGGGAAGCAACAUUAGCCAUUAGGUCAGUCAAUGGCACCUUGAACGAGCUUCGUUUUCCAAUGAUUCAUGCAUGCAUACUUGCAGUGUGUUCCAAGUGGAGCUUGAUAUGAAGCUCGAUAAAUAGUAGUUGUUGGUAUAUGUACGCGUUUUCCUUACAACUGAAGAACUCAUCAAUCAGCACUUCUCCUGCUUAUCGGAAAUACUGAUCAGUCAUCAGCGUACUCUUGUGGCUCUUAUAAACUAACCUUGAGCCCAAGGCAUUGCGAUUGACCCGGCACCAGUAGUAAGGCAGUGACAUUUUUUUAUUUAAAUAUACUAUUAACGUCGAUGCAACGAGCUAACACCCUUGCCUUUUGUUGAGAAAGUGGUUUCCUCAAGUAAAUUUGAACAUAUAUAAUUAGUCUCAUGCCCAAUUGAAAUUCUAAUACGUAUUCCAAUAUUAGAACAAGCCUUUUGUUAAUUAUUUGGGCAAGUCUUUGAUCAAUAUUUACUCUAUUAAUAUAAUUGUAGCCAUCGCCCUAUACAAGAAAACGGUAAGAGACACAUUUUCUUAAUAAGCUUUUACCAAACACAACAUACUUAACCUCGUAGCCAACACAUAUGAAAUGCUUUCUGAAUUAUUGUUCGGUCGCAUUAACAAUUAAAAGAUUAGCAAAACACAUGUGAAUGCUUUAGCCUAGCCACAACUUGAAUCCACAGUAUAUAGACCAAAGGAGGAUAACAAUUAACUAAAACCUACUCGGAUCAAGUAGACGCGCACACUCGCAGAGUUUUUAGUCAAAGAAUUAAGGAAAAGUAACGAAAUAUAUGUUGUGCAAUCAUGUCAAUUAAUCAAUUUAGCAUAUCGAUAGUGCCAUUCAAUCUUGGUGAUAUAAGAUCUCCAGCAUGCAAGGUACUCCCUCCGUUCCAAAUUGUAGGUCGUUUUGGCUUUUCUAGGUUCAUAGAUAUUAUUCUGCAUCUAGAUAUAGUGUAUGUCUAGAUGCAUAAUAAUAUCUAUGAAUCUAAAAAAGCUAAAACGACCUAUAAUUUGGAACGGAGGGAGUAGAUGCCAUAUGACCGCUGCAGAGAAUUCCUGCGGCGGAAAAGCCCGUCCUCGUAGAGUCAAGGUCCAAGAUAUUUGGCCACAAUCUCAAAAGGUUUGUUGCACUGGUUACCUAUCGCGUGUGAAUUGCAACCCGCCGAACCCCUUUGUCCUUUAAUUUUCAGCUCCUUCCAUCAUGCUUCACGGACAAAUUAUACAUGUCCGGAGUCUCUUAAUUUGGAUCCAUAGGUCAUCACCUGUACCCAAUAAAGAAGCAUCGAUGUGGGCAAUUGAGAUGGCACUUAAUAUGAUUAUUUCUACCACAUUUGCAUGAUUACUUGUCAUGGUCGGCAGUUUCUAUCAUCGUAAAGCUAAGGUGGAUGGCUGAUUUUUGCUCAUAGGACCCAGAUGUAAGUGAUCAUAGGAUAUAUCAAGUUGUAAUUAGAUUGGAUUUUAUUUAUAAAGAGUUCAUCCAUUAGGAGCCUUAGGGAACAAGUCAAAGCCCUACAUAUAAGAGUCCAUCCAUCAAGAGCCUUAGGGAACAAGUCAAGCCCUCCAUAUUGUUGGCGCUAGAAAUCGGUCAACCGAAUCCCAGCGACAAACACACGACCCUGAAGAAUCUGCUUAGCUCCUGUUCGGGUGAAUGCCCUGGUGCGGUUCGCGCGGCGUGCCAGCCAAUCUGACCUGUUGAUUGGCAAGGAAGAACACGUGUCAGGUUCAGAACCUACGAUCGGCUAAGUUUCCGAUCGAGAGAGUUUAUCGGCGAAUCGGCCGAUUUACCGUAAUAAUGAAAUCGGCUAUAAGUCAGCCCGAUCCCUAUAGCCUUGUAGGUAGAAGAAUACUGAAGUAAUCGGUACAAAGCUUAUGAUAACAACACCAGGAAAAGAUCUAAUCGGCAACGAAUGGAUCUAACUAUAGAAAAUAAUGAAAGCCGAUACUACUGAUUCCUGGUGAGAUAAUUGGUGAUAAAAACUAGGAAAACAGGUAAAAACCUAUGAAUCUAGUUGAUAUCGAUAACUGAUGAAUAAAUCUAAACGAAACGACAGCGAUGCGCCGGAGGUUAAAGCUUAGAUGUUACUCGAUAAACGGAACUUACAGAAUCGGCCGGAGGUCAAGAUGAUGCAGUCCUGCCAACCCGCACGAACUCGUGAGAAGAAAAAGUAAUGGCGAAGUCGCCUGCUCGAAAGUAAGUACGAAGAAGAAAGUAACUUGUUGUAUUGAUUGAUUGUUGUGUUUACAGAUUUACAAAGGUAGCUAUUUAUAGCCCCGUACAGAUAACUUCUUAACCGACUAGAAUUCUAUCUCUAAUUCAAACAGAAAACAAAUAUCUACAAGCACAAUUCGUACUAGGUUAGCUACCCCACGCUUCGUGGGCUGUCCUCCACCUUAUCCUUCCAUCCCUUUCCAAGCCCAUACAGGUCCAAUUAGUCCAUCCUCCUGAUCGGCCGAUUUCUCAUCAGCAAAGGAUUGCCGAUUGGGAGUCUGGCGUAUUCUCCCCGAAGCGAAGCAAAAGCUGCCAGCCGAUUCCUCAUUAUAGCACCAUUUGACCGAUUCCCAACUGUACUUCCCCAAUUUCUUUUCUUCUUGACGCCGAUUCUAUUGGUGACGAAAUCCGGCGUCAACACAUGCCCCUCAGUUUCGGAGUAAAACAUAGUCUUUUACUUCGAAAUUCUUUAUAACUUCCUCUCCGAAACGGCCGCAGAGAAAACAUCCUUCCGUUUCGCGGUCUUCCGGCUGAUCAUUGCAAUUUUUUCGAAACGGGCGCCCACGACAGCCACUACCCCCGAAAAACUCGAAGCGCCGGCGCGGUGAAAAUUCCAGUUUUACCCCCCUUUUAGGCAUCCUUUAAAUAGCGCUUCACCCGCACUUCAUCUUCAAGCUCACGUCCUUUUUCCCAGCGCACGCGACUUCUUCUUCCUUCAGCACCUUUUCUCUGCCGCCGAAGCUUUCUAGUUUCACCUCCCGUUACUCCUCCCUCUCUUCUUCUAAUGGCGACUCCUUCCGGCAGCUCUCCCACCCGCGAUGCCCCAGAGAUAGCGCCUCCGGUGGUGGUAGCGACGACCGUCACCCCUUCCACAGAUGAAGGAGCUUCAUCAGAAAUCCCAAUGGUGAUCCCCAUUGCGGCUCCGUCGCCCGCAUCCGCAUCGGCGACCACACCGAUUACUCAGAACUUCAUUCCAGAGGUAAAUACCGAAUCCUUCUCCUAUCGGCAAUGUAUCUACCUUAGAUCUGUUUCUUAUAUUUCCAUACUCCCUUUCUCUUUUUUUAGGCAGUUAGGCAUAGAAUUACCAUUCACCUCACGGGAAGCCCCGGCCUUAUUUGUCUCGGUCCUAUGGGAAACCCAGAUCCAACAGAGCUCAUAAAUUCGGAAACCGACCGGAUACCUUUCAAACGGUCCGACAUGAACCUGGAUCACUGGGUGGGUACUUUUAGAUCUUGGCCGAAUGAAACCCCAGGUUGGAGGGAGUGGUACCAACGGAUGGCUGCAUCAAGGAGCAUCUCAUGGGAAGAGCUCAAAAUCGGCUAGUGCAUUAACCUCUCCUUAUCUCAGAUGGAGAAAAAUGAACCGUUAGUGAUGGCGGCUUCUUAUUUUUGGUCUGAUGCACUUAAUGCAUUCUUAUUUGGGCACGGUCCUAUGACCCCCACAUUGGCCGAUGUGGUCCUGUUGACCGGCCUUGACAUAUCCUCCCCAGAUACACCCUUCCACCUUUUAGCCACAACGUCACAUCGGCUGGAUACAAGGGGAAUCGGCGGAUGGAAGGGCUUCAUCAGAAGUAAUAAAAGAACCGGGACCGUUGAGAACAGGGAGCACACAACUUUCCUGAUGAUGUGGCUAGAAAAACACUUCUUUUGCGGAAGAGCCGCCGGCCCAACAACCAACACCCAAGCUUUAGCUGAAGCAUUGUCCAAAGGAAGCCAUAUCCCCCUCGGGAAACAUCUGUUAGGGGCUGUAUACCAUAUGCUCCAUCAAAUUGGCACAAAACUUUCCAAGGGAGAACCGAUCGGUAACCAAGGCGGUCCUUGGUGGUUCGUCAAUCUGUGGCUGAACCUUUAUAUGAGCAGAAUCACCAAGCAGCCGGUGGACCAUAUGACGUUCCCUAACAUCGAAUCGGCAGAGGACCCCACCGAACGUCGCCGAUGCAUGUCUUUUGGCGAAGCGGCGUCAGCUUUUCCAGGUUGCGCGUAUUCUGCUACAAAGGUAGCCGAGUAUUUCCGAUGCUUCUAUAACGGAUUUAAUGAAACUGCAACCAUUUGGUUUCCGUAUCAGCGAAACGACCCGGUCUUUGAGCUUCCCACUUGCUUCAAUUUGGCUUCCGGCCGAUUUGAUGAAGAUCUCUAUGAAGGGUUGAUCAAACCGGGACUCCUACCAGCCAACUUCUUUUCAGGGAAGGAUGCCCCUACAUACGAAUUCUACAACCCUUCCGUUGCAGCACGACAAUUCGGCAUGGGUCAGUUGCCGAUUCAAGUGUACUUCGCUAGCAGAAUCAAGUUCAGAGAUGAGCUCACAUCUGGCCUAGACUACGGUCGGUUGCGAGAUCGAAUUCUGGAUUCCAGUACAAUUAACUUGAACGACUGGCUAGUAGCUCCAUUUGCCGUCCAGCCGUUCAAGCUCUGGUGGGCCGAAUGGAAACAAUUUCUCUUCUGUAACUCAGCAUCAGCAUACUGCAAUCUUCUGGACCCGGCCAACAUUGACCCAAACGCCGAGGUACUUCACAUAACCGAUUCUUAUUCCCUUUAACAUGAUUGAGUACUAAUGAUUAUCUCUUUAGGUCGAGAAUCGGACCCCUCCAACACACAGCCGCAGCGGACGGCUAAUAGAGAGUCAUCCAUACACUACUUAUCCCCUUAUCGGUUACGACGCCCCGUCUGUUGACGUGAUUGCUGGCCGAUCGAAACAAGUUCAUAAGAGGACCACUAAAAAGACCAGUCGCCGAGUCCGGGCUCGUACGGAAUCGGCGGAUCCUCCUGCGCUCACAUCGGCAGAAACUUCGACCGCACCACCUUCUCAGGUCUUUCAAGGUGCCGAUACUCAAACCAUCACGCAAGCCGGGGCGGCCGCCGCGUCGUUAUUGUUGGAAGCCAUACAGGUAAACCUGAGUUUUACUGCCUCCGAUUGUUAUUUUGAUAUUAACUCUUUUUUAACCUUAAACUGCACAGAGCAUCCCUACGGAAAUACAACAAUCGGCAGCAGCUCCACCAGCCAUUGAUGCGCCCCCACUCCCAUCCGUUGAGGUAUAGAACUUGUCUUACCGAUUUCCUUUGGGAAUUUACGUAAUGUACUUAUUCAAACCUCUGGCACAGGCCAUCGGCACAUCAAUCGCUUCCCGACCACCGAUUUCUUCUCAGGGGGCUGAUCCAAGCACCGCGCCAAUUAUUGUGGAGUCUUCUUCUUCUGAUGAACCCAUGGCGCAAGCCCCUGAGCAAGGCAUGAUGGUUUCACAAGUGCAACAUGAGGAAAUUCGCUUCAAAAUGGUAAGUUUCUGCUUCGGCUUCUACCUAGCCGAUUUGAUCUUACUUCCAGCCGAUUUAUUUCCUUUCUUUAUUAUCUCCAGGAACAGGACACCCCCGACAACAGCCUCUUUUCUUUUGCGGUCGCCCUUUCUGACGACGAAGAGGUUGCUUCUCGCCAAGUCGCCUUGAGUUCCGUUCCUGAUGACGUCCGAGCCAAACUUUCCAGCAUCCGAUCCCUCCUUCAAGGGGACAUCGGCCGACUAGUAGAAGACGCUUCACCGAUUCGGCAGCUCUUCAAUGACGUCAGCGGACGAGUACCAGAAGAGGCGGAGGAGGCCCUGGCGCCAGUGGCCUUCAUCGAGUCCAUGAGGAUCCCAGUCUUCAGAGCCCUUCGUCACAUGGCCGAUCGCGCCAAGCUGACCAAGACUCGCGAAGAGGAAGACGCUUUCAAGCGUCAGACUCAAGAGGCACAUCGGCGUAUCCAUGUUUUAGAAGAUUCCCGUCCGGCGAUCAUAAGUGAGAUAGACCGCCUCAAGCGUCGGAGGGCGGAGCUUGCCAAGGAAAUGGAGCAAGUGACCAAGGCAAUCAGCGCCGAAGAGAACAAACUCCAAGAGCUACCCUCUGUUAUUGCCGAUUUGACACGGGAGAGGCAACGCUUUGCUCAUGAGGCCCUGAGACUCCAUCGCAGCGCAUCGGAGGUCCCUGGAUCGGCGGAAGAAGACCAACGGGUUCUUGACUCUGCCGAUCAGAUCCGGCGUCGGGCCAUCACGGCUAUCGAUACCCUUCUGGGUAACCUGUAAAACACUGAUCGUUUUGUACGAACAUUUACUAGCUUCUUUGACCGUCUCUCGUGACCCCCUUUCUAUUUAUUGCCUUUCUUAUUACUGAUGGGAUGUGGCCUUACCAAAUUUCCACGCAUCUUUUUCCCAUAAAUACCGACCUCAGCGUUUACCCCUGAUAGCACCAAUUUGGCCUUCGGCCUACUCUCCUCUUCUUUUUAUCGGCGUGAUUCCUUGUCAUGGCUUCGCCGGUUUCUUCUUCUUCUGUCAACCAGGUGAAACCUUGGUCUCGACUCCCUUUCUUUUUAGAUCUUAGGAAGGGAACUCCUUCUUACUCCUUUUUUGUUUUAGCCUCCACGUCUUAGUCCUGAGCUCGUGCGCGCUAUUGAGCUUAUCCAUUCUGAGGACCCACUGACGCCGGAGGACCAAAAGCUGAUCAUGGCUCAUCGUAAGGAGCUUCGAGAUCACGUCACCGCGGAGGCUCGUGUAGUCCUGGACUUUGUGGAGAGCAACGGUCGCCGGCGACCUCCAAUCGACAGGAGUCAUCCGCUUCCUCCGCGAGUCGUCCUUGAGGACACGGCGGCAGGAACUUCGCGCCCGGCCAUGGAUCGGAGCCACCCUCUCCCGCGUCAAGUUGAAGCGUAGGCUUCAAUGAAAGAAAUAGAAGAAGAAUACCUCCGUCUCAUGAUAGAAUUAGGUCGGACUGAGAGGGAGCGCAAGAAGAAGAAUAAUUAGUCAUUGUAUUUUUUGUUCUGAGGGCGACUAACGUUUUGUCGGCCAUGUAACCCGUCGCCCGUACCGAAUGAAUGCAAUCGGUCGAUCCGAUCGACUAAGUUUUUGAACCGAUUUGCAUCGGUUACAUGUUUGAACCGAUUCGUAUCGGCUAAGUGUUCGAACCGAUUUGUAUCGGCUAUGUGUAGUUGUGUCGUGAUUAAUUCCUACGCCCCAACCCAUAUACUGGGGUAAUAUCUCUUUAAGUACCUUCCGUUCAGAGCUCUAGUAAAUUCUUCUCCUUCUAUCGUUUCCAAAAUGUACGCAUUUCCUGGAGUGCAUCUGCCGAUUUUAUACGGCCCUUCCCAGGUAGGGGACCAUUUUCCGAAUUUAGGAUCUUUCGACCCGAUCGGCAGUACCAACUUCCAUACCAAGUCUCCGGGGGAGAACUGUUUGACUUUGACCUUCUUAUCGUACCACCUGGCUACUCUCUUCUUAUUUUCUUCAAUGCUUAUCAGGGCCCUCAAUCGUUGGCUAGCCAAAUCGUCAAGUUCCCUUUUCAUAAGUGAUGAGUAAUCAUCAGCCGAUAACUGGUCCUGGAGCGAAAUACGCCUCGAUCCUGCCCUCGAUUCCCAUGGUAGUACUGCAUCGUGACCGUACACCAACUGAUAGGGAGACAACUUAGUAGCCCCAUGACACGCCAUCCUGUAUGCCCACAGGGCCUCAGUCAAACAUAGGUGCCACUUCUUCGGAUGUUCUUCAAUUUUCCUUUUGAUCAACUUGAUUAUUCCUUUGUUGGAGGAUUCUGCUUGACCAUUGGCCUGGGCGUAAUACGGAGAAGAAUUUAACAAUUUGAUUCCCAUAUCGGUUGUAAAUUCCUCGAACUCCCCUGAUGUGAACAUUGUUCCUUGAUCGGUUGUAAUAGUCUGGGGAAUACCGAAUCGGUAGACGAUGUGUUCCCUUACGAAAUCGGCCAUGAUAGCCGAUGUUACGGCUCUUAACGGGAUUGCCUCGACCCAUUUGGUAAAGUAAUUGGUGGCCACCAGAAUAAAUUUGUGCCCUUUGCUUGAUGGUGGGUAGAUUUGGCCGAUAAGAUCUAUUCCCCAUCCCCUGAACGGCCAUGGUUUAAUGAUGGGAUUCAUGGCCGAUGCGGGUGCCCGCUGGACAUUUCCAAACUUUUGACAUUCCUGACAACCCUUAUAAUAUUUGAAACAAUCUUCAAGGAUUGUAGGCCAAUAGUACCCGUUGUUCCUGAUCAUCCACUUCAUCUUAUGUGCCGAUUGGUGAGCUCCGCAUACCCCUUCAUGGAUUUCUCCCAUUAGAGUCUUGGCUUCUUCUGUCCCAAGGCAUUUAAGGAGGACACCGUCGAUCGUUCGGUAGAACAGAUCGUCUUCGAGCAGCACAUACUUGGUGGCGUGAAAGCGUACUCGUCGCUCCACCUUUUUAGACGGAUCCUUCAGGUAAUCGGCAAUUUCUUUACGCCAAUCGUCGGCCGCAAGUUCUAAGGCCAUGGCGCCCAGAAUCGGCCGAUACCCGGAUGCGUGCUGGGCGAGUUUGUUUGCUUCUUCGUUGCGGUCUCUUGGAACAUGCUCGAUUACUGCCGAUUUGAACUCUUUUAAAAACUGUACGCAAUCUUCGUGAUAGAUUCUUAAUAUAUCAUCUUUGCACUCAGCCCUUCCGGUUAGUUGAUCCACAAUUAGCAUAGAAUCCCCGAAGAUCUCAACAGAAUCGGCCUUGACUUCUCUCAAUAAUUGUAAGCCUUUCAAUACAGCUCUGUACUCCGCUUGAUUGUUAGUGGCGGCGGUUUCUAUCGGCAGAGAAAAAUCAUAGCUUGCCCCCCGAGGCGAUAUGAGGACGAUGCCGAUUCCUGAUCCGACCUCGCAUGACGACCCGUCAAAAAACAAUUGCCAAGGUGCUAGUUCCACGAGGGCGAUCUCCGGUCCACAGUGCUGGGCGACGAAAUCGGCCAUGACUUGACCCUUGACGGCUUUUGCCGGUUCAUACCGUAGGUCAAAUUCUGAUAAAGCUAAGAUCCAUUUACCGAUUCGUCCUUUCAAUAUCGGCAGUGACAGCAUGUAUUUCACUACAUCAUCCCUGCAUACGACUAUACAUUCUGCCGACAGUAGAUAGUGCCUGAGUUUGGUGCACGAGAAGUAAAGACACAAACAUAGACGCUCCACCGGAGGAUAUCUUGUUUCGGCAUCCAGGAGUCUCCUACUGACGUAAUAAAUGACCCGCUCCUUGCCUUCAAACUCUUGGACUAGAGCCGACCCAAUAGCUUUUUCAUCGGCUGAUAAAUACAGUUUAAACGGCUUACCAGUCUGGGGGGGAACCAAGACUGGGGGUGAGACCAAGUAUCGCUUGAUAUCUUCUAACGCCUUGCGCUGUUCUUCUCCCCAUAUAAAUUCCUGGUCUGGCUUCAACUUCAGAAGUGGCGUGAACGCCUGAAUUCGUCUAGAUAGAUUAGAUAUAAACCUUCUGAUAAAGUUUACCUUGCCGAUUAGAGACUGUAGCUCAGUUUUGUUCUGUGGGGCGACGACUUUGUUGAUGGCCGCUAUGGUCUUCUGAUUGACUUCUAUACCUCGUUCGUGCACCAUGAAUCCUAAGAACUGUCCGGCGGAGACGCCGAAGGCGCAUUUGUUGGGAUUCAUCUUAAGACCAUGCUUUUUGGUACACUCUAGUACCCUUCGCAAAUCGGCUAGGUGUUCCUCGUGGCUUUUGGACUUGACUACAACGUCAUCGAUGUAGAUCUCCACCAGGAGGCCAAUGAGUUUGUGAAAAAUGUAGUUCAUGGCUCUCUGAUAUGUAGCACCAGCAUUCUUCAAGCCGAAGGUCAUCACUACCCACUCGAAUAAACCAAGAUGGCCUGGACAUCUGAAAGCCGUUUUGGGUAUGUCCUCUUCGGCCAUAAGUAUUUGAUUGUACCCGGCGUUUCCAUCCAUAAAGCUAAUAAUUUUGUGUCCCGCGGCGGCGUCGAUCAAUACAUCGGCCGUAGGCAUGGGGUAACCAUCCAUCGGUGUGGCCUGAUUAAGAUUUCUGAAAUCAACGCAAACGCGCAGCUUUCCGUUUUUCUUGUAAACUGGCACGAUAUUAGAAAUCCACUCGGCAUAACGACACUGCCGAAUAAAUUUUGCUUCUAUUAGCCGAGUUAUUUCAGCUUUUAUGUCUGGUAAGAUUUUAGGAUUGCAUCGCCGUGCGGGUUGUUGGUACGGCCGAUACCCUGACUUUAUGGGUAGCCGAUGUUCAACAAUAGAUCGAUCUAAUCCGGGCAUCUCGUGAUACUCCCAAGCAAAACAAUCCUUGAAUUCUCUUAAUAAAUUUGUCAAUUUACACUUAUACUCUGGAUCUAAAUCUGCAUUAAUAAAAGUCGGCCUUGGUUUGGUCCCGUCACCUAAGUCUAUCAUCUCUAAUGAAUCGGCCGAUGUGAAUCCGUGCCCCAGCUUCCCGUCUUCUCGGGCGAACUGAUCCAUCUAUUCCGUUUCUUCGGAGCCGACUGCUCGGAUCGGCUGUAGGUCAAAAUCGGUGACCUUUAGGAAGUCGGUCUCCCACACCCUACCUGAUAUGCAUCUGACGGUGUCGCAGUUCCAUUGCUGUGCGUCGGCUGCUGCGAUGCUGUACGCGGAGUCAGCUUUGACCACCUCGAUGUUAUCGCCGACCCAUUGUACGAGGCAUUGAUGCAUAGUUGACGGGAUGCAGCAGUUUGCGUGUAUCCAGUCUCGGCCAAGAAGCAUAUUAUAGGACCCUUUGCCAUUAAUAACGAAAAACGUGGUAGGAAGGGUCUUACUGCCGAUGGUGAGGUCGACGCAGAGGGCACCGCGAGCGUUUGACACCUUGCCUUCGAAGUCCUUAAGCAUCAUGUCCGUCCUGGUUAGGUCGUCGUCGCUCUUCCCCAGCUUCCGGAGUACGGCAUACGGCAUGAUAUUGACGGCAGCUCCUCCGUCGACCAUCAAUCUAGUGAGGGGGCGACCGUCAACAUGCCCUUUAAGGAACAACGCCUUCAUGUGUUGUCGUUCGUCGUCUUCAGGUUUUUCGAACGUGGCCAUCAUUGGUUCUAAAGCCAACCGUGCUGUUUGUUCCUCUAUCGCCGAUACGUCCUGUUGAUCGGUAGGGGUCAUGAACUCCAUCGGCAAUAUGAAAACCAUACCGAUCUCGGCUGCCGAUUCAUCACCCGCCGACUCAUUGUUUCCCUUGUCGGUUCUUUUGGGGCGCCACACCCGAGGCCUCCCUUCCUUCCUGUCCAUCGCGCUCUCUUCUUCUUGCUGUUCCCAUUGGCGGAGGCGUUGGAUUCUCCGUUUUUGUGAUUUGGUUAAACCAUCGGGGCACCACCUAGGGUUUAUCGGCCUCCCUUCUUUCCCGGCGCGUUCCCAUUCCGGCUCGCGUCCUAACGGGUCCUCGUCCGUUACCCGAGCAUCGGCCAUGUCUUCGAGCCGGCUGUGAACGCUGGCUUUGCUAUUUGAUUGGUCAUGUCGAUCGGCCUUGCCCCCUUGCCUAUUAUGGCUUCUAUCUUCUGACCGAUCGUAUCGGUCACUUCUGCCCCCCAGCCGAUCACGCAUGGGAGGGCGCUGAUCAUCUGGGUUGCGCCAAUUCCUGCUGAUCGGUUCUGGCCUUCCGUCUCUGGAGCGAGACCUGGUGAACGGCCGAUUGCCCCGAUAGGGACCGUUGCAUUCUGGGCAAGUAUCGGCCGACGGUAGCCUGAGGUUAUUUUCCCAACAAUGAAUGAAGAAUGGGCAUCUCCAGUGCUCUUCGUGCCGACGCAUCGCUUCCUCUCGAGACCUCGAACGUUCAUGUUGGCUUUGGUACUUUUGGAGCAGGAACUGGGAAGUAAUACGUGGCCUUUCUGACUCGCCAUCAUCGUCCUCCAUUCGUCGCUUUCCUUUGACGUCUUCAGACGUAACUUGAUUUCUGGGAUCGACAGCGCCACUUUUUCUGGCCGACUCGGACGUCAGCACUUUUGUUUGGAGGGAAUUCUCUCCCGUAUCAACCAUGUUGGUAGGAAAGGGGUGUUGGUCGAUCUUCAUUGGUUUGGCCGAUUUUGCCGGCACUUCAAAUUUGAGUCUGCCUUGCUCAAUGGCCGACUGUAUUUGUUGCCUGAAGAUUUUGCACUCGUUGGUAUCAUGUGAUGUGGCAUUGUGCCACUUGCAAUACUUCAUUUUCUUCAAUUGUUCGGCAGAGGGUAUUGUAUGGUAAGGCGAGAGUUUAAUCUGCCCUUCCUGGAGUAGAAGAUCGAAGAUUUUAUCCGCUUUAGUCGUGUCGAAACCGAAUGCUUCCGGCUCCUUCUUGCCGAACGGGCAUGAUAUCGGCUUCUUUCCCUUAAUCCACUCUGCAAGUCCGAUUUCGGCAUCUUCCUCGUCCUCUACUUCCUCCAGGAAUGCUACUUUCUUCUGGAAAUUCCUUCUCGGAUCAAACGGACGCACUUCUUGUCCGGACAAUCGGUGAACAAUCUGGCUCAGGCUCUCGAAUUCUUGCGAGGCAUAUUUCUCUUUAAUAUGUGGCAGAAGGCCUUGGAAAGCUAUAUCGGCCAAUUGCGCAUCGGUCAGAGCCAGGGAGUAGCAUUUGUUUCUGAUUUCCCGAAACCUCUGUAUAUACGAGGGUAUCGGCUCAUCACUUCUUUGCCGAAGGCUAGUCAAAUCGGACAGCUUCAUUUCAUGGACCCCGGCAUAGAAGUACUUGUGGAAUUGUCUUUCUAGAUCGGCCCAUGUAAUAAUUGAGUUUGGUGGUAGAGUCGUGAACCAUUGAAAGGCCGAUCCAGACAAGGAUGAUGAGAACAACCGUACCCGUAGGGCAUCUUGCGUAGCUGCUUCCCCGCAUUGGAUGAUGAAUCUAUUCACAUGCUCUACGGUAGAAGUGUCAUCCAUCCCCGAAAAUUUAGUAAAAUCAGGGACCUUGUACCGAUGGGGAAAUGGCAACAAGUCAUAUGUAGAUGGGUAGGGUGUUCUAUAGGUAUAAGUUUGCACUUUCGGCUUCAAGCCGAAUUGUUCUUGCAUUACCUCUGCAAUUUGCGCCGACCAAUCUGGUUGUUGCUGGGGAACAAUUGGUGGUGGUAUUGGCACGUGCUGAUAAAUCGGAGGCUGAAUAAAAGGAGGUUGAUGAAGAGGUGGUAUCUGAGUAUAAGCCGGUGGUGUAGUAAAGGACGGCUGCUUGUAUGAACCACUUGUCUCAUCAUAUAGCAUGAGAUCUGACGUCUUGUUGACCUCCGGAGCGAUAGGCUGGUAUGGUGGUAUGAUCGGCCGAGUGGCCGUUUGGGAUGGUGUCUGGAACAGAGGAUUUCCCUGACUGACCGAUUGAUUCAAACCGGCCGUGUUUAAAGGUGCCCCCCAGGGUAAAGGGCUGACUGGAGGGAAUGGUGCAGAGGAGAGUUGGAUAGAACCAUAUCCCAAGGGAGUUGAUGACGCAGAAGCACUGGAUCCACCGACAGAAGAUUGGAUCGGCUGUGAAGCCUGAUAAGCCUGAUUCGGUGGAAUCGGCUGAAAAUACGUUGGUCCCCUGUACCCUUGAGGUAUACCUCCGGCGAAGGAGUUGACAACAGCAUUGUGCACCAUGUUUGAAAGUACCGGGGAUUGAUUGAUGAAGGCGUGAUGAAGAGAUUGUUGAAUCAUAUCGGACAUUUUAUCCGAAUCUUCGGAAAUUGUGAUCUGACGGGGGGUAGGGAAAGGAGUCUUUUUAACCGUCUCCCCGCUCCUGGAACGACUGAAGGAUUUCAGGCAAGUUUUUCGGACUUGCUCCAAAUAGUUGUUCAGAUCUUCCUUUUGGUCGUCCUUUAGAUCUGCUUCCGUCACUUCGAUGACGUUUUCUUCGGAGACUUCAGCAGCUUUUGACAUGAUAGCGGUUGUAUUGGUCCCACCGAGCGUGCCAAAAGUGUGUUGGCGCUAGAAAUCGGUCAACCGAAUCCCAGCGACAAACACACGACCCGGGAGAAUCUGCUUAGCUCCUGUUCGGGUGAAUGCCCUGGUGCGGUUCGCGCGGCGUGCCAGCCAAUCUGACCUGUUGAUUGGCAAGGAAGAACACGUGUCAGGUUCAGAACCUACGAUCGGCUAAGUUUCCGAUCGAGAGAGUUUAUCGGCGAAUCGGCCGAUUUACCGUAAUAAUGAAAUCGGCUAUAAGUCAGCCCGAUCCCUAUAGCCUUGUAGGUAGAAGAAUACUGAAGUAAUCGGUACAAAGCUUAUGAUAACAACACCAGGAAAAGAUCUAAUCGGCAACGAAUGGAUCUAACUAUAGAAAAUAAUGAAAGCCGAUACUACUGAUUCCUGGUGAGAUAAUUGGUGAUAAAAACUAGGAAAACAGGUAAAAACCUAUGAAUCUAGUUGAUAUCGAUAACUGAUGAAUAAAUCUAAACGAAACGAUAGCGAUGCGCCGGAGGUUAAAGCUUAGAUGUUACUCGAUAAACGGAACUUACAGAAUCGGCCGGAGGUCAAGAUGAUGCAGCCCUGCCAACCCGCACGAACUCGUGAGAAGAAAAAGUAAUGGCGAAGUCGCCUGCUCGAAAGUAAGUACGAAGAAGAAAGUAACUUGUUGUAUUGAUUGAUUGUUGUGUUUACAGAUUUACAAAGGUAGCUAUUUAUAGCCCCGUACUGAUAACUUCUUAACCGACUAGAAUUCUAUCUCUAAUUCAAACAGAAAACAAAUAUCUACAAGCACAAUUCGUACUAGGUUAGCUACCCCACGCUUCGUGGGCUGUCCUCCACCUUAUCCUUCCAUCCCUUUCCAAGCCCAUACAGGCCCAAUUAGUCCAUCCUCCUGAUCGGCCGAUUUCUCAUCAGCAAAGGAUUGCCGAUUGGGAGUCUGGCGUAUUCUCCCCGAAGCGAAGCAAAAGCUGCCAGCCGAUUCCUCAUUAUAGCACCAUUUGACCGAUUCCCAACUGUACUUCCCCGAUUUCUUUUCUUCUUGACGCCGAUUCUAUUGGUGACGAAAUCCGGCGUCAACACAUAUAUACUGAGGGGAUUGUAAAUUAAAGAAUUAAGAAAAGUUUAGGGAAAUUCCCUACUGCCCUCUAAUCUCCCUCUCUCCCUCUCCUCCCCCCUCUCCCCGCGCAUGAGCAAGGGUCAACACCCUCCAGCAUUGCCCCCUUCCUCCUUCCUCCUGCUCUUCUACUCCUCUCCGAACCCGUGACAAAUUGGAAUUAAGAGCCACUUUUUACCACGAUGGAGAACAGCAAGAGCAAUAAUUUGGAUGAGGCGAUAACAGAUUAUUUUUAAAUGAUGGAUAGUAGCGACCCUAGUGGAAUUUGGGGUAGCGUUGAUGGCGUGCUGACGGCUGUUAGCACGCCAUUUUGUGAACCGCAAGCGUAUGGAUCAUCGUAGCUUUUCCUUUAGAGUAUUUCAUCCAAGGUUUAUCAAUCUAUGGAUCGAUAACGAAUUGACUAGGGUUUUCUACCUAGCUCAACGGAUCUAAUCCUAACAUGAAGCAUAGAUUGCAUAUGAGAGAAAACUUAUGUAAAGAUUAAUAGCAUAAGUAAAAGUAGAUCUCAUUCACACACACACACAUAUAUGAUAAUACCACCAAGGGUAGCAAGAGCCUAUCGUCUUCUAGUUGUAGUUCUAGCUAAUAAGCAAGCACAACAUGCAUCUCAUCCAAAGCUUUCUUUAAACUACUACCUUUGGUCAACCUCACGAAAACCCCCACCUUACACAAGAAAGACCCCGUCACAAUCCUCUCUAUCAGCAUAGGUAGAAUAAGGGCACGAUCACAAGGUAAACAUGUCUAGCUAUCAAGAAUGAUCAACUUACUAGAUCUAAUCACCAUGAUUACAUAAAGCAAGCUAUGUAGUCUAACCAUGAAUUAGACUAAGGAACAAGCAUAAAUAGAAGAGUAUAAAAGGAGGCAUUGAGUCGCUAACAGAUCGGAUGACAUGAAGAACAUUGCUCAUAUAAUAGAUGUAUUUAGAUCAUCACCUCCGAGUACAUACCAUUGAUGAUCACAACUAGCUCCUGAACUCCACCAUGGCACAACCGCGCAGGGAGGCCAUGAUGGCUAGUGUUGGCCUAAGUCAUCUCCUAGACAACUUUGAAGACUUGCAGCGACCCUUAGCUCCCUCUGGUGGAUGUUCUUGGUUUCGUCGAGUUCUGGUGGAUUGAUCUUCGGGCUCAGUGAAUUUUCGGGGUCUUUAUAGUCUGGAAAGCGUGUGGCAGAAAUUGGAAGGCGAGGGGAGCAAGAAAAGCCCCAGGCCAAUCAGCUUGGCCCUUCCUUGUGGCCUCUCAUGCCCUCCUUCGUCCCCAAGUCUUCUUUGAUGUCCUGAAAGCUUAUUUUCACUUGGAUGUGAGCCUGGCACGUCAGUAGCUUUGGAAUGAGAUUGAUCUUCAAUAACUUUCCAAGUCUCCUCUUGAUCUUCUUUAAUUCCUCCUUAAUCCUAAGGUGAUCCUUGUCAUAUCUUCACAGACUUAGCCCUUAAGUUAUCUUAGAGGAUUACUUUCCAAAAACGAGCAAGAGAGGGGGUCAAAAGACCCCAGGCCGAUUGGCCUGAGGGACACCAGGGCGAUCGGCCUGGGCCCUUUUGUGCCUCCUGAUCUUCGUCUUCCUUUGGUCCACUGCUCGUUCAAAGCUUUACCUAGAAAAUAUGUAUUUAGCCCAAUUUCCUGCGAAAACAGAAUAUCCUCCAAAAUAUCUUGCAUAUGUGAAAAUAGGGUUAUUUCAGGUGCUAAGUGUCGGGUUAGUAUAAGAAUAUGCAUGGAAACACUAGUUAAAUGACACAAAAAGUGUGUCAAUAACGAGCAUCAACAAUCCCCCCAUGCUUAGCUCUUGCUCAUCCUCGAGCAAGUUAGGCGACUACAAACUUCUCCAAUGGGUCGAAUAAAGAUCUUGAACCAAACCUGGGCAAGCGAGUCAAGUACCUAGUCCUCAAAACGAAAGUUCAGCAGCAAAGAUAAUCAAAGUAUGGGUGUUCAAAGAUUUAUCUAAGCAAAAAUUACCCCACAACUUUUAGAACUAAGUAACUCUAUGAAUCAAUUAUACUUACUUUCUGUCUUGCCUUGGAGGGUUUUUCUUUUGUUAUAAAACAAUCUCCCUGCAACAAGAAUUGAAAAUAAAAUUCUCUUCCAGGUGCUUACAUGUCGCUCAAUUUAAAAGUGCUAUCCUAGUUAUUUUGUAAGAUCUCAUCUCUCAAAAAGUCACUUAUUAUGCGGUGGAGCUUGGACAUGGCUAGCGAGAAUCAAUACUUAUAUUAUCAAAAUAAGAAAACUCUCUAAGGAUUGCUUACCUUCCGAGCCAAUGAUCAUGAGAAUAUCCACAAUGUAUGAGGUUUUUAAGGAUGAGAAGAUAUAGAAUGGUGGACAUGUGCAAAGGUAAAAUGAAAUAGUGACUCUGAGGCAUAGGCGAUGUCCUUGUCGUCGGAUUGCACAUGGUUGGAAUGAAAAUCCGUUCCGUGAAUAAGGUAAUCCUUCUUUGCACUUUUCUUGAUCUUCAUGACAGCGAAAAAAUCCUUUAUUUCUUUUCUUUUCCUUCUAAUUCUCUUUUUUUUUCUUUUUCUUUUCUCUAUUUCUUUUUCUUUUCCUUUCUUUCUUUCUUUCCUUCUCUUAUUUUUAAUCUCUUCUCCAAACCUCCUUUGAACAACACCCUACAAAAAUUAGUUUUAGAAUGUUCCAGAGACCUUACAUGAAUUUUUUAUGUGGGAACCAAGGCUGGAGGACCCCAGGCCGAUUGGCCUGGCCUCCUCUGCCUUCUUUUCUGGCUCUUCUUUCUGGUGAGGCUUCCAUAUCUUGUAUUUCCCAUAUUUUUGUAUAAUCCCCGAUCAGAAAUGGAACAAAUAUUCGAAAAUUGUGUUGUGUUCAAGGAAUAGGUAAUAAAAUUGAGAAAUAUUUUGUUCGGGUUUAGGAAUUUAGUAGAGCAUAGGAUUGUUCCAAUGAAGAACUCUCAUUACUAAAUAUUGAUGAUUCUAGCAAUCAGAGAUGAUAGUAAGGACAUGAUCAAUACUCAUAAUUAAAGCUUAACUAAGAGAGAGCGACCCUAAAUCAAUUCAAAGCAUCAACUCCGCUUAUGGUGGUACGAAAUUUAUUUAUUAGGCACUGGAUAGGAUAGGUAAAAACUCUCAACCUGGUAGAGAACUUGUUCAAACUUGUUUUAGCAGAGGUUUUAGAUAAGUAACAAAAACUUCACAUCACCUCCAAAUUAAGCCUUACUCAUUAAGUAUAAUUAAAACUAAAGCACUAGAUCAUCAUAAUGCAUGUGUAUUGCAAAGGCAAAAUAAUUACUAAACUCCACAACUAAGAUUUAGAAUUCAAGACAAUGCUUAUGAUCAAAAGUUGCAAAGGCAAAAUAAAAGACAAGCAAGCAAAGAUAGACAUUAAAAACACUCACUCGAUCCUCGAAUAAGUCCAGGAUGCUUGCUUAAUCAGUAAAUCAGCAUUGCCCUUCGAUGUAAUCCCUGCACUAAGUCAGAUACAUUGCUCUCUCAAGUGUUUAGCAUUUAAAGUUUAAGUUGUGACUGGCUUCUUUUCAUCGUGGAAUAUAGACUAGCAAUAAAGAACAUGCCACAAUAAAAUAAAUAUAAUACUCUUGAACUUAAGCGAAGUUCAGACCUUUACCUUGUUCCAUCGUGAAGAGUUUUUCAAAAAGAUGCAAAUCUAAUAAGUGGUAUUCUCUCGCAAAAACUCAUGGAAACACUCAUCUCAUCAAGUCACUCAAGCCUAUACUAGAUUAUUUUCAACCUAUUCUACUUAUAUAUGAAAGUGGAAGGUUUAUGUGGAGCUUGGUAGGUAAAAACAAUCCUAGCAAAACAUUAUAUCUAAAAUAUUGUGAAACUAAGAGAGAUCUAUUGGGAUUACUGAGACUUGUCAAAAAGGUCAUGGAAAAUAAAUGUUGGAGAGGAAGAGGGAUGAAACACACACAUUUAAAUAGUUGGACAUGUGCAAGGGCAAAGGGUGAUCGCGAGUCACAAAUGAAGUUCUCGUAAUCGGAUUGCACAUGGUUGGAAAAUGAGUAUGGAUCAAUCCUUAAUCUUGAGAGCACUGGGAACUUUAAUGAGGCUCAAAGAACUGAGGAGCAUUUUAUUCUUUUUCUCCUUUAUUAUUUUUUUAUUCCUUUUUUCAUUUUUUUCUUUUUGCUUCUUAGAACUUCUUGCAACAUAGUACUUUACUCAGUAGCAAUCAGAGAUAAAGCGAUGACUCCUUGAGCAUGUGAGAGAAAGAAAGAUAAACUGCUGAGGUAAGUACUAAAAUCUUCAACUGGAUCCUUGUCGAAAUAUUUUUCCAUACUCAAUAAUAGGUUGUGGUCAAGGAGGUAGUCACAAAAAAUGAUAAUUUGGGUUUAGGUUGGAUGCCCAGUGAGGUUUGUGAAAUUUCCAGUCUAGAAACUCACGAUGCAUUGACAAAAAGGCUAGCAAGAAAAAGAUUUACGCAAAGGAGAUGGCCAACUUCUAAGUCUCAUACCAUGAAAAUCAAUUUAAUCCAACUCAUCAAAAUAUAAGUUUGCAAUAUAAAGGUUUCAUCAUAAAGGAUCAUGCAUGUAUAUAGGCUCUGGUAGGUAGAACUUUGCAAGAGAUUCACAAAUGUAGAUAGCAUAUGAAUUAAUUUUAAAUAAAAACAAAUCAAGUUACCAGGUCAUCUGUAAACUUAAAUCAAAGAGCAACACAGAGUUUGUUGGUCUAGAAUUUAGUUAUUUAACCUCCACAAUUAAAAGAGCCAGUAUUUAAUCAAUUUAAGUUCAUUAAAUAGAGAGCAAUUGGUCAAGUCAUAUACGACAUUGUGUAGGUAAAACAAAGCGGCAAUGUUCAUCAUUUUUCCAUAAGCAAAAUUAUACCAAAAUUAUUAACAUCGUGGUACGCACAAGGUGAUGGUGAUCGAGAUUUAAAGAAAAGAAAAACUAGGUUGCACUCCUAGUAGCCAUGUUAUUAUUGAGAGAUAUAUAAAGGUUGCAUCGAGUUUAUAGUAGAAGGCUUAUAUACACAAACAUUUAGAAAGAGAUGGAAAAAGAGAAGGUUGAGGAAGAAUUUACCAUCCUUUCGAUGCUUGAAGUGUAGCGCACCCUCCCCCAUGGUUAAGCAUUGUGCUUAGCAUGCAAGAAGAAUCAUAAGCAUCUUGUGGCGAUCGUGACCAUCGUACUUCAUGCGGCAUUUUCAUUUUUUUUCCAGCAAGUCCUCCCCCAUGCUUAGCAUGUGCUAGACAUGGAUGAAGAAGAUGUAACGUCUUGUGAUUCUUGAAAUCAUGGUGCUCCACAUCUAGAACUUGUCUUUAUGCUUCUUCACUUUUGUCGCCUUAAUUGUCCAUCACUUUCUUCUCAUUUUCUUUCAUGAGAGCGCUUCAUCAAGCCUGCAAAAUAAUUCAAACGAACAUACUACCCUGGGGUGAUGAGAGUAGAAACAGUUGCCAACAAACCAAAGACAUCCCUAAGACCUUAACUUGUGGCAUAGCUAACUUAGUAAAAGAAAAACAAAAACCUAAUGAGUAUACGUGUGUGCAAGUGUGAAUGCAUAAAGUUAGUAACACUAAAGGAAGGGGCCAAACUUGAUAGAGAUCACACAUAGUUUUAAACACCACGUUUACUACUAAGCUGCUGAAAUCCUCAGAUAAAACACCACAUUAAAGCCCAAGAAUCCAAGAGCUCCAAAAAGUUUAGAAAACCAAACAUGUUGGCAUAACAAAGCAUGGACAUCAAGAAAUGCAGAAUGCAAAUGCAAAGAGUUAGCAAAAACAAAGGUUAGCAAGGUCGAAAAGAUUAUCGAUGUUGUUUCGCAAUUUGUUGAUUCAAAAAGAAUUACUUAGAAUGACAAAACAAGCCUGGCCACUUCAUAAGAAGUCAACCAAUGUCAACAAGAAAAUUAUCCAUCGAAAAGAUCCAAUAACCAAACUAACAAGGCUUUGGGUAGGUUCAUAGGUAUCCUAUAUUUUUAGCUUGAAACAAGAAUUUUGAAGAGAUAAAUCAGGUAUAUAGAUUCUAACUAAGUCGGGUUUUUUUUAAAAAAGGAAGGGCUUAUUUUUGGAUGAAGCAAAAACCUAUGGUUUUAGGAUGGCUCUGGGUAAGGGUGUAGUUCAAACAGAGGCAAAAACAACUUAGGCCGAUCUGAAUGGUGCAGCAAGUCGAUCAACGUAGGUUAACUCUACCUCUGUUGGCUUUGGUUUUUGGCGAGGUUUAUAGGAAGGCUUAGGUGGAAAAAGGAUUUAACAAAAACAACAUAAAAAUGCAAUGCAACAUGAGGGGGAAGAACAAAGUGACAUGACAUGAUAUGGUGGUGGUCUAAAAUAAAAACAAAAGUUAGCCUAAAUUAACUAGCCACAAGUUUAGAAGCGAAGGGUGGUGCCAUACUUCAUAUUUCCCUCUAAGAAGGCACAAAGAAAAAGACUCUAAAUACUAAAACAAAAAGUGGUCUAUAAGUUUUCCAAGAUCAAAUAACAAAGUUCUCCCUCAGUAUUAUUUAAGGCAAACAACAUGUUGUUGCAAAAAUUGUUAGAGCAAUGGUACAAUGUUACUUGAUGUUUUCGAUUGAAGAGCACAAUAUAGACUGUCAUGUUAAUAUAGAUAAAUAAAAUAAAAGAUGGGUUGCCUCCCGCAAAGUGCUUUAGUUAUAGUCAUAUAGCUAGAAUACUCACCUUGAUCAUGUUCAUGUGAAGCCAUGGUCCUUUGUGUGAGAAUCCAAAGUGUCCAUCCAGCUUGAUGUCAUCUUUUGUAAUCCUUCAUGGUUCGCUUCUAACAUCUUCAUGUAUUGAAUGUAGCAUGCUUGUGUAUUCAUGUACUAAUGAUAUAGAGGUUUUUAUUUUAUUCUAAGCUUCUGAAUUUGAUAAUGUACGCUUGAUGUAAGCAUUGGCCAAGGUCCUCUUCAUUGUUAUCAUCGUCAUCUCCUCUGUCUUGUUCUCAUUGCCUUGCUGCUGCCUCUUCUUCAUGAAUUUUCCCUGCAUCCAGAAUAUAAAAUAUACCAAAAUAUAGCUCCAUUUAAAAGUAUAUGAAAUUAUCUUUCUAAUGAGUGGUCAUUCAUCUAAAACAGAGUUGAAAUGAGAGAGUUAUGCCCGUUUUAUUUCAGCACUGCGUGCUAUCCAAAACGAUUUCAGGAUGCACGACGUUCGAUGAUUUGGCCAUAACCGUUUGUAGAAACCUCCGAUUGCCUUGAUUCUUAAUCUGUUGGAACAUAGACUUCAUGUGGCUUCUGAAUUUCUAAAAAUAUUUUGUUGUUUUCUUCAGAGUUCAUGCAAAAUCUUGAUACAAUAGUAGCUUCUCGUAAAUCGAUCUGGUGAUGUUGAUGAUUUUGAUCUUGUGGUGUUUGGGGCAUUAUGUCGCACACCCUUUGGCUUCUAGGUUAUCACCAUUGCUGUACUAGUGAGUAACAUGGCGGCAAUAAUAUGUCUUCUCUAUUGUUCUUGCUUUAGCCAAGGUGCCUGUGGUGGAACCGUCCAACUUAAACUGGUUUAAAUGCGCCUAAUUGCUGCCGACGCAGCAAUUAUCCGAAACGCACUUAAAACAGUAUAAGUCCGGUCGUCCGUCGAGUGUCCCUCGGACUUCUCGAAAGAUCACAUCGUGUUUCAUAGCCAUACAUCAGGAUUGUAUCCGCGAUGGGAUAGCAUCAACAAAUAUUACAUUUUUACAUACAUACAAGAGGUACGAGUUAAUACAAGACAUAGUUUGAAGCAAACUUAAUAGUGCAGUGUUAGACAGAGUUCUAGGACUUAAAACAUAAACGGUUCGGGUGGAGAUGAGCAUUAUAAAACUUCUUCUAAGGGUAUUGUGAGACUCAUAACAAUACCCUAGGGUUUCGGGGCUUCCUCCUCGGUGGACUCCGGCGGUGCUUCUGAAAAGAUAGCCACAAGGGAUAACCCUGAGUACGGUGUACUCAGCAAGUCUUACCCGACUAACCAAUAUAAUAGUUUUUUUUGGAAGUACAUGAUAGCUUUUUGGUGUACUUGGCUGAUACCUUUUUGCCGAAAAGCUUACUACAAGUGAUGCCUUAGUUUUAUCUUUUAUUUGAGUUAAGUUGUUACCUAACGAUUCUAGAUGAUGAGAAAAGAUUAAUUGCGAACAACAAGGUAUUAAGUCAUACAUCAAUCAUUAACAGAAAGAUAUAACAUUCAUGAAUUUAUGCUACGAUGCUCAACAGUGAUCAAGUGCAUUCAUAACCGAGAAUUGCGGCGAUCCGGAUCAUAUUACAUCCUGCAGGAGAGUACCCUGAUCACCAGUUAUAUACGACUGUCCAGGUCGUACGUAACGACUUUUCGAUUAGCAAAUUCAAUGAUUGGGAAUAAGACUACCCGAACCCAGGGACGCACC
rnacentral:lncRNA from 1 species